rnacentral:lncRNA from 1 species
UUUUUUUUUUUUUUGUUUGCUACUAUGGCUCUAGGAGUAGGAUAAGGUAGAUGACUAGUUUUUGAUCUUGUGUGGUUUAAUUCUUUUGUAGUUAUUGGAUACGGAAUUCCUUUUCUUAGUAAGAGGAUGGUAUUGCGAAAUUUGUCUGGAAUUAUGGUUCCUGUAUGAAUUUGAGCUUUUCAUUUUUAUCGUUUAGAUCAAUACCUACCGAUCCCGUUUGUUAUUUCUACUAUUCUAUUGCUUGUGUUUCUUACUUGUUUUCUUUUAAAUGUUCGAUUAUUUUGAGUAAAUUGUCCAAUACGAUUGCUGGUGGUGUUGUUAUUGCAGCUCGUAUGAUGUUAAUAUAUUCUAUCUUCUGUUUGAGUAAUAUGAGGACAUUUCUCUCUCUUGCGUUUCAGCAAUUGAUUCAGGAAGCUUCAACAACAGUGUAGCAGAGCAGCAGGUUGGUAGUGAUAUGUUUUGUCAAUGUAGUAAUCAUUAUUUUCAAAAAACUUUUGAGCACAACUUGUGAGAAUUAUGGAUUUUACUCUGAUUUUGAACGAGCAAAAUAAUCUGUUCCAAACAUACGGGCACAAAAAUGUGCUGAUUUGGCCCUCAUUGAUUGGCGUUGUUGAUUAGGCAACUCUGGAGACUGUGGCAAGGGUGAAGUCAAAGAAAAAUGAUACGAAAGAGGAAAAGUAUAUGCUUCUUACUUUAGUAUUACAUUUCACUUUCAGGCCAUGCUAUACUGGAUUAAGCGUGCACUUCCUUAAACACUUGUGUUUCUACUUUAGGUUUCAGCUUCAAAACGUUUUCAAUUUGGACAGUGAUAAUAGAGCUGAAGAUACCCCUACAUUGAUUGAUCGAAAGGUAUGGGUAUUUCAUUUUCCGUAUUUUUUCUGUGUCAGAUCGUCAUUUUGUGCUCAAGGUUGGUAAAACAUUUUUCUUUUCUCAGGACAAUGUCUUUAUCAUAUCCAACUUUAAGUCUAAAUAUCCAGUGCUACAAUUAGACUUGAGGUAUGUUUUUAUUUUAUGCAAUUGUUCCUCAAGUAAUGACUGAUAUUAACUUCUAAUUUUAUGAGUUGGCAGAUUGAUAUCUGAUUUGGUUAUCGUAAUUGUCUCUGCAACUUGUGGCGGCAUUGCCUUUGCCUGUGCUGGACAACCAGUACGAUUAUUUUUUACCUAAGCUAUUGAAUAACAAUUGUAGGAUGUGAUCUGAUUUUCAUGACAUGGACAAUCCUAUAUAUAUGUAACCUGUGUUAUAUUUUAUCAGGUUAUAACUGGAUACCUUCUAGCAGGAUCUAUUAUUGGACCUGGAGGAUUUAACUUUGUCAGUGAAAUGGUUCAAGUACGUUGCUCCUAAUCUAUCAUUUAUAGUUUUUCCAGGGCUCUUUUUUCCUCUGCCUAAAAAUUGGAAGAUAACAAUUACAUUUGUCAUAUUUUUCUGGUUGCAUGAGAUCUUCUCAGAUGUAUACUAUAGUAUAAUAAAUACCCCAUCAGGCUAUCCCUCUAAUCUUAUUUGUAUUUUUUUCUUCUCUAAUGAAUUUAUUUUAUAUCCAAAGUUAAAAUGGUGAGUAAUGAACCGGUAGAGACAAUAUAUAUAAGGUAAAAGAAUGGGCACUGUACAUUUUGGAUUAAUUUCUAGAAAAUGCACGAGAAAGUGGAAGCUGACUAGUUCUGUAUGCAUGGGGCUUUUAAUGAAAGUUGGUCCUAAUCUAUCAGGUUUACUGAUAGGGGUUAAUUAGUCAUUCUAUAAUUUGUUGUUAUAAAAGUUUAUUGUACAAAGUAUGUGUUAGAGAAGUUGGUGUGUUUGUUUUAAUAUUUAAAAAAAGAACGAAUGAUGGUUGCCCUCUCAAAAGAUCUCUCUCGCACUAUAAACGUAUACAAUGUAUAUUUGUCUCUUGUGAUGGUUAUUCAGAGAUAAAAAGACAUUUGUGUUGAUUUGUUUUCAUGUUGCCUUACCAAUGGCCAAAUUCUUUCUUUCGUCCUCAAGUUCCUUAUUGAUUUCUGUGAUUAGGUUGAAACGGUAGCUCAAUUUGGUGUAAUUUUUCUUCUUUUUGCACUGGGUUUGGAGUUCUCAACAACUAAGGUUAGUUUUAUUUCCAUUCAAGGUUAUUUGUAGAUGUUUAUAAAAUCACAAUACAUGUGCUAAGCCCAAUGAUAUGUUUUAGCUACGAGUUGUUCGUGCAGUUGCUGUUCUUGGCGGGCUUCUUCAAAUUUUCCUAUUUAUGUGCCUCAGUGGAAUCACAGCCUCGGUAAUAACUAGUGCUUCUCUGUAUUAUUUUUAUUUUUUUCCGGUUAACGAAAAGUCCAAACAAUCUUGUGUCAUUGACCACCCUAUUUUUUGGCCGUUGAAUAAAUUAAUUUGGAUCCUGCUUUAGCCAGGUUCUAAUACUCAACUUCCCUAUUGUUGCAUGCCUCCUAUUAAAUAAACUUUGCUUAUUUAUUUAAUGAUAAAAAAUUUGUAGCAAGUUUUACAAGACUCUUUUUCUUCGCUGUGAAUUUUAUUAUCAUUAUUGUUGUGUUGUUUUUAUUUAUUCAUUUAUUAUUAAUAUUAUUAUUAUUUUGCAGUCAUGUGGUGGGAGUGCUUCUGAAGGAGUUUUUGUCGGAGCAUUCCUAUCUAUGUCCUCAACAGCAGUGGUAGGAUACUGUAUAACUUUUUGAAUGGAUGACACUGGCAUGCUUUAUAGCCUAUGUUCUUGCCUGUAUGAUAAAAGAACAACUGUCUCGGAUUGCAGGUGCUGAAAUUUUUGAUGGAAAAGAACUCUACUAAUGCUCUUCAUGGACAAGUCACAAUUGGCACCCUUAUUCUGCAGGUAAUGUUUUAUUUUGUUUUUCUUUUCUUCAUGCAACCCUCUUAGGGGAAAAAAUUAUCGCCUAACCCAUCAGUUUCCUUGGGUUUGCAGGACUGUGCUGUUGGGUUACUGUUUGCUUUGCUUCCAGUACUAGGUGGGAAUUCUGGUAUUCUUCAAGGAGUGAUGUCUAUGAGUAAAGUGUACGUAUAAAUAGGAAUUUGUUUUACACAUGGGCAUACCCUCAAAUCUAGUUGUUACGUUUUUUCAGACAUAGUAAGUACUAUAAAUGGUUAUCUCAUGAGAAUUUUGAAGGUGCUUGCAAGUUUGCUUGGACGCUUAUGCAUUUAAAAAAAGAAAACCAAACAGUAAAUUUACUUCUUGGGCUUAAUGCUACUGGUGGUGUUCUUUCUAGAACACUUAAAGAAAGGACCAAAGAGUUCUCUAAAAUGUCUGGGAUACUUUUCUUCUGGUUACAAACUUGUGAAGUUCAAAGAUUAAGUUUGAGCUCCUUUGAGUUUGUGCAUGUUAUUCCUUCUUGUGAGGUAUUUAUUAUUAUCAAAAGAAGAGCAGAACUAGGUGCAUAAAACCAUAUUGUGUAUUUAUUAUCAGUACCUCGUGGAACUAGCUUUUUACGCCUUUUGCAGAUGGUUAGUUAUUCUUGAUAAGUCCAGGCCAGGAACUGGUUUUGUAUGACAUGUAGAUUAUACGAGAAAUUGUAGGGUAUGAAUCUUAUAUUUACAAGGUUUUGUAUUUCUCAAUCAGGUUGGUGAUCUUGGUUGGUUUUUUGGUUGCUUUGUCAAUUUUAUCCCGUACAUGUAUUCCUUGGCUCUUAAAACUGAUGAUAAGUCUAUCAUCACAGGUAUGCUUUAUUGCAUCUAUAUAUUUAUUAUUAUUGAAAUUUAUAUACCUGAUUUAACAACUAUCCGAAUUUCAAAUGCAUUGUCUAAUUUAUUUUUCUCUGCAGACCAACGAACUUUAUCAAUUAGCCUCAGUGGCGUUCUGCUUGCUUGUAGCCUGGGUCAGUAUCUACUUUUUUUUUCUGAGUUUGAUUUUAUGCAUGUGGAGAUGUCAUACUUUGAAUUGUUAUCAUUUCUAUCAUUCAGGUUUUUUAUGUAUAGGGGUACUAAGAAAGAACAUCAUUAAUUUUUUUAAAUAAAAAAUCAAACUUCCAUUUUGAAUCAUGAAAUUUUUUAAGGGCAUAUGUAAAGACAGCCCAGACAAUAGGAGACCUAACCUACUUAUAGGGCCACUAAUCCAAUAGAAUAAGGCCUGAUGGAUUAUUACAGAAGGCCUUAGAGCCCACUAUCCACCACAAGGGGGUCUUAAACUCAGUAUUAUUCCAAAGAACGCACCAAGACCGUUGAAACCCCUAAAGAAAUAUCUAAAGAUCCCAAUAUUUCGUUCACAACAAAUACACCUCCAAACCUAAAACAAAUAACAAUAAAUAGAAAUAAAUAAAUAAAUAAAAAGUCUUCCAAAGCACUUGCCUUUUAUAUCUUUGAAGGGAGGGAAUGGGACAACUUCCUUUUACUGUACACCUUUCUUCUUUUUUAAAUUAUAACUCUCUGGUGUAUGCCUACUUUGAUGGGAUACUAUUCCCAUGACUAAUGAAGUUGUAUAAUUUUAUUGGUCGCUAUAUGAUCAAUUGAAAUUACUUUGUUGGUGCUUUUCUGUUAAUUAUUGUUUUUACAAUUUCAGUGUAGUGAUAAGUUGGGCCUCAGUCUAGAAUUGGGUUCCUUUGCCGCUGGAGUGAUGAUAUCCACAACUGAUCUUGCUCAACACACACUUGAACAAGUAAGGCAUUUCAUUCCAUACUUUGUUUCAAGAGAUGUGUGGCUUAAUUGUAAUGUUACCAAGGCAUGUUGGUCUGGGUGUAUAAACUAUACAUGCAUAUAUGAAGAGUGUGUGCAUGUACUGUUUGUAUAUAUGUGUAUGUAGGUGAAUAAGGUGUUUAUUGCUCUUGCUUCUGUGUGGGGGUUUCAUAUGCUGUUAGUUUGUUUAUUUUUGUAUGGUCUUCAGAAAAUUGUAUCACAAUAUCCGAAUACUGUUAAUAUUCAAGAUGAUAGGAAUGGGUGUGAAAAGAAAUAAGGAAAAUAAGGUGGGUAGGAAUUUUGAAGGGCGAGGUGAAGUUGGAUAGAGGGAGGAUGGAUUCUUGCACUUUAAUACAGAUAAUAGGCUAGAAUUUUGUUUGAAAUGUUUGCUUUUCUGUCUCCCAAGAGUUAUGUGUUGAUUCCUAUUGAGUGAUUUUAUAAUUGCUUGUCUACAGAUAGAGCCUAUAAGGAACUUUUUUGCGGCCCUUUUUCUUGCCAGCAUUGGAAUGCUGAUACACGUUCAGUUUUUGUGGAACCACGUUGAUAUAUUAUUAGCAGCUGUUAUACUGGUGAUAAUUGUAAAAACAAUCGUAAUUAGCACAGUGGUGAAGGGAUUUGGGUAUAACAACAGGACAGCACUUUUGGUGAGGUUAUAUUACUAUAUCCUCGGCAUUCAUCCUUGUUCAUGAUAUGUUAUAAAUAACUGGUUUUCUCUUCUGGAUAUUGAUUUGUGAUGUGUAGGUUGGAAUGUCUUUGGCUCAGAUAGGAGAAUUUGCUUUUGUUCUUCUCAGCCGUGCUUCUAAUCUUCAUCUAGUUGAGGUCAGUGCCAUUAUCUUGCUUCUCAGGAAAAACAUUAAAUGAGAUGCAUGUAAAAAAAAUCUACUGUUAAUCAUAAAUGAUGAUGCACGAUCUCUGAAAUUCUUGGGGGAUGUUUUGGCGUGGAUUCAGUUUGUUCAGUUCAGCCUGGACUUGGGUAGUCUGGCGGUGGGGGUUUAAUCUGAGUCGUGAGAGUUUAGGAGGUCUGACGACCUUACUUGAACAUGAUUUGUUCUUCUAUAGGCUGUACAACUAUGUCCUUGAGAUGAAGAAAAUUGUGCUUGGUGUACAAGCUUAGGAAAACUAUAUAUUAAACGAAUCAUUAGGACUCAUAUUUACUCAAGUUUCUAAAAAAAAAAAAUGAAAAUCUUGUUAUUCCAAUAUGAUAAUUUCAAAGUUCAAAUUGUUUCUUCAAAUUUCUUUAUAGGAAAAAAGUGUUUCAUAGAACUGUGUUGUUUCAGUUGACUAGCUUCAAAAUAAAGUACUUUCUCCGGGCUGUUUUAAAAUGAUUAGUUAAAUGCUAUUUUAUUGUGACUAAGUUUAAUCUAAAAAAAGGUGAUUAAGUUUAAAUUCAAUACCAUACACACACUUCUGUUACUUAAUAUUUUGAAUCAAAUACUUAUUUUAAUAUGGCAAUUUUUUCCUAACUAUAAUCUUUUUUAUUAACUUCAAAAUAAAAUAAUGUUUACUUUUACUUAUUUUUUUCUACUUAAGAAGAGUUACUUUCAUUACCUUGAAUAUGGGUAAUCUUGUAUACAUAUAUUUAAUAAGCUAACUUCAAAUUAAAUACUCCGGAGUUAACUGCUCUACUUAAAUUAUUACUAUAUUAAAUUCUUUUAAUAUAAAAGUUCAAGAUUACAAAAGUGGGGAGGGGAGGGGAGCACAAUCAAAUGGGGCAAAAGCGUUGAAUAACUGAAAAAAUGGAAAUAUUGUUAAGAUCGCCCAGUUAUGUAGCCAUAUUUUUUAAACUAUUGUUACGUAAAAAUGGAUGAAUGAAAAUAAUACAUCUUUUCUUAUUGGAUACUGAUAUUAUGAUAAUUUUCAGGGGAAACUGUAUCUAUUGCUUAUUGGGACCACAGCCCUCAGUCUGGUGAGAUGUAAUCCAUUUCUGCAUGUUUAUAUAUCUAUGUAUCUACAUGAUGGUUUCAUAUGUGUCAUCAUAUGCUGUUGUAAUGAUUAUAUUUCUUUUCUCUGCAUGGUUUUAUUAAUUUUUUUUAUUGGCUUAUUUUGAGUUAUCUGCUAUUCCGUUUGAGACUUCUUUUAGAUAACAAAUAUACUUAAGAAUUAUGAAUAAUUUAGAAAUAGUUGAAAUUGUUAGCUCAAUUUUUCAUCACAAAAACAGGAAUUAGUUGAAAGCCAUUUCUUCAAUAUGAUUUGACAGAAAGAAGGAAGGCAUUGUAUUGGAACUUGGAAGUUAGGACAUUGAUUUGUCUGAAGGAUCAAUAACAAAACAAUAAAAAUUAAAAGCCAUCCAAUAUCCGUUGAUAGAAAAAAAACGAAUGAUUAUUAAGAAAAAAAGUAAACUUGCACUCCUAUAACCUAUUACUUUUUUUUGCAUGAGAGUGUGUUUCAGCAUUAUAUUAGUGAUUAAUUUUCUCAAGAAAUAAAUUUCUGGAUGGGGCAUUUGUUAAAAUUUCGUGCAGGUGACAACUCCUUUUCUUUUCAAGCUAAUACCUGCUGUAGUACAUUUAGGCGUGCUAUUGCGGUGGUUUUCUCCAGAUAGUCUCGUUGAGGUAGAAACAUUUUACUUGAAUCUAACUUUAUACACCGCAAUUUUCCUUGACUCUAAUCCGCUUGAUCAAAAUUUAUCUUCAUGUGAUAAUUCAGAUUGGAUUGAAAGGAGACAUCAUUCGCUCGGACAGUGUAAAGCAACGGGUUAUGUUGAUAGUCCAGGGACCUCACGAUUCAUGACACUGAUUGUAUGUCAAUUGAAAAUGAAAUAUCAUUUUCUUCUCAAGGAGUCAAAUUCUGGCCAGCUUAUUCCCAUGUACAAGUGAAGUCGAUUGAACCACUCUGUAUAUUUGUUCAUGUUUUUCUAGCCAUAUAAAAGCGUGUCCAGAAUCAUUUUUUUGUUUCACUUAACUGACCACUAGAUUUGGAAAAAAGAAAAAAAAAACAGAUUAGAGAGUACUAGAGAUGGAUGACCAGAUAAGAGCCAGUACAAUAGAAGAACACUAUUGUAUUUGUCUUCUUCAGUAUGACCUGAUUCUUUGUAAAAUGUAUUAUAGUUUGGAUAUUUAUAAUGAAAUUGGUACUGCACAAAAUAAUCACUAUGCCUUUUUUUGCAGUGUAAAAUAUUGAUUUUUACCAAGUUCCCAUUUAAUCUCUCAUCUGAUUUCAGCCUUCCGUUGCUACUUCAAGACUCUUCAUCAGAUAGCUAUCAGCAAAAGGAAAAAAUAAAGUUCCAAGGCUGUAAGUUCAUCGAUUCCCUAAAAAGAAAAAAACAAUUUACUGACAGCAGUAUUAUUGAUUGAAAGAACUGCUUAGAACCUUUGGAGGAUUUAGUAACUUCAACUUGAAUAUAUUUGUCUUUUGACCACCUAACCAAAAUGAGAGGAUAGAACUAGAAGUUCCUGUGACUUUGUCAAUUAGGCAUCAGAAAUAAGUAAAAAGUAAAAUGAGAAUCUUUCAUUCAUCUAUGGUUGCUGGGGAAUAAUAUAUUUCAACAAGAGGAGAGAGAAUUUAUGAUUUCAUUUUGGGGAUUUCAACCAUUUUAACUCUUGUUUGAUCUUUUUGGGUGUCCAGAUGUUGAUAGAUAGUUACAGGGAGUAAAUGAGAGAAUCCUUUAUGGUUGAAAUGUCACUAUUUCUUAAGAUUUGCCUGCAGGAACUGACAUGUGCUUAUUUAAUUUAACAGGUUAAAAAAAAAAAAAAAACUAUUUGAGUGUUUCUUCCAUACCUAGUCUCUCCUUCAAAGUUAAUUUUUAUUCUCUUUUUUGCAAGAAAAUAUAUUAUGUCAAUUGAAAGUCUUAAACAAAAUUUUGAAUGAUUCCCAAUUAUAAUAUGUGCUUACAACCACAAGAACAUAAAAUAAAAGUAUAAAAAAAAUAAACCUGAAAAGAUUCUUUCCACAUGAAGAAGAAGAAGAAGUAGAGAAAUAGUGAUAGAUCUAACCUAAAAACAAAAAUAGCGAUGGUAGCGAUGGUCCACUUCUUGCCUGUUUUUGUUUGGGCUUCCUCCUGCAUUUUGUCCUCUACUUUUCAAAUGGGGAAGACGCCAAUUAUUUAACCUGUUUUUGUUGUCAAUUUCCUUCUUUUUAUUUCUCUUUUUCCAAAUCUACAUGUAUGUAUAUUUUGUCUGCUUUGGAAUUUUUUAUCUACUGAUAAUUUAAUUUUAAUUUUUACCUUAUGCUUUCAUUUUAUUUUACAUUUUAAAAGGGGUUCUUUUAAUUUCAGGCCAUUUACCCUUUCUUGCUGACAGCAACAAUUUAGUUACCAUCGGUUUGUUUGCACAAAUGUUCAUUCCUUUCUAAAUAUCAUUCCACUAGAGUUUCACGUGAAUGGUAGUAAUAAAUAACAAAUAAUAAGAACUUAAUGUGAUAAAAAUAGUUUUGGUAAAGGUUGAAACAAACACAUUAUUUUACGAUUUAUUUUUUAGUUUCUACAACCACAUUGUAGUGACACUCGAUUUUAGGGUCAAUUUAUUAAAGAAAGUAAAAUUAUUUUUUCUCUACGUUGUGGGGUCUAGUUUUUAUUCGUUUUUUAGGUUUUGAAAUUUACAUUUUUAUUUCUUAAAUUUUAAAUUUAGUUUUGUUCUAUAUCUUAAAAUGCUAUUUUACCUUAUAAUUAUAUGAUUGUUCUGUAUUAGUAUUAAAGGGAGAACGAGUGUUAUGCGAAAGACGUACUGAAAUUUAUGGAUAGAAUUCACACAAUAGUGUGAGAUUAUUGCAUUAAUUUGAAUUAUUUUGAGGAUGGAUAUUUUUAUCCUAAAAGAAAAGAAAGGAAAAGAGGCCAAUCAUGAGGGAGGCUUUUACUCUUGGCUUUAUGCACUUUGAAUUUUGCAUAAUUUUCUGUCCACAUUAAUUUUUCCCAUAACAAAGAGAAAUCUUGUCCACUCGAUUCUCUUCUUAUAAAGUAUCCAAUUAGUGUUCUUCCAAAUUUUGUUAAUACCAACAAAUUUGAGCCCUAAAAGCUAUAUCAUUUUAAAUUCCCAAGUUGAGAUUUAUUUAUUUAGAAAUUCUCUCUAUUUAGAGGCCACCUACAGCUUUCAUUUGUAAGGAUCAAGAUUGCUGAGCUGAAAAAUAAGUGCUUUAUCAUAUUAUAGGAUUCUUUUUUUAAAUUAAAAAAAAUACUAACAAAAUCCAAUUAGAAUUCUUUUAACUAUAAUUCAACUUGAUAUGUUCAGAUCUUUUACAUUAACCCAUCUUCAUAAUUUACCCACCAACGUUUAAAUAAUAUAGUUGUAAAUAUAUUUUUAUUUAGCUUUGGCUCACUUUGUUGACGUAUUUUAAAAAUAUUCAUUUUAUUUUUUGUAUUUUAAAAAUUAUUCUCGGUUCUUAGGUAUGGAAAAGAAAAUGAAAAUAAAUGAAACAAUAUAAAGUAUAUGAACAAAAAUGGAUCUACAUAUAUUGUUUUUUAUGAGUUGAAGAAAUGUUAAAAGUAUUUUUCUCUAACUUAUUUGAUUUGAAAGAUUUUGUUUAUAAUAUGAAUAUUUGGGUCAAAAUUAGAACCUUUUAAGAGACUAUGAACAAAAUUGGAAAAUAAUAUAAAUUCUUUUAGAAUCAAAAUGCAGUGGUACUCUUUCAAUUGUUCAGCUAGAGACUAUGACUAUAAAUGUUAUAAUUAGCCAUUAAAAGAGAGUAACCCAGCUAGCCUACAAAGCAAGACAAAACUUAUAUGUUUGUUUUUAUAGGGUAGCCCACACCUUUGACCAAAUAACUCAUUUUUAAUUAAUUGAGUUCACCAUUAAUGCAUCAGUUUUUAUGACAAAUUAAUGGGUUUCAUGGAAUAAUAAUAAUAAUCUUUCCAUUUCAAACAAAUUUGUUUAGAAAUUAUUUUAUUUUUGAUAAUCAAUAAACCCCAACUUGUUUGUGGACACAAAGGAGUUUUGAUGAUACAAUAGUAACCAACAUAAACAUUAUAUUAAAAAAGAACAUCGUUAUUCCACUUCAAAAGUACAAACUAUACUAAUAUUUAUAACAAUAAUAAUCCAUGGUGAUUCACUGAGCUACUUGUUCAAGUACUGGCUUUGGAGUGGACAAACUUAGCUGCAAAUCAGGUUGAUGAUGAUGACGAUGAUGAUGAUGAUUGGUUGUUGUUUGAAAAUUGUUGAUCGUAAUUGAGCUUGAAGAUUUGUUGAUGGGGGAUUGAAGAAACUUGAAAUAUGGCUCAUGAUGACGUUGAUUAUAAUGAUACUCAAUCCAAUUGAGAUUUGUUAAUUCUGAAAUAUUUGGAAUUGGAGUUGGAUUCCCAAAGGAAAUAUUAUUGGAUGAAGCUGGUUGGAUAUUAUAAUUAUUAUUGGUUGGUUUCAAAUUGUUGUUGAUGCUGCUGCUGCUGCUGCUGCCUUUUUCAACCACUUGCACUGUCAAUUUGUCCCUUGCUGCAGCACCCUGUUGUCAUUCAUAAUAAACCAUAAACACACAUUUUUCUUUUGUAGUAUAUAGAGUAGUGAAAGUCAUUUACAAUCCCAAUAUUCAAAACCUAAUCAUCAUUGAAUUUGACACCAACCCUACAAAAAAGAAUCAUUCUAAAACACACAACAAUGAAAGGAUUAAAUUGAAAAAAACAACUCAAUUAGCUUUUCUGUUUAUUAUUUGGUUAUUGGAGAACCUUAGAAUUUCAUUUCUGUAGUUUAUAAUUAUAAUUCAGUUUUUAGGAUUUUAUCAAACCAUAUUUACUUAAAUUCUAAUUAAUAUUGAAUUGUAUUUUACUUUAGUGAGUUUUAGUUUAGUAUUAUAUAUUAUAUAGAUACGAACUGGUAUUUAUAUUAAACAAUUAGUUGUUAAACUUCACCUUCCUUCUCGUAUAUAUUUAUUAUCAUUGAGUAUUAUAUGUGUUUAAUUAAUGACUAGUCAAUAAAAAAGGAAAGUCUUAUACGUAUGCAAAUGGGUUAUUUAAAAGUAAUAGAAUAGUGUGUAUUAUUAUUUAUAUUGGAAGAGGAAUAUAAAACAUUAGUGACGAACUAAUUAAAUUUAAGUAUAUAUUGACAAUAUUGGCUUUUGUCUUUUAUUUAUAUGAAUAUUCACUUACUUAGAAAAUUGGGUUAUCAUUCAAAAUUCAAUCUUUGGCAAUUGGCACAGAGAAAAAACAGAAAUAAAAUAUGUGAAAAAUUAGAGAGUUUUGAGAGGGGGAAGUUUACGUCGAAAAGGCUGGGACGACGCUGUUUUCUUUUGUUGAGAGUUGUGAGUCGUAGAAAGUAUUUUUGUGCAUGACUAGCUACUUGAGUCGGAGUUCUUGUCGUCACAAAUUUCCUCGAAAUUCCUCUCCAAUCUCCUUUUCCAAGCUUUUCUAACCCAAUUAGAAACACCUUAUGCUCCUCUUCACUCCAUGGUACACCUAUUCAAAUACCAAAAACAUCCCGAGCUAGUAAGUUGGUGAAACGAUAAAACUAAUUAUAUAAUCAGCUAGAACGGAGAAAAGAUGAAAUGAUAUUCCUAGCUAGAAUUCAAGCAUGCAAUUUAAUGCUUUAAUACCAUAAUUAACCUAAAAAAAUAAGAAAUAAGAAUAGCCAUAUGACCAAAACGAAAAGGAAAAAGAAUAAUUAAAAGAAGAAAAACCAUGUUUUUGUUUUGAAUCUUUUGAAUUCAUGAUGAAUGAUUCAGUACAGUGCAAGAAAAAUUACCUUUUUUUCUUUCAUGGGUUUUGGCGACGAGGCCGUCUGAGAGAUAUCCAUUUGACAAUUUCUCAGAAGAAGAAGAGGACGAUAAAGAUGAAGAAGCCGAAGAAGAAGAAGAAGGCAAAGAAUCCAAACUAAUACUCUUCUUCAACAAGGUGGUAUGAUGAUGAUGAUGAUGAGUUGUUGUUCCAUUAUCAAUGAGUUGAACUCCAAAUAACUUAAACUUGGUUUCUUUAUGCUUUUGAAUGGUGCAAGUUCUUGAAUUGUGACCCACAUUCCCACAGUGUGAGCAUUUCCUCACCAUCUCUCUCUCUAUCUCUCUCUCUCUCUCUCAAAUGGAAUCUCAAACUAACACCAAAUUCUUUCAAAAGUAUAAUAUAAAGGGUUUAAAAAGGAAGGGGUAGCUGUGUUGUUGUUUUGAUUAAAUUAAAUUAAAUCAAAUCAAAUCAAUAGGGUUUGUGUUAAUUAUUAAUUAGUGAAGAAAGAGAUAUGAUCCUCUCCUCCUCCUAGGUUCUUUCUUUAAUGAUUAUUGACGUAAAUAGCAAGUCAAGAGGUGUGUGUGUUUGUGUCUCAUUGGAUCAUAUUCUUUUUCUUAUAUGAUAAUAAUAAUGAUAUGAUAAAACUUAUCCUAAAAAUGGCAUCUUUUUUAAAACUCCCACAUGACCAACGUGACCUUAUAUUUGUCCCAUUCUUUCUCAUAUCUCUCUAUUUUAUUUUAUUCUUUCUAUCCAUUUUCACCUUUUCUUUCUUUCUUUCUUUCUUUUUACUCUCAUUUCUACUUAUUCUAAGUAAGUUAGAUUACAUAUUUGCACACGAAUAGUUUGAAAAUUUUAAGGGUUUUUCUUUAAUCCUAAUAAUACUUCAUUUGAAUUUUUAAAGAAUUUUUUAUACCUAACAAUAGUUUUUGAAAUAUUUAUAAAAAAUUAACAGUAAUAAUACUAAAACUUUUAGAAAUUUAUCAAAAAAUAUAUAUAGUAAAUUUGACAUUCUAUCCAUGUAAAUAUAAGUAAAUAUUUUAAUUUAUUUUACUACUUUAAAAAAUGCUCGAAAAAUUGUAGUAGAAAAUAUUUACAAAAUUUAAAAUUUUAUCAAUUAUGGAUGUAUAUUAUUUGAAGGUGUCUUUUUUUAUUUUUUAAGUAUGAAACAUAAUUUUUUAAAAAAGCUUAAGAAGAUAUGUUUAAUUUUUUUUCUUUAAAUUACUAUUAUUUGUUAUUGAAAUUGGGGUGACCACAAAAUUCCCACCAUACAUUAUUGUGAUGGGAAAAAGGGAGUGAUGUUGAUACCAACCAACAAAACCCUAUUUUUAGUUGGAGAUUUGCCCAAAAAAAAAAAAAGAAGAAAUUUGAAAUAAUUUCUUGAAGAUUGCUCCAUAUAAAAAAAGAUGGGAUAAAAAAGAGAAUGAUUACAAGCAAGUUGGCAGAACAACUACUGAAAUAUCAACAUUCAACACAUUGUGACCAUACAUUUUUGUGGAAGCUAUUUCCAUUGAUUAUAAACUUCCAAAUCAAACAUUUCCAUACAUUCCCUACACACACACACAAAAAUACCAACUGUUUCUUUUAGAUUUUCAACUUUGUUAACUAUCACGUUAAUGUGAUAUAUAUGUAUUCAAUUUUCUUAACAUAUUAGUUAACUUGUCAAGUUGGCAAAAACCUUAAUUUCAAUAGUAUUUUUGGAAAGCAUUUUAACCUAUAGUUUUUAAGACGAAGGACAAAAAUGAAUUCCAUAUGAGUCUAAAGUUCAUUAAUUCUUUUGUAUAUGAUAAGAAAGGUAAGGCAUUGGCCAUCAAAUCUCACCAUUUAGAAAUCCCAUGUUGUCUCCAACAUGGUGGACCAAAUUUCCAUACCCACAAUAUCAUUAUCCCCUCUCUCUCUAUAUAUAUAUAUAAACUAUAUUAUUACUAUUUCUAUAUACUUUGCAUAAAUAAUAAUAAUAAUGCUUUGUGUUUGUCUAACAUGAGACAACUAAUUAACAACUUAUUAUAAUCUCAUUCUCUUUAAACAUAAAACCCUAAUUCACAUUAACCCAACUUGUCCCUGUACUAUUGUUCUAAUAAUAGCAUUUUUCACAUUGCUAUAUAUUUAAUCAUCCAAAAAGUAUUAUUUAAUUGAUUAUAAUUAAUUAGGUGACAAUUUUGUUAGAAUAUAUAUAAGUGAAUUAGCGAAUUAAAUUUAUGAAGAGAUUAUAUAUAUAUUUUUUUUAACCUUUUCAAAUGGUAAAAAGAAUUACUAACACAAUUUAUUAUUUACUUGAGUAUUAAGCAUCAUAUUUUAGGGAGGUGAAAAUGUUUUCUCUACCCAACAUUUACUAAUUAACUCUUUUGUUUUUACUGACCCUUUUCAAACUUUACACCAAAAAUAUCGUAAAGUAGUUUUAAUUUAAGCAUAUAUAUAUAUAGGGUGUGAAAAUGAUAAUGAUGCAUCUUUUUCUUUUAUAAAGUAGUUUGACUUAAUCACCUCUCCCCAUUUCAAUAUUCUUUUCGAUAAUUAAUCAAUGGACUUUCCCUUACCUGCACUCAUCUCGUUUUAAUAUUAAAAACUAAAAUAUCACAUAUACAAACUGCACCAAUCGAUGAUAAGUACUAAUAUCUGUCCAAGAAAUAUGUUUUUUUCUAAGUAAUUAAGAAACCAUCAUGUAUAACCACACUAAUUAAUUAAUUUACUUAAUCUCCUGUUUCUUUGGCCUAAUUAUUAAAAUCCUAGUUGCAAUCUGAAAAGGUGUAGUAUAAAUUAAUUAUACACAUCACACUUUGAAUGUAACCUUUUCUUGUUCCCUUCAUUUCUCUUUAAUAUUUAAGGCCAAGUUGAGUGGAUAUCUUAUUAAUUUAUCAAAAUUAAACUCUAAUAUAUAUUGGUGAAUUUGACUGCUACUUUGGUUUCUACUUUGAUAUAAAAUUAGCAUAUGACAUAAAAAUAAUUAACUAAGUUGUUUUUUAUUCACUGUCGUCUAGUGAGUGAAGGAAGAUAGUUAAAGUAACACAUAAUGUAAGUUAUUAUAUGUUACAAAAUUAAAGCAUUAUCAUUUAAAAUAAUGGGAAUUAAAUUAUAAAUUUAAUAAAUCUUUCCAAACCAUAUAUUAUACUUUUAAUUGAAUUUUACAUUUAAUUGGAUUUUAAACUUUCAAUUUGACUAACCCAUUUAAAUUUUUAGGACUAAAUUUGUAAAUCUAAUAUGAAAUUAAUAUGAUUCAAGCCUAUUAAUUUAAAACAUUGUUGAGUUUCUAUGUAUGAAAUUAUGGUGAAUCUUCUCGAAGAUAGUGACUAAAUAAAAUUAAUUAUCACAUUUGCUAUAGUGACGACUAAAUAAAUAAAGUAACAAUAUCUUAAUUAAGGAAUAACGACAAAAUUAAACUUAUUACAAAUAAUUAAUAUUUAAAACGAAGCAAUAUAGAGAGAGAAGAAUCAAUUAUGGAAAUAAUAAUUAAUGGAAGUUUAAGAUAAUGUUUUAAAUUAACAAAAAAGUAUAUGGACCAAUUUGGUUCUCCAAAGUUCAAAACCCUCUAUUAAUUAAAUUAUAGACAAUUAAUUAAGAAAAUUCAACUUGAAUCUAUAUAAAAGCUUAAUUAAUUUAGAGAUAAUGACCAAAAGCUUAGGGGUUGUGUGGAGAUCAUUUGCUUUAAAAAACCCUACUUAAUUUUUUUUAAUACAAAAUAAUUAUGAGUGAUGGGACCAACUCAACAUCCAAACCAAAAUUUCUAAGGUAAUUAAUUUACAUUGUGGAUAUUAAUUAAUCAUGCCAUUUUUUAUUUCCAAAAUUAGACUUUAUUAUAAGAAAAGUUAAGUCUAACUUAAUUAAUUGAUUACAAAUUAUGAAAUUGACUAUUACACGAUAGGUUGAAGUGAUCAUAACAUAAUACUAAUGCAUAUCAAAUUAAUCUAAUUAGUGCAUCUAUGAUUCUUAAUUAUAAGAAAACAAUAGUGUUUAUAAUUAAUAAUGGAAAUAAAAUUAGACUAAUUCAUUGAAUAUGGUCUAAAUAAUCAGGUAAUUAAUUAAGGCAAUGAAUAUAAUCAAGGGAUGUUCUCUCUAUCUCCAAUAAUCAUGCAUGAUAUAGGAAAUUAAAGUUGAUUAAUUAAGAUGGUUGAAUAUUCCCUAAUGUUGACAUUCUUCUUUCUUUUUUAUUAAUUUUGCUGUAUUGAUUAAUAGUUAUUUUUUAGUCCUGACAUUAAGCUUAAUUAAUUUUACGUAUAGUUUAAGGAUGAUUAAAUUACAUGUGUGAUGUCACUUGAAAAUGUGUUGAUUAUUUAAAUUAUAAGCAACCAUAUUAUUGCAUAUGAAAUGAAAUUAAACACUAAUUAAUUUGCUCUUGCUCUCAUGAUUAAUAUAAUUAAAUUAGCCUCUUUAGGUUACGUGAUGCAUCUGCCCUCUAACUUAUCUUCAAUUGGUUUAUUAGAGUGAUAUAUAUGUAAGAAAAGGAAAUUAAAUUAAAUUAAGAAGAUAAUUUUUCUUAAUUACAAGCUAUCAAAUUGUUAGCUUAAUUAAUUAUGAAGAUUAAUAAGGCAUACUUUAUUUAAAAGAAAACUAUGAUAUACUAUAAAUAAAAGUGUAUAUGUCAUCAUGUAAAAUGAUAUUCUGAAGUUUGAAGAACACACAGACUAUUAAAUUAGUAUUAUAUUGUGAAGACAUGUAGAGAAUUUGGUUACAAAGUUUUGUAUUAGUCAUACAAAUUUUAAUUAAUAUAGGUCUAAUUCAAUCCUUAUUAUUAAUUAAGAUUUAAGUCAAUAAUCCAACAAAAAAGAUUACAUGAUAUUUUCUUUCUCUUGUUAAUUAAUAUUAUUCACACCUAAGCAAUAAUAACAUAUAUUCACAUUAUUUAUAUUUGAAAAAUAUUAAUUAAUUAUACCAAUUUAAAUCUUAUGUUAUAGAGUGAAUCAAUUUAACCUAUUUAAUUUCUAAUUGAAAGGUCUAAAUUGGAUUAAUAUUUUUAAAUUUCAGUGUUCAAAUCAAUAUUCUUACUAACUGUGAGGGGUAAAUAAAUAAUGUACUUAUUCAAAAUUAAGAGAUAUUUAAUUAUGUUCGUUUUACAAUUUAUCAAACGUUGAUCAGAACAAACUUCAUAUAUAAUCUAAAUUAGAGUGAUAUAUUUCAACCGACACGAAUCUCUCACCUAACUCCAAUAAUAAAAAAUAUAACUUGUGAAGUCAUUAAAUUACAUAAUUAAGAAAAACCAAUAGUUAAGAGGAGAAUAUUCAAGAAUCUAAAGACAACUAUACUAUACCAUAAGACUAAGCAAUUUUGGAAUCAUGUCUACAUCUUUUAUCUAACCAAAUAAAACAAACAAAUAAAGUAAAAGCCAUUGACAAACAAAAUUCCUCUAAUAAGCAAACUUUGGUUAUGAUUGAAAAUUAAACUAAGCCAAACUUUGCACCCUAAGUCAAAAAGGGACCCUCCUAAUUAUCUUAAUCACGACUAUUUAUUUACAUCAAUGAGUUUAAUUAUGAUUUAAUGUGUUUUUUAUUAAAAUUUUAUCUCAAUUAAUUUAAAAUUAUUUUUAAAUAUAGUAAAAUAAAUUAAAAUAUUUAUAAAAAUAUCAUAUUUGAUAGGACAUAAUAUAACUAUUUAUUAUUUCUAUUGUCGUAUAAAUUCAAAUGGAAAUAAACUAUGAUUUUAAUUAUUUUUUCCAUCAAUACCUGUUUUUUUUAAGAUGAACAAUAGAACAUUAAUCAUUUAAAUAAUUCUUAUGAAAGAUUAAAAUAUUGGUUUGAAAAAUAAGUCAAUAAUUAUUUUAGCAUUAUUCCCAAUAAGAAAUGCUAUUAAUCUAAUAACCAUUUGAAAUUCUAAGGUUGUGGUUGUGAAGUUUCCUUCUGUACUAAUAUAUAUGAAAUGAAUGCAUAUGUAUAUAUUUAACUUUUAUAUUUUGAAGGAAUCAUAGGUUAUAUGUAUAUAUUUAUAUUUGAAUAAACAUGUCAUUAAAAUACACAAAUUAACAUUUAGAGGUCCAAUUAUGAUUUAAUUUGAUCAUUCCUUUUGUAAUUUUUUAACUUAAUAGAAAAAUGGACAAAUGCCAAACUGAGUAUAUAGAUUACUAUUUAAGCACAUGGUCUCUUUAUUGUCUAUUUGUAUUUUGUCCAAUUAAUUGUUAGUUCUUACACAUCUCCUAGCAAUAAUUUUGAUGUCACAUAUAUCAUAUUAAAGUAUAUUAUAAUAAAGUGUAUCAAAUUAAAUUUAGUUUAUAGUUUUUUUUUUUCUUUGUUAUAGUUCAAAUUUGAUCCCUAUAAUUUUCAAAGUUUCAAUUUAGCCCUUGUUAAUGAUUGAAACUCUCUCCUUUACUUGAUGUCAUCUUCUAAUAUACAUAUAACCAACAUAUUAACAUAUCUUAGAUGUAUUUAAGAUGCAGUAAUGUCUUGUAAUAUAACAAUAGAGAUAAUUAGUAAAAUGCAACCCAACUGUGGUGAUGAAAAUGACCAUUAGAAAACCAGUACACUAAAUUGAAACUAUAACUAAAUUAAUUAGAUGUAUGGAGUGAUAAACAUUCAUAAUUUCAUACCUCCCCACAAUCAUAUCAAUGUAGUUAUUAUAACGUAUAUCAAAGUUGUUAAGUUCGUCGAAACUGCUACUCUCUUUAAUAGCAGCAGGUCAAGACUUCUUUCUGAUAUUUGAGAUUUUGAUCAUCACAACACAUUCUAUUAGAUUAUAUUUCUCUUUUUUGUCCACAAAAUUGUAAUUUAAUUGCUCACAUUUUGGAAUGUAAUGCACCAUAAACUGACGUCCUUUUCGUAUAGCUUAAAGAUCAUUCUCCACAUGUUAAUGUUGCUCUGUCAAAAUGAUAUUCAUCUCUUUGCUUUUCUUAUAUAUUGAACGAAAAUGGACAUUCAAACUCUCACGUUUUGGGCCGGGAUGUUAGGCCCCGGGCCGGUUUCGGGAGUUAUAAAUGGGCCGCCUUUAACUAGUUGGGCUUGGGCCGUAACAUGAAAAAGCAGUAUUGGGCAAAUCCUGUAAUUCAUACAGAAAGCAGGGGUGAAUUUGCAAACUUGGUCAAAAUUUAUUGAUAUCAAUAAUUAAUAUUUACAUAUCAUAGCUUAAAUGAUUUUACUUUAUGGCAUGUAAAGUCUAUCCACUACCAAAAAGAAAUUGCCUUUUUUAACUAUAUUUUCUAUUGUUCUUUAUGUUUAAAUUUUAUAUUUUACUUUUUUUGUCAACUUGAUCUUUUAAAAUAUUACAUUAUGUCAAAUGUAUUAGAAAUUUGUUGAUAAUUUAAAAACAAAUUGAAAGACCAAUGACCAAUUUUUAGGACACAAACAAACUAAAUAUAGUUAUUAAUAGCACCAAAUAAAGGUAUUGAGAUUUUAUGAUAUGAAGUUUAUUAAUAAAAAUUUACUCUCUAAUACAAUUUAUUUAUUUUGUGUCUAAUAGAUUCUAGAAAUUUAAAAAACACUCUCUUAAACUAAAAAUCAUAGCAAAACGAAAAAAGAAAUUGAGAAUAAUGUUUUUAUUUGUUGAGUUCUUUCAAAGAAAAGAAAAAAGAAAUUGAGAAUAAGAUUUAAUAUUUAGAAUAUUAUAAAAGUUGGGACAAAACGAAGACAAGAGUCAUUUAAAACAUACCAUAGUACUAUGCACUAAAAAAUGCUAAUUAUUAGUGACAAAGAAGACCUUUCACAUCUAUGCUUUCACUUUAUUGCUAAAGGGACCUUAUAAAAGCUUCUUUAAAAAAAAAUAUUAAAGGGUAUAUUUUUACAUUCGUACAACUUAUCCUUUGAAGAUAUAAUAAGACUAAAAAUAAUUUUAUUUAGUAGGUUAAAAUUUGUUAUCGAAAGUUUAAGAGUAUAGUUGUAACUUUUACUAUACUUUGAAAAUAGUUUUAAUUUUUGUAGUUAUUGAGUUUUUACAAUAUCAUUCAUGAUGUCAUAGCAAUAUUUAAAAUAUAGAAUUCAAAGUGUGACAUACUAUUUUUUAAAUUCUAACUUGCUAGUGAACUUAGAAUAGAACGGAUAAAACAAAUUAAUGUACUAAUGGUUAGUUUUCAAACGUGUUUGGUUUGGUCGGUAACGUGUAUGUUAGGAAGAUUUGAAACAUAUACUAUUUAGUAGAUACUAGUAUCACAUGUCAAUUGAGUUAUAAGCUGAAGGUAGAUACUAGGAUGUUAUUUUUUACCCUAAGAAAUUUAUUAUAUAGUUCAAAAGCAGGAUCAUAUUUUGACUGAGGAAUAAUUUUGGAGAUAAUGAAAAGCCCAAGAAGAAACCCCAUGUUGGUUGGUUUGAACUUUUGAUUGGUCUCUGUGUCUUUUCAAAACUGAGCACACUGCUCUGAGUCAUGGAGAGGUCCGGACAUUGGCGACCCACCAUGGAACCUCUCUCUGAAUCCCAAUGUGAACCUCUCUUUUAUCUUUCUCACCUUCUCCAUUUUCUUUCAAUUUUCUCCCUUUAAUAAUGGGGGUCGAAAGAGAUUGUGAAAAAAGGCACACAACCCCAAAACCCCUUGAAACCCCUCUUUUUGUUUGUCAAAAUUGUUUGCUUCUUCAAAUUGAAAUUCCAGUUUCUGGGUUCUGAAAUACACAAAAAGCAAAACCCAAGUUGAGAAGAAAAAGGUAGUAAUCAGUAUUCUCUUUUAGUAGUAGUACAGUAUGUGAAACCAAAAAAUGGGUCAGGAAAAAGAGCUAAGCUAAGAGACAUUGAAUUUGAAAUAUUUUGUCUUGCAGUGUGGAUUGCCAGCAUUUCUCUGUUUGGGUUUGCAGGCAAACCAAGCAAGGAACAGACCCCACAACCUCAGUUUUUCACACUCAACCAUGUGGUAAUGGUAAGAAAAAACAUAUAUUUACUAUCAAUUUUAGUUUCCUGAGUUUUUUUCUUUUCUUAUUUUUGUCAUUGUGCUGUCAAAGAAUUUGUUCUUGGAAAAUCAAUCUCGAGGUUUGAGUUUCUUUAUUAUCCAACGUGGAAGCUGAAUGAUAAUUACACUUGAUUUUAAUAAAUGUACUGUCUUUUCUGUGAAAAAUAUUUUUUCUCUUUAAACUUUCAAGAACCGUACACUCUUUGAAGCAUAUUUUGUCUAUUAAACUCUUCAUUAAGAAAGAACCUUCUCUUUCCGUUCUUACUUGAGUAAUUAUUAAAGCCCACUUUAUGAGAGAAAGAGGUCUUGGUUGGAACUUCUUGAACCUGAAACGUUAGUUGACCUUGACAGGACAGAAAUUGGAUUAGUACUUUCAGAGAGACAAUUGAGAUGGUUAGAAAUUAAACCCCUUUAAUGGUUUCACUUACCAAGCCUGCAGUGCAGAGAAAAAGGCAAAAGCCAGAAGCAUUCUCUCUAGUAACAGCUACAUGGAAGUGUUGCACCAACAUUGAGGUUGUAGGUCCACAUUAUUUCCUCUAGUUAUUUCUGGUCAUUAUCCAGAUCCCAUUAUCGCUACUUGGUCAGAGCUCUAAAGAAAAAUCAGAGAAAAGAUUUAGAAAAUGGAGGGAAAAGUUUGGGUUGUAUCACAUCAGAUCCAACGGCAGAGCUCUAGAUUUAAGAUAGAAUGGUAAUGGAAAAUGGAAUCCUGAUCCGAGAAAUGAAGGCUAUCUAUUUGCAUUGUUUCAUCAUUCUGGUGUUACUCAAUGAAUAACCAUAAUGGUCCGAAUACGAAUAUUAAGGAAGGUUAGUCUAAUAAUUGAAGAAAUGCAUACACCCAAAACUAGCUGAUGGGUGCUGUUUUCAUUGCGAGACAUUAAAUUUGUCAAAGAUAUCCCACAAGAUCUUCUCGUCAGUUUUGGUUUGCUUGCAUCAUCAUUUUCAGGCUCUUUUCUCUCGCCUUUCUCUGAGACUAUAUCUGUUCAAAAGUACACUGCUGAAACAGUAGUCUCUCUUUUUUCACAUUUGAUUGCCUUAAGUUCUUAGUUGUUUGAUUCUGAAGAGAAAGUGUGAUACUUUGUUACUGUAUUACUCUUGCUUCUCAUCACUUUGGCUUUCUUGUUCAGAAUAGCUUAAAAAGAAAGGGACUGUCUGAAAAAUGGUGCUGAGAAGACCUGGCAGGAACAGGAAUUUCAACAGAGAGAAUCCAGAUAUUUUGAUUAUGAUGAUUGCAGUGGAUCAGAUAAUAAGAGGUUGUGAGCAGGACAAAGGAGAUGGCACAGAGAGGAAGGGGAUGGGCCCUUUAAAGCCUGCAACAAAGAGUGAGUGGUUUCUGCAUCCCAAGAGCUAUGGUCUCUCCUCUUUCUUGCUCUCCACCCCCUGGUUUUCUCUUGUGCGGCUGAUACUUCCUUCUAUCUUUAUUUAGUGGGUCCAUUUCCUCCAUCUCCACCUUCAUGCAGAGUCCUCUUUUUUGCCUCUUCACUCUCUCUCUCUUCCUUUUAAUGGUUCUCUGAGAUGGGUGUCAUUCAUUUUCCAGAGCUGUACGUAUUUUAGCUUUAAAGUUUGAGAACAGAGAUUGAGAUUAUACAUCUCCCUGCCGUUCAAUCCUCCAAACUUAAGCUUCUCGGGGUUUGAGCGCUUGAAGCUAUUCCAUUCUCCUUUUUUCAUGCAAAAUUUUGUAUCACUUUUCUUUUACCAUCGGCUUUAUGUUGUUGUGAUUUGGCAGAAGCCGGAAAAGUGGGAAUACAGCACCAGUCAUUAUUACUUCUUUUCCCCUUGUUUUUUUCUAUAAAAGCAAAGCUUCUCUUCCACUUUAUCUGAACUUUCACAAUGGCACCCUUUUCUGGAGAAACAAAAGAAACCAAGUUCUUUGAAUCUUCUCCUUUUUCUUUUUUAAGUUGUCUUUGAUCACCUGUGAGUGAAGAACCAUAAAGCAGUGAACAUUAUAGCAAUUUUUUUUCGUUUUAUAACUUGCAGGUUUAAAGCUCUUCACUAAGCCAUCACAUCCAUUUAAUUUGCUUAGAAAUUCAGGACACGGUCAUUUUUUUUUCAGGGGAUUUGGUGUGGGGCUUUCGCUCUAAGUUUCUCAUCCUAUAUAGGAUGACAGAGAUUCAUCAAAUGGAAGGUUGGUUUCUUUGUCAUUUUAUGCUAAUGGCUCAAUGUUUAUGUUCUGGCUGGUGGUUUACAGAGUGAGUUUUGAUGUGGACCUUUAUUUCUUCUGUCUUGUAUGAUGUUAUGUUUGUUCCCUCCUUUGUAUCGUGUGUCAAAAUAAAUUGAACAUCUUCAACGAAUGGCUUGUCAAUAUUAAUUUUUUGCUGGUCCCUAAACGUAACAUGCUUUUCACUCUUGUGGCAAUAGGUUCUGGAUAUGUUACAACUACUAAUUUCCCUUUCCAACUCUGAAUAAUAAUAAUAUAGCAUAGCCUGUCUCUAGAGGAAUGUGAAUUUGGAUGUCUGGAUUGAGCUGCAAGUUCAUUUCUUUUUCCAUUCAACUGAGAAGUUCAUUUUUUGUUUGAUAAUGCUAUAUUGACUUAUAAAUGCUAUUGAAAUCGCAGCUAAAAAGUGAAUGUGGUUUGAAUCGAGUAUGUUAAUCUCAGCUGUUGCUUUGGAUAAAGAAUGGUAGUUUUCCGUCUAGACUGCGUAUGGGUGGGCGAAUGAUUUGAUGAAUGCUCUGGUGGAUAUGGUAAACCCAAAUUCUGUUGUUGUAUGUGAAAUUCUGCCUCUUGGCUUUUAGAACUCAGUUGAUACGUCCAAUUAAUGAACUAAGCAAUAUUACAGCUGGAUUUCCUAUCUUUUUAAGUCUGCGGGAGUCUGGAUGCUCUGCUCUUACUAGUGCUGAUAAUCAUAUAGUUGAACAAUUGACAUUUUGAGGUUUUCCAAUGUCUACUGCCCUGCAACGAAUCGAUAUGGGAGAUGCUUGUCUGGGUCCCUCUGGUAAUGCUGAGUUUCAAAAUCAAUUGGCAGUAGCCAUUCCUAUUUCUCUGUUUCAAUCUACCUCUCUUGCUCCAGUGAAUGAUAUUCGUGGAAAUACAAAAGAUUCAGCAUUUCCAGACCCACAGUUCCAGCAAUUAGAAACCUUUAGAACGUGCUUCUUACACAGUUACUCUAAUGCUUCAAAUUCUUCAUUUGCAAGUUCUCUGAUCUGUGAAGGUGAUGAGUCUCUAUGUAAUGCAAAUAAUAAGUGGGAAAGCGAUAGGUUUCAUUGUAUUCAGCAACUUUCUGGGGAGAAUCCGGAAACAUCUGAUUCCCAGACCGUCUUGUCCAUGGAACACCUGCACCAGAAUGGCUGGAUGUCAUCUAACACUAUGAACUCUAAGUUAUGGAAUGAGCUUUCUCUAAGCCUUGCUACAACCGAACCCGUCCUCAGUGGAGGAACUGAUUUCCUGGACCAGUAUUCUCAGUUGACUUUUUCUGGUGCUACUCAACCUUGCUUGAACAGCACAGAAUUAGCCUCGAACUUAAAUUCAGGCAGCUCUAGGGACCUCUCUCUAAGUUAUGGAUGUGGUAAUUCUGUUCGCCUUUCUCGAGCAAUAGCAGGAUCUAGAUAUCUUUCGGUCAUUCAAGAUGUACUUUCUCAAAUUGCAAGCUAUCCACUGGAAAACUCAGAUCAAGUUGAUCAUUCAACUACUGCAACUGGGUUUGUGCCGUUGUCAUCAUCAAGUUCCCUGGAUGAUGCAACGAUUGAAUAUGGUUCUGAUGUUACUGGUAGAUACAGUUCUCAAAUGGAGCCGGAAUGGCAAAAUCUAUCUGUUGAUGCCAAGAAGUCCCAUCUGUUGACUCUACUACAAUUGGUUGGUUAAUUUAAUAUAGCGUUUCUCUGAUUUUUAUCUUUUUACCCUUCUUAUACUGAAAAACUUGAUAGUGUUUCAGAUUGAUGAGAGGUACACUCAAUGCUUGGAUGAGAUUCAUACCGUUACUUCUGCGUUUCAUGCUGCUACUGAUUUGGACCCUCGCUUGCAUACUCGAUAUACACUCCAGACGAUCACUUCGGUGUAUAAAAACUUGAGGGAGAAGAUUACCAGUUGUAUUUUUGCUAUUGGGAAGCAUUCUAACGCAACGUGCACCAAGGAGAAGGAAAAAUUCUUUGAGGCAACAUUCUUACAGAAGCAGUGGGCUCUCCAGCAGUUGAAAAGGAAAGAUAAUCAAUUAUGGAGGCCACAGAGAGGCUUGCCUGAAAAAUCUGUCUCCGUUCUUAGGGCAUGGAUGUUUCAAAAUUUUCUCCAUCCGUAAGAUUUUGUGACAAAUCUGGUUUACUUUUUGAAGAUACGUAUAGUAAGUUGAAGGAAUGUUUGUUCUUUGGUGAUUUUUCAGGUACCCCAAGGACACAGAGAAGCAUUUACUUGCAGUAAAAAGUGGAUUAACUAGAAAUCAGGUUCUUGCUGCUUCAAGAUUUCCUUCAACUUUCAUGAGUUCUCCUCACUUUUACUGAGUUCUGCUAUUCUGGACUUUGGACAGGUGUCUAAUUGGUUCAUCAAUGCUCGUGUCCGAUUGUGGAAACCGAUGAUCGAGGAAAUGUAUGCUGAAAUGAGCAGAAGAAAAUCCAAUCAAAAUGAGGAGGGAAUCGAAAGAAUUCAUUGUCCCAGAUAAGCAUUAGCAGUGAGAAGAUGUGGCUCGAACUGUGAAAAUGAUAGACAGUAUUGAGCACUGUAUGGAACUUGAAUUGAUUAGAAAAGUGUACUAGACUGAAUUAAAUUCAACUAUAUAUUCUUUUUGACAAUUUAACCUGAGAAAUUUCUUUAGCUUCGCAUUCCUGGCUACAUCAUAAUAGACAAUAAAAUGCAAUUAGUCAGCAGAGAAACAUCACCACAAACUUCAUUCUGAAAAGAAGGAAAAAGAAAACACGAUCAAUAAGCGAAGUUCAAUCUAAAAACAUUAUUUAUUAAUUGAAAAUAAAUAAUUCUGAGAUUUACAGAGAAUGGUGCCCUCCUCCUCAACUAACUCUUUUGAUUACAAAUGAAAGAAUGACAAUUUCUGAUUUCUGCCUAGAAGUUUUCACUAUCAAAUAUUCUGUUUCCUUCUUUAUCUACACCCCACACCCACACCUCUCAUUCACGAACUGAUGGAUUGCCAAAGAAAAAACAAAAAAAACUGUCCCAACUCCUCACAGUACAUAUAAAUACAAAAAGUGAUUAAUAUUUUUUGUUGCGCCUCCUUUCAUCGUCUUGUUGUUCUAGACUUGCAAGGAGAUUCUUGUUUUUAUCGGUUUCAACUUCAAUCCCAUACUUUCUGGUGACAGAAGCUCGGGAGCUAUGCAAGAAGGGCUCAAGGGGCUUCUUGGGCUGACGCUAAAAUGAGAUGGCCUAUACAUGCCAUAUCCCAUGAGAAAAUACUCCAUAGGUAUCAACAUUGCAUCAGGCUGCUCCUCUGUCACCAUUGACCCACAUGACUGAACCUAAGAUGUGAGAAUAGCCCCUUUUAAUUCAUAGUAGUAUAAAGCUCGGUUUAUGAUUUUCAUGUAUAUUUAAUCUCCAAAAAGGAAAAAAGAAAGUUCAACAUACUUCCACUAGGGCACUGUAUCUUCUGUCUAGUUUGACAGUCAUGUGGUGAGCCUCUGAAUGGAACGGGGACCUGUCCCCAACAAAUAUCAAUGAACGGCACUUUAGUUUCCGUAACCCUUCUGAAAUGUCGGGUCUCCUGCAUGAAAGAAAAAAAAAGUUUAGGAGGGCCUUCGACCCCAUAUGUGUAUCAUCUAACUAAUGUAAUUUCACAUCAGAGGUAUAGAGGAAAAGGACCCCAACAAUUGUCAAGCACAAAUUCAAAGAUUGGAGUUAGAUGCUUACCCAUUCAUUGCUUCAAGAAACCUCCAGACGUUUGAACUUUGCCUCUCGUCAAGUGACUGUAGAAAGAACAUGAUCAUAAUGUUUGAUCAAACAAAUGCUCAACUCUUAAAAUCUGUCAAGUUUUCCAACUCUGGAAUAACUGACAGUUUAAAGUUGCUAAAAGAAAACGAUGAAAAUGCUGCAGUACUCACUCUUCUGCAUGCUUGAACUAAAUCUGACUCUGGUACUUGAGAACAACCACGAGCAUCCUACAACCAGCACAGUACAAAUGUCUAAUCAAACUCAGUUGGGAUGAAUAACUCUAGUAAGAGAGUUUGAGUUUGUGCAAGUAAACCUGCAGUUGGUCUGUGUUUAAGUUGAGAAGAAAAAAGAGUUUAAAAGUUCACACGUUCAAGUGCAAUUUUCAUAUCAUCAAAUUGGUUUUGAAGGAAUAAAAACCGAUUUCAUGGUGAUUUUGAAAACAAAGCAAUUUUCAUUUUUAGACCUACCUUACUGAAAUACCGCUUCAGCAACAACUCCUUCACUACCCCACACAUGCCAUAGAAAUAAAGCAAAUUUGACAUCACCUGCAUAUGGAAAAUCUGUUAAUAAGAUGAUUCCAAUAAACCAGAAGACGAUCAUAAUAGUUCUUUCGUUCAGAAAGACGACCUUAUUAUACAACCAUUCUGUCCAACAGGGCGCUGUGCAUAUGGGAGAAAUCAAUAUCAAACCAUGAACACGAUGUCUGUGCUUCAUCUGCAACCAACAAGUGCAAUCAAUAUAUGACAAAAGUUUACAAGAGGAACUGAAAGAAAAAACCAUGGGGGGGAAGGAUAAAGUAAUCAAGUGGAUGGUGAACAAAGAGAAAAAUUACAGCAAAGAGAGUGAGGAUGUAUGCUCCAGCAGUAACACCCAUACACAUCACAGCACUAAGUCUGGGAGAAAGAUAAAGAAGAAGAGUAAGUCAUCAGAUCCGUGCAUAUUCAUUUCGGAUAGAGCUCAAGUGUAAAACAAAUAAAACAGCAAAGCAUCAGACCAGUGGAAUUCAAAACUUUAAACAAGUCGAAGUUAUUAAAAAAAAAUUGAAGAUAGCCAAAAGGAAUAUCGAAUUACCCAAAAUAGUUAAGAACUUCAGCAAUUUGAUCUGCUAAGUCAUCUGCAGAAAGUACAGGAUCAUCAGGGCAAAUUGCAGCAGCUCCUAACUGCAACUCUUGAACAAGGUCCCAUUAUGAGAAGAAUUCAUGUGGAAGUAAAAAAGACAACGUACUUGUUGGAAAGUUCAGUUUCAUUGAAGCAACACCAAAAAAAAAUUACACAGUAGAUUAUUUUGUACAUAGCAUAGAUUAAAAGAAAUUCACUCGUACAAAGUAAUUUAUUUUAUGUAUGUGUGUGGAAAAAAAAAUAAUGACAUCAGUAGAGAUAUUAGAACAUCCCAAUUAUACAAACCUCGUGUCCGGGAGGGCUGAUAUGAUAUAUGCAAAAGUUGUGAAGCAAUAACGAACAAGCUUCUGGACAAAACAUUAAUCCUUGGAAGCAGAACAUAUCUGAUAAAUAAUAAAACAUAGCACGUUUAAACAUUGGUAACAGGAAAAAUUAAAGAAAGAUUCUAAAAAUCAAAGUCACAAGUCAUAGAAUCAUUUCAUUUUAACCCCAUAUCACAAUUUAUUAACCUUACUAUCCUCUUUAAAUAACUUAUUUUUGUCUAUUUUCAAAGAAUAAGCUUGUCUAAUAAAAAUAAUGGAUUUCAAAAGCUACUAUUAAAAGAUUUAACAAUUAUGUGGGUGAAAACAAACCAAAAAGGCAGAUGUUCCAGCAAAAGGACUGUAGAUAAUAGAGGUAAGAAUAACCAAUAUUCUGGAUUCCAAAAAAUUCAACACGUUAAAUUUAAAACAAAAACUCCAUCUAAUCAACCUUAAACUCCAAAGUGUGUCUAAUUUAUUCAAAGACUCCACUUCUACACUCAAAAUCAUGUUUUGAAUAACAAUUUACAUGACACAUUCUACAUACUCACGAUUUAGAGCUAAAUCGGGAUAAGUGAUUAAAGCUGGCUUGUCCAGGUCUCCAACCACGGUGACAGAAACAACACCAUAACAGGUUUUCACAAGAUACUCCUGCCAAAAAAAAAUCGAUUGAAGAAAUAUUAGUUUUCAAACGUAGUCAUCUGAACUAGAGAAUGGACGCACCAAAAAAAGGCGGCAAGUAAUACAGAACCAUAAAAUGAACUACUAUAAAAAGGGAAUUGCAAAAGCUUAAAUAUAAGGAAAUUCGCAGUUGAAGACGCAAACAAUAAAACAGAUUAAAGAAAGUUAGUCUACUAAAAUUCAAAAUGUAUUUCUAAACUAGUAAAAAUCCCAACAUCCAUCCACUUUUGGUAGACCGUUGAAUUCCGAACGAAAAUCAACACCAAUUACCCUUAGAAAAUCUAACUAAAAUCAACAAUGCACAUCCAAAAACCUUAAUUACCUCCGUGUAAAACGAUCACUAAUUACACGAAUUCAUCCAAUAAAAAACAUAACGAACCCCAUGUUUCAAUUCAAUCCAAACUUCCCAGCAUGUUCUCAAAAAGCAAACAAAGCACAGUGUUCAAACACAUGAAACCAGACGGAUUUACACAAGCAACAGGAAAUGCAGGUACCUUUCCUCCACAAGAGAUCGACUCCAUAUCCACCGAAACCGAGUCGCUCGAAUCCCCCAUUUCCUUCUUCCCUUAUUCUCUCACCUUUCUCUCUUCCCCUAAAUCCUCCUUCCCUUAUUCGCUACUCAAUACACAGAAUGCUCCUUCUUCCUUUUAUAUACCACCAAAUCUCUUCAACAAUUCCACCACUACAUUAUUUGGGGGAAAAAUUUCAACUCGUCCCUUCGAAUCGUCCGAGUCAAUACGAGUCACCGACGCCGCGUUCCCCUUCCAUCGCACAUUGACAGAAACCUCACGAGCGCCCUGUAACGAACAAACUAUAACCCGAUACCCUGGUUGGUUUAACCAUGGUUAGGAAGCCGACAGUUUAUUUGAAAUUACUUAAAUACCCACAAUUUCCCUUGACAGCGACCUCCUCUCUUACCACAUGAAAAAGGGCGAUUUUCGUCUAUUCACGUUGAUUUUUUAAUUAGUAAUAAAGAGGGAAAUAGUAAGUAGUUAAGCUUUGACUAAGGAAGAGAUAAAAUGAAAAUAAAAUUAAUAUAAGGGAAGUGUUAUUUUUAUUUGUGGGACCUGCGUUUAUUUAAAGUAACGUAAUCAUUUAUAUUAUAAAGUAUAUAAUCUGUCACAAAUUUUGGGGAGAGGUUUUUCCUUAUUUUUCUUUUUUCAAUUAUUCCAUUUAUAAUAUGGUAUUGUAUUUUUGUUAUUUAUUGCAUUGCCUAAAAGUGGGGAGUGGAUUUAAUGAAAAUAAUUUUAGAGGAUCUACUUGUUUUUAAAUUAGUUUCUGUUUUUGUUAAUUUUGUUUAAUUACUUUUUUUUGUGCAUAAAUACAGUUGAGUUUUUAAUAGUAUUGUUGCACCAUUAAAGUUAAAACCUUUUCUUCUUCUUUUUCUUUUUAAUAAGGUUAGUUGUCAUAUACCAUAUUUUCUUGCCCUAAUAGAUUUCAUCCGUUUAUUGAAUAAUAAAUUAUUGCCUUUUUAAUUAAACUUUCUAUAAUACUCUAAAAAAAUAUCAUUUCGGGAUGAUUUUGUUUGGUAUAGGUGUGAAAAUGAUAGAUUGAAUCUCCAACUUAGUGAAGUAUAUGUGAAACAAAGUUCAACUGACAUUAGAUGUGUAUUGUCACAUUCUAUGUUAAAGGAUACCGAAUUCAUGAAUCUUCAAAACAAAAAACAUUAAACAAUAACAUGCAUCCAAACUAUUGUAAUAUUUUCGUGUGAAUGGUGUUGCUUGAGCGAACAUUUUUUAUAAAUAACAAUGAUGAAAUGUUACAAUUCUAAAAAAAAAUAACUAAAUUUUUUUUCAAUUUUUAUUACCCUUUAUUUUAUUAAAGAAAUACCAUUGAAACCCUUCUUAGAGAUUUUACUUACAGUGUCAAUUAUUUACGUAUAUACUUAUAGAACAAAAUCAUUAAAAUAUAUAAUUUGUUAGGUGUAAAUACAUCCUUAAAUGUUAUAUUUUUUUACGAAUUUUUCCUUAAAUUUGUAUAGAUUUAAAAAUAUUUGAUGUUAUAAGUUAAUAAAAGAAAAUGGUUGAAAAAUGGAAGAAUGUCCACGUGUAAAACAUAAGUAAAGAUCUCGACCGUGUAAUGUUUUAAGGAAUGCAAUCGAAAUAUUUUAUCUUUCAAAUAAAAUAAUACAAAAAGUAAAAAAGAUAUAUAUAUAAUAUAUAUAUAUAUAUAUAUAUUAAUAAUAACAUUAACAUAAUAUGUUUAAGAGAAGUGGAAGCAUAUAAUAUGUUAUCAUUCUUAUCCUCUUUUCUCUUUAUGCUUUACUCUGUUUUGGAAUUUUGGUCCACUAAAGAUAAGUGAAUGCUUCUUUCUUUCUUUUUCUUUUGAAAUAUUGAGAGAAAGAAAUGGUUGAUCAAAAUAUUAUAAUAAAUAAGUAAAAUACAACAUUUUGUUUUAUAUAUGCACGUUAUAUAUUUCACUAGGUUUGGAAAAUGAUGCGAUAUAUGUAACUCUAGAAUAUCAAACGUGGAGGAAUUUUAUUUGCUUAUUUGAUAAAGUUCUUUUAAGUUGAAAAGUUCACGUUAGUUUGUAAUUAAAACUUAAAACAUCGUAGUAAAGAUGAGAAUUAUCUUAACACAUGCAAUGUAGUGCAUCGUUUCUCAUCCAAACUUCAUUGUAUUGUUUGUUCUUCGUACUUCAUAUUGCAAGUGUAUUUUUAAGGUUUUUUUUUUCGUAAAUUGAUAAUACAAUUGCAUCAUACAAUUAAGCUAAGUUUGUUUGUUCUUUUAAGCAAAUUAAAAAUUAACAUGGUGUGUCUCGUACUGUUUUAAUUUUAGUUAUACUUGUUAAUUGAACAUUAUUAGACAAUUUAAUUCAAUAGUUGAUUUGUUAUAGGAUACCUUAUUUAAAUUAUAUAUUUAUUAUUUUGUUGAACGAUGAAUCGAAGACUAAUAUAAUACAUAUGUGAUUAUGUAUUUUUUUUCAAAAUGUGAAUAUAUUGCUAUAUUUAUUUGUUAUAAUAAAUCUAUUUACAUUCGAAUAAAAAUAACUAGUGAAUUUUGUAUCUUUUCAUUUAAUUUGUCUUCUAUAUCUCACAACAAUUGUCAUGCAUGGCAUGAGUUGGUCCCACGAAAUUAAAACAGUGAAUUGAUUGAGCAAAAUAACUAAGUUGGAUUUUGAUGGUUAUUAAGCAACGAUAAAUCACACAAUAAAUUAGAUAUUCGACGUGCUCUUAAGAGCAAUAUAGAAAGUAGAUAGUUAUUACAAGAAUAAACGAUGAAAUCACGUCAACAAAGUAAAAAGAAAAAGAAAAAACAACACAAUAAUGUUGAAAUUUUUGUUUAAUCAUAUUUUAUACUUUAUCAUGUCAAAAAUUAAUUAUGUACUCUCCAUCAACAAUCUUAAAACAAAGUCUUUAGUUUUGUAUAAAAAAAAAUUGAUUAAUAAAAACAAUUAAAUAUGGUAUAAAGUAAUUUAUAUAAUAAACCUUUACACAAUUUAAAAUUAAUAAUAAUGCAGUAAAUCGUGAUGUUAUUAGUAAAGGAAUGGACAAAAAAUCGCACGCAUGUGUCACGUGAUUAAUUAUUAAAUAGUAAAAUUAAACAUACCAAAUCACAUAAUGAUUUUAAGGUUGGAAAAUGAAUAUAUUUAACCAUAAAGUGUAGUUAGGUGAUGUUAUUAUUUUGGAAUUUAAAUGGGACAUGUAGUGCCUUUCCUUAAACUAGAAACCAUGACCAAAAAAAUUACUGAGGACGCAAAAAACUAUGCUAUAAAAUAAAAAGCAACGUCUGAAUUGAAGUUCUAAUGUCCUUCCCCCAUCAACAACAACCAUUAAUAGCUCCACCCCAACUCAACACCAAAAUCCUUUUCCAAGUUUAAUCCUUAGAUCUACUCAUCCAUUCUUUGUUAUACUAAACCUUUUUCACUGUUACAUCAAUUUUUUCAAAAGGUUCUAGAGUCAUCAUAUGACGUUGAAUUUUAUUUUUUUUCCGCUAUCUUCUUUAUCAAGUUUGAAAGGUGGUUCGAUUUUUCAUUUGGUUUAUAUAUCUAGAUAUCAAAUUGAACCAAGGAGAUUUGUUGUAUAUAAAAGAAACCACGUCGAUGUACAUAACAAAAUAAAAAAUCAACUUUUAUUCGAUUCAAUCGACUUUUUUCUUUUGAAAAAUUAAAAAAAUAGCAAAUUUUACAAAAUAUUUACAACUUAUAGUAAAUUUUGUAAAUUCUAGUGAUAGUCACCAACCAAUAGAAUCCAAAUUUUUGUUAUAACUUAUAAAAUAUUUUAGUUUAUUUUGUUAUUUUUAAAAAUUGUAUUCUUUUUAUUUAUCAAAAAGGAAAUAUAUGACUUUUUAGACUAUAUAUAUAAUAAUAACAAAAAAAGAGGGAGAAAUAAGAGAAAUAUGUAAUAAACUAUUUUUGUCUUCUUCCCAUUUAGCUUGCUAGUGCAUGUAACCUAUAUUCUAAGAAAUAAAGGGAAAAUAAUUAUAUUGGGGACUUUUGAAUGGAGAUAGCUAUCUGUUUACAUUAAUUUCAACAUUUACAAGUAAAGCCAUAAACAAUUAAUAUUGAUGAAUUUAUAUGUGAAAAAGCUACCAUAUAUAUUAAAUAUAUAGUUUAAAUUAUGCUAUAUAUUUAUGUUUCUUGAAAUGGAAAACAUGUUAGGAUGGUUACGUUAUUCAUUUUUAACUUUCCUCCUUGAUUUAUGGUUGCAAAAUUCAUAAUAUAACUUUUAAUAAGUUGACUAUAAAAAUCAUUAGAUGUUAUUCGAAUAAUAUCGGUUAAAUUAGAAUAAUAUAACACAUUAAAAAUAUUUGGACACACCAUAAGAUGCCCAAAUUAAAUGUUUAACUAAUACAAAUUAUCUUUUUAUUGUUUGACAACUUAAUUUAAUUUAAAGAGGAAAUUUCUAAUAUAAUAGUUUCAAAAUUGUUGACCACCUAGGCCGCUACUAAGAAUCGUGUGGAAUCUAUAAUUUAUUAAUUAUAAUAAUUAAUGGAAAUGGUAGGUAAUAUAAACUUCUACUAGUAUCUCUUAAAGUUUAAAUUUACUAUAAAGAAAAUUAGAAUUUGAGUGGAAAUUAAAUGGUCUUGAAUUUGGAAAGGUAAUUAAUUCACCUAAAUGGAUAAACAUCUAUAAUUUUUCUUUUUCUUUUCCUUCCAACUCGUAGGCACCUUACUAUGAUGCUAUAUCGAAACUAUACUAAAAUUAGAUGUACUUAUAAAUAUUUUCUAAUAUGCUCUCACUGAUUCCAUGUGAACCCCAAAAGGAAAAAAAAACGUUAAACUUAACCAAAAAAUCAAAAGUAAUUAAGUAAAAUCUCAUCGUCAAUUAAUUUCAAGUUUGGUAUCAUGGUCGAUAUCAGACCAUGUUGAAAAUUUCACACAUUGAACAAACUAAGAAAACUCACACUAAUACACAAUAUAAACCUUGAAUGAAACAAUAAGUAGAUAAAUAUCUCGUUACUCGAACAAAUCAUAAAUAGAAGAUGUGAAAGGGAAUUGAAUGGGAGGGAGGGAGUGAGUGAGAGAUGUUUUUAAAAAGGAAGAAAUAUUUUUGGGAAAAUGAGAGAGGGGGAGAAAGCAAUUAAAAGCAUGGGGGGGACAAUUAAUGACAUUAAUUGAGAGUAGAGGCAUAAAGGUAUAGAAGGAAAGGGGGAUUGGAAAGAAGAAGAAGAAGAAAUGCAAUAAUAGCCAAUGGCAAGCAUGUGAGUGUCCUUAACAAAAGCAUUGAAAAUUGAUUGCCCAAAUGAAAUAGUUUUACUUCUGAUUUGGCGCUCUUUUUGCUGCGGCUAUCGCGUUCACAUGUGCUUCUUCCCCCCUCCCCUCGCCCCCAUAUGUUGCUUACCACUGCCCUAACUUCAAUCCUCCACCGACACAUUUCAAGCCCUUUUUCUUUCCUCUUUUCAAAUAUCAUCCCUACCUCAUCUUUCUUUAUUAUAACAAAUUAUUCUAAACUCUAAUUCAAUAUUUAUAAAAUGUAAUAAAAUUUUAGAUUUUGUAGUGAUAAACGUUUAUGAAAGACUGUUACCGGCUUGAUGAUUUUUGUUAUAUUUGAAAAUACUCAACUUAAUAUCGCUUUUCUUUUAAUAUUUGAGGUUGAAUGUAUGUUAAUUAAUUCGUUUUUCGUUAAUUCUUAGACACUAACGUUAAACAACAAUUAGAGCUAGUAUAUAUUUAGUACCAACUACAAUUGAAAAAAAGUAUAAUAUAUUGAAAUUUUUUAUAAUAAUAAUAAUAAUUUAUAAUUUGUUUUCAAAUCCGAAUAAUUAAUAGACUAAAGUGACCAUUAAUUAUCAAAUAUUGGUUUGGGAAUCAAAACAGAGAGACGUAGAUUAGAUCACAAGUGUGGAUAGUGGAUAAAUAAAUUAGAAGGAUAGAAUAUUCAAUUCAUUCAAACCAGAAACAUUUGAAUAUGGUUCAUUAAUUACUCAUUAUAUUUUAUCUUCGUGAAAUUUAAAUUAACUAGUAUUUAACCAUUUUUCAGUAAAGAUUUGAUCGAAUCUUGAAUAUUUUGGUUCUCAACACAUACAAGUACCAAUUGAAUUUAAUUUUUAUGAAUGAUUCACCAAUAUUACGUUGAAAAAAGCGUUUAAAUUUGUUUCUUUUAAAUAUUGCAAAAAUAAAUUCAAACCAUAUACACUCCCUGUCCUCAAGUAUUUUUUAUAAACCAUAUUAUAUAUAUUAUUAUGUAUUUGUGUAAUGUGUCGAAUAAAUAGUUGGAUGAAUUUUUGCUAUAUUUAUAAUAUAUGGUUUGAAUGUUUGAUAUUAAUGGGUAUUUGAUGCAUAACCAAUCAUUAAAUAAGAAAGAAGAAAAAGGGAAAAAAAGGGGUUCUGCCCAUAAUAAAAUACGUGCCGACAAUUCAAUUCACACUCACCUCUCUAAGCUUCAGAAUAAUUAUUAAAUGGUGGGCUAAUGAUAAAUAGAAAAUAGUAAAACUAUCAAAUUUUUUUUUUUAAUUUCUAUCUCAUGCAUUAAACUAUGUAACAUUAUUAGUCCUAUAGUAACACCUCAACCAAAGCUUAUGAUAUUUAUUUUGACAUUACAUUGAUAUAUUUGAUAAGGUCUCUUAAUCAAGGAUUCUUGAAUGUUAGCUUUUAAUAUGUAUUUGCUUGCAGUGGAUUUUUUAAAUACUUUGUUGUUGUUGUUUUUUUUUUAUAUAAUUAAUAUUUGACUAAAUUGAAAAAGAACACUCAAGUAUUAGUAUAAGUUGAACAAAUUCCUAUUUGUUUUGAUUUAUUAGAAAAAACUAUGGGCCUGGCUGUAGCUCAAUCGUACUUAGAUUACGGGCCGUUCUAUAAGGCACGGUUGGCAGAGCGUAGGCCCAAUACUUGGUGCUUAUUGCUCUGCCUCUGCUUUGCGAAUUGUUUUUGUGAUCCAAAAUACAUCUUAAUUUCUAAACUUGAGGUGCCGAUAGAUAAGUAAUAUGUGACUACUGAUAUUCGACGUAGAGAAAAGUAGUUAUUGACUUACGAAUAAACGUUAGGAAAACAAAGAGUAAAAUCAAAACAAACAUUAUCAAGAAAUGAAAAGAAAAAGUUUGUAUCAAGUGUGUAUCGUGAGUCACUUUUGUAAUGUAAGUUGGCAACAUAGAUUAACAUUAACAUAGAUGAUUCGUACUAAAUUUUGUAGUACUCGAUAGUCAAACUACAAAAUCUAAAAGUGUUUUUUCUUUGAUUAAAUUUUCUAGAUGAUUGGAAGUAAGUUUUAUUCAAACGAGGCAAGAGCAAUAAUAUUACGAAACAUCGAUUUAGUGUUUGUCAAGUCAGUUUUGCAAAGUUUAUCACUACAAAUUGAGUAAAUAUAAUAGAGUCACGUUUUGAAGGCCAUAUGUUAUAUGAGUUAUUUCAAUUGAAUAUACGAAACAACCAAACUCGUAAAAUUGUAAUUUAUUUACACUUUGUAACGUGGAGGAAAGAAAACCUGGAAAAAAGAAUCUAAUGCCAAGUCAACGAUGAGAUGAAAAAUAAGUCAUAAGUUGUUAGAUACAUCAGGUAAAAGUAUCAUAAUAACUUUACUAUUUUCUCAUGGAGGAAGGAUAAGAUAAAUUCUUCCUAUUUCUAAUAAGUUAGGGUAAGAUUUUAUUUUAUAUUUUAUUGACUCGUGACUUAUUCGAUAACGUUAAAUUUUAUCUCGAACGCAUGCAAAAGUUAUAUAUGGUAUGGGAAUAUUAUUUUUAAAAAAAUGUAUAAAUUAGAACCGUAAAAUUGUAUACAUAAAUAUGAAAAGGGAAAAUAAAUGAUUAAAGAAAUAAGUGAAGUAAAUAUUUGAAGCUAAAAAAAUAUUAAGAUUAAGUUAGAAGGAAAAAAUAUCGGAAGAGGAGAGAGACAUAGAGGGCGCCAGCGGGAUGAUGCUAUAAAUAUAAAUUCCCUACGCCAAAGGCGUGGUCAUUUAUUGAAAGGAAACCCAUCCUCUUUCUUGCCGUCCUCCGCUUUUCUCUUCUUUUAGGGUUUCUCUCUCAAACUCUUAACAAUGGCUGACGAAGCUCAGUAUUCAUCUGCUACUGAUACUCCUUCCAACAAGCGCAAGUACGAUGACCAACCUCCACCCCGCCGUCCAACUGGCUUUUCCGGUCCCAUCACUUCCCCUUCAUCCGAUUCCGCUCCCUCCUACAACAACGUCCCUCCCCCUAUGGAUGAGAUCCAGCUCGCUAAGCAGCGUGCUCAGGAGAUUGCCUCUCGCUUGAUUAUCUCCAGCGGUGGCGUUGGGGCUGGUGCUGGACCUGGCGUUGGAGCAGAUGUCAAACGUCCGAGGGUUGAAAACGGCGGCGGGUAUGACUCCUACGACAAGGGUUUUAGUUCUGGUCCAGGUGAUUAUUGUUUUGAUUUUUUUUAUCUUUGUUUGAAUAUUUCAUGGUCUUGCGUGUUUGUCGAAGGUGUAUUGAUUUUCUCACGACUCAGUGAGCUUAAAGUGAGUCAGGUCUUGUAUAUGGGAAGAAAAUAAGUGGGAACACUCGGAGAAAAUCUUGUGGAGUGCUAGUUAUAUAUUUCUUGUUCACAGGGAGUGGGUUGUGUACAAAAAGGUCCAGUGUUCGUGAUUUUCUAGAAGUGGCGUGCACUUUCUUUUAUUGCAUUUGGAGUAGAGCAUACGUAGGGGGAUGAAAUGAAGGUUUCUGGAUUUCAGUUUAGUGGUUUAGAUAGAGCUCUCUCAGUUAUCAGAAUGCCUAUGUUCCAUGUUCUUUUACCCUCGUUUCCUGUAAUAAUAACUUUAAAAUGUGCUGGUGAUGUAUUACGGUUUAAAAGCAAGAAUUGUGUACAUGUUUGGAUGCUCAUUGGUGAUCUUGAUUUGUGUGGAUGCAGACCUGAAGCCUCACAUGUCAAAUUCAGCCCCUUCAGCGAUACCUAUUUCCUAUGGUUUCCAAGGGUCAAGCAAGAAAAUUGAAAUUCCAAAUGGGAGAGUAGGCGUAAUUAUUGGUAAAGGUGGUGAGACGAUCAAGUACCUUCAGCUCCAGUCUGGGGCAAAAAUACAAGUUACUCGUGACAUGGACGCAGAUCCCAACUCUACUACUCGGAUGGUUGAGCUAAUGGGCACCCCUGAUCAAAUUGCCAAGGCUGAGCAGCUGAUAAAUGAUGUUCUUUCUGAGGUUGGUCUUUUCUUAAUUUUGGAAUUUCAUGGUGUGCCUUUGGGAGCGGCAUCAAUAUAAGUUUGUGGUUUCCUGUUAUAACGUUGACAUGCCAUGUAGCAAUACAUUGGUUUGGAUGGAUAAUGGAUUGACUACAGCCUUACCAAGUUUACAACUUUGAACUUUAUUUAUGGGCAAUAUGUUAUUCAUACGUCCGAUGCAAAAUAUGAUUGUAGUUGAAGAUAAGACUUUUUACUUGGCUUGAAAAUGUGUUUGUCUCAUAAAAUUUAUCAUUUGAAACAGGCUGAAUCUGGCGGUUCUGGCAUAGUAUCACGAAGACUAACAGGCCCUUCAGGAUCUGAGCAGUUUGUUAUGAAAAUUCCUAAUAAUAAGGUUCUCAGAAACAUUUGUUUUGGAAUUACCAAGUAUUGCUUGUCUAUCUUGGGAAUGUAAUUCUGUUCACUUUUUGUACUUCUGAUCGUGAAAAUAUUAAUUUUUCUAGGUUGGCUUGGUUAUUGGUAAAGGUGGUGAAACAAUCAAAAGUAUGCAAGCUAGGACUGGAGCACGUAUCCAGGUCUGUUCUAUCUUUAUGUGUAUAUAUGUAUAUAUUACAUACGUCUUUUAGAAGGCUUCCCAAAGCUAACUUCCGUUCCUUUUUAUUUCAAUAGUGCAACUAAUUUUCACUUUCUUUGGUCAUGUAACAUAGAACAUUGUUUUGAAUUUUGAUUGUAUGGCAAUAUCUACUCUUCUUUUCUGUAGGUGAUACCAUUGCACUUACCCCCUGGGGACACAUCUACAGAAAGAACCUUACAGAUUGAUGGUUCAAGUGAACAGAUUGAGUCAGCAAAACAGUUGGUUAAUGAAGUUAUCAGCGAGGUGCGUUUGCAGAUCUGGGUUACAUAUUUAUUUUGCCUUGUUGUAGUUGGAAUUAAUACCUGGUUAACACCUACUUCCAUUUAUUUUUGUGUUUAUAAUGAUUUUUCCUGCUUGUCUUUGGUUAUUUUUUAUACAACUGUUGAUGCAACUGUUCCAUCUUAUUCUGAAACUCCUUUAGUUCUAUUCUCACAAAAAAAAACUCCAGUUUUAUUAAUUUUAGGGUUCUACCUCAACGCCAAGGUCAGCAUUAAACCAGUGGUGUUGAUUGGACGUUGGCAUAUUUGCUUUCCUUACCUUGUAGUUUACAUUAUGCUGUGAUAUGGGAGGCAUCUGGUAUUCAUUGGCUUAAAUUAUACCUCCAGUUUUAUUUAGAAAAUGAUAUCUGCUUCUUGUUCUUGUUCUUUUUUUUUUUUGGUAUUAUGUUUCUCUUUCAAAUUAUGUUUUCUUACACAGGCUUGUUACCUUGUUUUAUUUGUUAUAAUUUUGUAAAAUCAUUCUACAACAUUAUGCUGCUUUUUAUUUCUGGGAGGAAAUAGUUGAGAAAAAAUUCCCGUUUUUAUGUGGUUCUGUCGGACAACUGACUCAACAAGAAAUUGAUUUAUUUUUUUCCUUCACUAAUGGUACUUCUUGGCUCUUCUUAAUUUUACUCUACUAGUGUAAUGGAUCUUCUACAAUUUCUGGCUUAAACACUAUACAAUAUGCUCAGCAUAUGGUGUUCUUGUUCCUUUAACGAACUAUUAAUCUGCUGCUGUGUCUGCAAAUCUGCAAAAUCAUUUAUUGCUAAUGCUAAUGCACUCAUGCUCUGCUAAUAUGCAUUAGCAUUUUGACUACAGUAGGAAGGCUUGUUCUCUCACUGUGCUCAUACUUUCGUCUUUGAGGGGGGCUCCCUUCGUAGGUCUAUGGAAUCAAAUGCUGCUUUGUGGUUUCACUCAAGGAAUUAGAAACAUUGGAAUAUUUCAGCCUGUUAUACUUUUAGAUCUCUUAUAGAUUGAGACAGCUUUUAGGUCUUUUACCCCUAAUCGAUCUGGAUUUGUUAUUAUAUCUGCAAUUGUUUAUUCUAUAUAUCCACUAAUGCAGAGAUGGAGGACAUAAGGUUCUGGGAUUGGAAAGAGGUGAAAUUAUUUUACAGAUUACUGCUUGGUAAUUUUUUGAAGAGUGAUUAUUGUAUCAGAAAGGUUCCCAUUGGUGAUUUGCUGGCUCCUUUGGAUAUUUCAGUUUAUCAGUCAAAUAUUACUCUUAUUAGGUUGUUUAGGUUAUAUGAUAUCUCUCCUAUUUAAGAUGUUAUCAGCCCAUUUGGUAUUAUUCUUGGUUUUAUAUCUAAGUGUUAUAUUAUUGGGAUUAUGGCCUGUUCAACCGUCACAUGUGCUUAUUAAUUAUGUAUCCUGCAACUGAUAUUGUUAUUGGGAACUAUUGUAGGGUUAGGGUUAUUGGACCAUUAGUGACACCAACAUGGAAUCCUUUAUGUUGGUGUUCUCUCAACGUUGCUCUGGUAUGGUUCUGAAUCCCAUAUUAUAAUGAUAUAAAGUGAUGAUGUGGAGAGAAGUUGCAGGUUUAUCUGUUGGAUAUUCAAGGUCUUUAGUAAAAUUUGAAAAGUCACCUUACCAUUCUAUCAUUCUUUUUCUGGUGGUUUACUUUGAUUUGGGAGAGUUUCAUCUUUUAGUCUAUAAAUUAUUCAUUUCUUAAUUGUCUAUUUACUGUGCGUACCAUUUGUGAAAUUAUUUUAGUUUAAUAUAGGCAUGCGGGUUAAUUUGUUGGAUAACUGUACUAUGAUGUAUUUUUGGUACUAUCAUAUUUUAGUGGCAACAUCACCUGAUCGUUCAGUGAGUCCGCCUUUGAUGGAUAUUCCAGAAAGUCCUUUAGACUCCUGUUUUGGUUUAAUUAGUUAUUAUUAUAUGUUUUCCACCAAAAAGAUGAAUUCUCUAAUUAUUAAUUUUUUUACUUAAAUUGACCUUAACAUUGUUCUUGUAAUUGAAGAAUAUUUUCUUGUUUCAAUCUUUAUGGGCUAUCUUUAGUUACUUUGGAGAUUAUGGAUCGUUUCUUACAAAGGUCUGUAUAUGUCAGUGUCUUCUUUUUCAUCGUCCAAAUUGCUUUUCAGCUUUUUUGGAAGUAUUUUUCUUUACAAUAAUUUGCAAUCAAAAUUCUUUUGACUAUAAAAUAUUUUUCACUUCAUAUUCUAUUGGUGUCUGAAGAUAGUGUAUGGGGUUGUUUAGUUUUAGCUUGAUAUCCAACUAAUUGAUUAUUCUAUAGAAGAUUUAAUAAUUGGGGAAGACAUUGCUUUUGUUGUGCUUUGCUAUGAACUUCUUUGCCUUUUGGGGCAAUUAAGUUCAUAUAUUCUGUUCUGUAAAAGCUUUUGUAGUCGUCUGGUUCUCUUUGCACCCAUUCACUUCGAAUAGGGAGAGGUUGAGCUUCUGCUGGAGUAACUCAAUAACUCAUCAUCCAGUACGGUAUGUUGGUGUUUUAUACUCUUCCUAAUGCAGUAUAAGCUCCUUUAAUCCCUCUACAAAACAUACUGACUAUGGUUUUCUUUUUGCAUAUCCUUGAUUUCAGAUUUGGCAUUUUCUUUCCAUUUCGCAUAAUGCAUAUGAAUGUUGUGCUUUCCUCUUCUUACCAUCCCCUACGUUGGUUUCUUACGUUAAUUGAGAAGGAUUCACCUUUGUUUUCAUUUUUAUGUUUAAUCUCUCAGAAUCGCGCGAGAAAUUCAGGUAUGUCAGGCGGGUAUAAUCAGCAAGGUUAUCAAGCUCGACCCCCUUCAAGUUGGGGUCCUCCUGGGGCUCCACCAAUGCAGCAGCCUAAUUAUGGCUAUGGACAACAAGGCGGAUAUUCUGCUCCUUCGUCUCAGUAUAACAUAUCACAACCUCCUUAUCAGGGUUAUUCCCAACCAGCAUCUGGUGGAUAUGCUUCCAAUUGGGACCAGUCUACUGUUCCGCCAAAUCAACCUGCUACUCAAGGAAGUGGUUAUGAUUACUACGGUCAACAGGCUCCACAGCAACAACAGACAGCUGGAGGCCCUGGUGCUACCGGAGACAACAGUGGUUAUAGUUAUGGUCAACCACCAGCCACUACUUAUAAUCAACAGGGUUAUUCUCAAGAUGGCUAUGGUGGUAAUUACCAUGCACCUCAGUCUGGUUAUGGCCAACCGCCAACAUAUGAUCAACAGGGUUAUAGUUCUACCACAAACUAUGGUAAUGUGGCUAACGCCACUCAAGAUGGGCUCAAUUCGUAUGGCUCUCAAGGGGACUCAUCACAGACGGUCCCUCCUGCUGCACCACAGCCCUCUUCAGUGAGUCAGCAAGGUUAUAGUGCAAAUCAACAGCCUAGCCCUAACCCAGGGAGUUACCCUCCACCAAGUCAGUCGGGGUAUGGAAUGACUGCACCUUCCCAAACUGGCUAUGGAAAUCAACCUGCUGCUCAGGCUGCUUAUGGGGCUGCUUAUGGAGCUCCUCAGACUCAGAAACAACCUCCUACUAAUCCUCCAGCCUAUGGUCAAAGCACUCAGUCACCAAGCACCGCUAGUGGCUAUGGGCAACCUGCUGGAUUGCCAUCUGGAUACUCAAGUACGCAGCCACCCGCAUCCGGGUACACUCAACCAGAUUCUGCUUCUCAACGUGCUCCACCAUCCAGUUACGGCACUGCUGCAGCUCAGCCAGGGUUUGCGCCACCUCCAUAUGGUGGUGCUCCUCCAACAAAUCAGUCAGCUUACGGGCAAGCUCCACCACCUUAUGGUGGCUCUUAUGGUGCUGGUUACCCUCAGCCCCAUUAUUCAUCUGAAGGUAAUGCAGGUGGUGCUACUCGUGGGGGCUAUGAUUCUGCAUCAGCUGCUCAGGCAGCGACCCAAAGUGGGGUUGCAAAAGCAUCACCAAAAAGUUGAUAAUAUUGUAUGUGUUUGCUUAGGUGUGUAUGUUGCGGAGAACGUAGCUUUGUUUUUGUGGUUUUUAUUAGACAGGUAGUUUUAUGAGACCUCAUUAAUGCCCGAAUUCUUUACUGUACUUUGUUUUGCUAUGGUUAAAAACGGUUCUGGAGUUUUGUCUCUCUUGAACAAAACACUCUUUCUCUACAGGCGGUGGCGUCUCCUUGAUGAUUUUGAUUUUUGAUUGUGGCGUUGGGGAUUAAGACUGUUUAGGAUUAUUGUAACUUUAAGCUACGGAAAUGGUAAAAUAGCAUUUAUUAAAUAAAAUGUUAGAUAUGAAAAAUUCUUAUUUCAAAUGUUUAUAUGAACUUAUAGCAAAAUAAUACAAAUACAUCUUUUAACAGAUCUACUUAUUCAAAAAAUUAUUAUAAUACUUUUUUCUAUUAAAAUUUAUGCGUUGUAAAAUAUUGAUGUGUGAUAUAUUGUUAUAGUAAAGCUGAAUCCUUUACUUCCAUGUGUGAUACAUUGUUAUAGUGAAUAUAAAUACAGAAGUACACUUGGAAAAACGGAAAAAUGUGUAUGGCAGGUGAACUUCUAUUUCUUUUCUCAGGUAAAUAUAAGUCUAACCCAAAAAAAUUCGGAUCUCUCCCCGCUGUAUCCUAGAUUCUUGUAUAGUUUAAAAGAAAUUAUUCCUAAAAGCCAUGAAUGCUUUGGGUGAAAGUAACAAGAUGAACGCAAGGACCGAACCAAAUAACAAUUUGAUAGCAUAUAGGAAGGGAUCGUGGUCAUCUGCAUCUGUUGAACUUGUGUGGGGUGCCAAUGCCGUUGCGGAUGGAAGGGCUUCAAUUACUGCAUCAGCCAAAUCUGAAAUGAAUGAAGAAUUGCAAUUGAGGGCAGGCACACGGCCCCAGUUUUGGAUUCCAGAUUCAAGUGCCAAGUGCUUAUACUCCAUAUCUAUCUCCUCGAGAGUCUCAAUGUGCUCACUCACAAAGCUGGGAAGAGACAAGUAAAACUAUUAUAAACAAAACGCCACCAGUGCAUAAGAAUAUCCAACUUCACUUAACACGCUUCACCUUCUCCAAGUCUUUCAAAACAAGUAAAACAAAUUGUAAACACGAUCAAACAGCAUACUGCUUAUAACCAGUUGAUUGUUUUAAAGCAAAAAACAGUUGCCUUUUUUAAUUUUGAAGAAAAACCACGUAAACAGCCAAUCUUUUGUGAUGAAGUUCAAAGUUGAGGAACGACCAAGAAAGCCCAAAAUUAUUCAAAGCACUUUGGGCCUAAGGUUCUCCAUCAUUAACACUAGCACAAGGAGUUCGAAAUAUAUAAUUGUCACGUGAAUUAACUUCAUUAAUAUUCACUCUAAGAUCAUAUGAGAACCAAGAUGAGAAGGAUCCCCUGGAAUUAUGAAGCUACAAGGAACCAAAAACCAAACAAUCAAAUUAACAGUUCGUCCUUUUAUGGUUUAUGAACAAGCCAUACCUCACGGGAACGGCUAGGAGACUCUUAAUACCCUUCUGGCCAAGCUCAACAAGAACUUCAUCUGUGUAUGGCUUAAGCCAUUGUACAGGUCCAACACGGCUCUGAAAAAUGUAAUACAUAACAAGAAUAAAAAACCACACGGAUGUAGUUAGGAAAACAAUGAAAUAAAAUGAUAGAAAAUCUGAAUAGUUGUUGGGGCUCAAAAUGUUAAAGAAAAAGAUAGGAAACCAUGCCAAGCUUCAAAUUUAUUACUAACCUGGUAUGCAAGAGUAUGCUCAUUCCCAAUUCCUCUGGCUUUCAGCUCUUGCAUGAUUAGGCAGAUGCACUCUUCCAUUUGAUCUUUGUAUGGAUCUCCAGCAUUCUCAACAUAACUGACGGGAACCCCAUGUGCACUAAAGAAAAUCAUGACCUAAGGUGCAAAUAAGUGAUGCUAUAUUAAGAACUAAUUGACUUGGACAUCCAUUGCUGCAUAAAAAUAAAGCAUCUCUCUAAAAUAAGUUUCAGCAAAAAUUAAGUACCUCUUGAGGAUUGGCAAAAUUCUUCAGCUCUGCCUGCAUCAAGUCAGCCAUUGACUUAAUAUACCCUUCCCGCUGGUACCAGGACUUUAUAAUUGAAACAGGCAACGAUGAGAGAUAUGCAUCUUCCCUGAUAGACAACUCAUAGUCAAUAAGUUAAGUUGGUAGCAGUAAUUUUUUUAAUAAUAACAAUAAAAUCAAAAUAUUAUAAUACUAGACACGAUCAUCACCUGAACAUCUUCUGGAGAACACGAAUACUAGACCCAGUUGUAGAAAUAGAGUACUGUGGAUACAAUGGCAGCACCACAAGUCUUGUUAUCCCAUCCCUCUUAAUCUGCCACACACAGCAAAAGGAACUACCAAUUUUAAACUUCAUUUCAAACAAUGCUUCAAACAAAAACGUGAGGUUACAGGCAUAUUAGGAAAUCCCGUGGUUGGUAGUAAUAUAAAAUUCUUCCCUCCAUUCGAAUUACAAGGCAAGGGGAAUAGAUAAAACAUAGAGCGUACUUGCUGAAUUGCUUCCUCUGUGAAAGGGUACCAAUAGCGCAUUCCCACAUAGACAUUAGUAGACAUGUUUUUCUCCUCCAAAGCCAUUUUAAGCGCUUGUGCCUGCAACAAGUAUUCACAAAUUAUCAAUAUUGAACAUUUGUUUUAUACCCAACUGGGAUAUGCCAUGAUGAACAAUUUGAAGGAAAUAAGAGAGGUCAAUCAACCUGUUCAUCUGUGAUUUUACGCAAAGGUGAGCCACCUCCUAUUGAAGCAUACCCUUCUUUGCUUUUGGGAGCACGGUAUGUAGAUAUUAAUUUUGCCAAUGGCUCUUGGAGGAAACGGAACAACCUUGGGAGUCGGAUAAUAUCCUAUGCAUCAUGAAAAGAAGUAAGAAAAAAGAGCUAUUGGCAUGUUAAUUUGUUGUUAAGACUAGUUGCAUUAAUUAACUAAGAUACCGGAUCUGCAAAUAGAUUGUACAGAAAUGGUUGGACAUCAUCAAGCGUUUCCGGCCCUCCAAGAUUCAAGAGCAGAACUCCCACCUUGUCAUCCACUGCCUGAGAUUGAGAUUCUAAAGCAAAUUCACCAACGGUGAAAGUUCCUACUGAGCAACAUGCUUGCCCCAGACGGCUUUUCUUCUCAAUGGGGCCAGAAAGAUGUAACCCCUGAAUUACAUCUCUGUCACCAUUGGAGCUAGAACAAGAAACCACUAAUCCUGUAGACCUAUCACGAACUUGCAGAUUUCCAGACGUUUUGCAAGAGAAAGUCACGCGAGAUUUCGGCAAAGAGCAUAACCUGAAAACAGGAAAAUAUACAUUGAAUUCCUAACUUCGACAAUAUAACACCUAAACCCCCCCUUAAAAUAUCAGUCACUGCCAUGACAUCCUCCAUACAAUAAAAUAACUAAGAAACUUCCUUCACAUCAACUCCAGCUACUAGAAUCCACGAUCACAUAACUUCACAUUGAUCGAACUAAAAGGACUGAUUCCAAGUAUACGACACGGGGUAACUUCAUCCAAUAAUCAACAUAGAGUUCAAAUGGGGGCGAAAUUUUAAAAGGGUACAAACGAUAUAAACCAAAAUCCAGAUUCCAAAGCAAGAAGAAAAGGUCGGUUAAGAAUUAACCGAUAAGGAACAUGAAGAAGAAGUGAUAUAAAAGAGAACUUACGAUGAAAUUCUUUGAUCCGAAUUGAGGGUAUUGGUGGAACCGUGAAGCUUGAUAUUGGAGAGGGCGAGAGAGGAAGAGGCGGCGUCCAUGGAGUCGAAAAUUGGAAGAACAACGAUCUAAAUCCAAAACCCGAGAAGAAAUUGAGUACAGAUAUGAGUGAGGAAGAAUGGGAUUGGUCGAUUAUAAAAAUUGGAGAAAUGGGAAACGUGGAAUCGGAAGGAGGAAGAACGGUAGAGAAGUCAAAGUUGGGGGAGGGAAGGAUCCGGGAAAUGGAAGCGCCAACCACUCUCCCAAGUCUCACCAUUAUAUAUUCAAAGUUUGUUUCGUGUUGAAGACUCAACGCAUCUACGUGUGGGCCGUACUCCUAACUUUCUUUAAUUUCUAAUUUUCAUCCAUAUAAUUAUAUAUAAAAAAAGUUAAAAUUUAAUUUCCAUAUUUAAAAGUUAGGAUUAAAAUAGAACAUAUUUAGUCAAAUUAAUAACUCGAGUUCCUCUUAAAUAUGUUCUUCGAUAUUUUUACAAAUCUCAUCUAAGUUCGAUGGUACUUAACUUAUUAAGUAGGAGUAAAAAUUGCUUAUUAAUGCUACAUAUCGCUACUAAAAAUUUAUCGAUAUCUAAAGUAACUAAUAAUUUUUGUUGAUUUGCAAUUUUUAAAAAUAUUGCUCAGCCCUACUUACCUAAAUUUUAAUUUUCUAAAAAAGAAUUAUUCGAUUUUUUUGGUAUUUACACGUGUAUUAUGUAGGUAGUGCAAAAACUUCAACAAAAUUGGUCUAAAUUUGUAUCAAAGAAAUUUAGGCAUUUUUGGUACUCACUACAUAAUACAUUUGUUCUGAGUGGUUGUUUGAUCCUUAUCUAAAUUACGAAAAAAAUAAAAAGAAUAAAUUGAAAUAAUAAAUAAGUUUCCUAAAAUUAACUAAAUUCCUUCUUUUCACCUUUGUAAAAGGUCAAACGUGGAAUGAAAUAUUAUUCAUUAUGAUCCAAAGAAAGAAGUAAAGGUGUCUAGUGAUAUCUUAUAACAUAGAUCACCAUUGAUAGCAAUUGUUUAUAAGAAGAGUCCAACAUCAUUCUUUCCAAAGAAAAUUCUCAUCCUAUGUUGAAAAUAGAUUAUCGUUCUAGAUAUGAAAAAUGAUCUGUCAACAAAGGUAAUCCAUAUUCUAUAUGAAAUUUUAUUUUGUCUUUUACCAGAUGGGUUAAAAGAUUUUUUUUUCUUCAAUAAAUACACAAGCAACCAUUAGAAUUCACAUCAUUUUACCAAGUUGAUUAAAUCUACACUUCAAUCCUUCUAAAUUUUCAUGGGAUGGAAAUUAAACGAGGGGCGGAGGCGAGGGAAUCAUCCCAUCUUGGUCAAAUUCCAAAUAUACCAAACCUAAAAAUGACCAAACUUCAACUUCAUUUGGGAAAAAAGGGGGAAAACAUAUUAUUUCCAAAUAUAGAGAAAACAAAAAUGGCUGAUGAUACUAGAAAUCAUUGAUUAUAGUGUAAAUUUGAUUGGUUGGAGCAUUAAGCAGAUGUGAAACUUGUCUCAACAGUCCGAACACUACUUGGUCAAAUUCCAAAUUUCCAAUCAACAUCAAAGUCCCAUUCUUUCCAAGAAACUAAUGAGAUUCUCCACUUACUAGACAAAAAGAAGGGUAGGAAGGAAAUGCAUGUAAAUGUAACUCAAAAUAGUUAAAAGUGUUAGGAUCCAGUAGAGAUUAUACAGACGAAAUAUUUUAGAGAAAGAAGGAUACUGAGUAUAUCUUCAUUCGACAUUUGAAAAUCCGGCACCACCUUCCGCUCGAGUCCUGUCCAUGGGCACAAGCUUAGUCAUUUAGGGGACUGAUAGGGUACAAAAGAAAGAUGAGAACAAAGAUAAUAAAGAGCAAGAAAGUCAAAGUGAGCUAGCUCGAUGGUAAGUGAAGUGUGCUAGCUCGAUAGUAAUUGAAAUAUACUCAUUUCUCUUUAGGUUAGAGGUUCGAAUUUUCACAACCCCAUAUUUUAUACUAAUGAGCAUACGGAACUUUCAUCGACUUUUUGAAAAAGAUAAACACCGGAACAAGCAAUGGAUAAGAAACUGUUAAUAGCUCAAUCAAGGGGCAUCCUCAAAUAAGUUGAGUAGACGGAUGUGAUCAAAACACAAGGACAAUAAUUUGAAAGAAAAUAAUUAUAAACAAAAAAGAUGGAUAAGGAGAAUGUAUAGCUAUAACGUAUGCAGUGUCUUCUACCGUGGAGAUUGAACUGAGUGAAAGACACUUCAGAUUAAUGCCUUCUUGGAGCCAAAGAACAAGUAAAAUAUUAUCAAUACCAUCCAUCAAUGGAAAUAGCACUUACUUGUGGUCAGAAGGAUUUGGUGUGAUUUCGUAGACAAUUGUUGCAACAACAUCUCUCUUUAGCUGUUGAUUAAAAUGAAGAUAUUUAGUUAUUUAAAUCAACAAAAUCAUCAACUGAUUCUUGCCCACAACUUUACCUGCGUGGCUUCACCUUUCAACCCAAUGUAGUGUAUCUGAGUCGUGUCACCACCAUAAUUAUCAGGAAAAUGCAAAGUGAUGUUUCCCACACCUUGAAAUUUGGAAUAUCUGAUUAUGUAUAUAAAUUAGCUGUCAAAAAAUAGUUGUAAUCUAACAUUGAAAGAAUUCACAGGCUCGAUAAUUAUAAGGGGAAAGAAAAUGCUCAAUUUUUUUGCUAUCAAUUCAAACAUUUUCAGAUGAUCUGAAAGAUAUGUUCCUCUAUAAAACAUCCUUACCUUGUUUGGUACUCUAAUACUCCUUGCAAAUUCUCAGCCAAAUCCCACUCCUAGAAUAAUAAAAAAUGCGUUACAGUUACAACAUAUGGUUAGGCGUCAAAAUUUCUCCAUGAAUCUCCGCCAGACAUGCUAACAGGUAGUACCUGAACAGCUUGCAUACUUUGAGCAUCUGAGAAGUCAAUACCUUCUCGAUUGAUAAACCUGAUUAUGAAGGAUAACUUGCGUAUAAGAACUAACGCAGGGAGAGAACUAGAAGGGAUAAAACUUAAUAUUCACAUAGAAAACCAAGUGUGUGAAAGUUCCAGAACAUCGAACUUACACCCUCAUCUUUGAAGGACUAGUACCAUCUGGACCACCAAUGAUAGAUAUGCUUUUGAUCUUAACAUCUGAUGUAAAUCUAAUCAUAAAAAAAGUGGUAAUGAAUUUUUAAGAAACAGGGAGAGUGCCAGAACACAAAAAGCGCACACCACAUAUAAGCAAUGUAGCCAUCGCUGCAAAACAAAGAUACAGGCACAGAAAUCUUCAUGACAUAAUAUAAAUUUUAUUAUCAGAUAACUAAAAUUGUUCUUGUGAUAUCUGCUUUCGAAGUUUCAGACCAGCCGACAAACACAUAGAUUCUUAGACAAACAGUUUUCUCUUGGUAGGAACACGAAAUUGCGUUUAGGAAGGGUAUGAAUUUACUAGGUGAAAUGGCUGAGCACCUAUGGGAAUUAUUUAGGAAGGCUAGAAGAAUAAAAAAAAAGGGGGGAAGUCGUGAUAAUUUAUGUCUUCACAAAAUUAUUUAUUUCCAUAUUCGCCCUGAGAUAUAUAAAAGGGAUGGUUGAGAAACUAUAAAUUUUAUUACAUUAAAAUGUAAAUUACGAAUAACCAUUACAAUAACUGUACUUAUUAACGAGUACAUAUCAAUGUUAUUAAGGUAUCAGGUAUAGUUAGAAUCCAAAAGUACAGGAACACCUACGGGAUGAAAACUAGCAGUUCAGGAUCACCCUCGUUGCUUUCCAAGUGAUCCUGUUGUAUAAAAACGAAAUAUAUGAGGCUACUUUAUCCUAGCAAUCGGGUACAUGGCACUGAUACACGCAGAUAUAAAGGUAAGGUACCCCAGAUGAGUUUAACCGAUGCUCCCAAGCUUUAAAUACUGACUUCACACUUCCUGGAGUUGCCUCAUUCAAAGCUGAAACCUAAAAAAAUAGCAGAACCUGUGAUCAUAAAUAAAAUUUCCACCAGUUCCUUUGAGGGAAAAAAAAUUAUAAUACGUGUGGGUUCGACAUGCAAUCUACAAUAAGAGUUCAAGGCUCUUCCAUAAAAGUUACUCAUAAGAUUCAAUUGAUUCCGUCCACAAUUAUCAACUUGCAUGAAACAUGCUAUUGACGGAAGGGGCAAUUGUCAUCCUUGUGUGAUUUUAAGAGUAAUGCAUUCAAAGAAUUUCUCCAAUCUUAAAGAUGAAAAAACUCAACAUCAUUAAUACUUCCACAUAUUCACUCAUAAUCUAACCUCUCCGAUUUCUUCUAGCCUUAAAAUAAACAGGAAGAUUUAUCAGUUUCAUCAAUACUUCGCCCACAGUAUUCAUUCCAACGUCAGCAGACAAUUACUUGUGCCUUAAAAGUUAUGGGGAAAAAUCCGUCAGCAUUGCUAACAUCUACUCAUAAUUGUUCCAGUUAUUGAACAACUCCAAUAAGCUUGCAAGACAAGAUGGCAAUGGAAAAUAAUAUAUUUCUAACAAAGUUAUCAAAUCCCCUUAAUAGUAACCAUUGAUGUUCUUGCUAUGCGUGCUAUGUUUAUCUCUCGUAUAACUCAAAUAUGAAUAAAAUAGUGGAAAUAUUAGCACAAUCCUCUUCCAAUUUCUUCCCAAAUGGCUAGGCUGUAAACCCAACUUGGAAAAAGGUAAUGUAAUUAAGAUGUAACAAAAAACAACAAAAGAAGAGAACCAGAGAUGGAAACAAGAGAACAAUAUUGCACGGACGAUCAGCUACAGUUGAGUUUUGUGUUCAUUUGAAGUGAAAACUAAAAAAAUUAACCACUAAUGCACUAGCUUCUAUCACUAACCAUGAAAUUCUCCAACAUCAUUCCCACUAAGCCAUUAGGCCAGUUCCCUCCAAUUUAGGAGGCACUACCUAAAUUAAACCCAUCAACAUAAAUUAAAACUAAUUACAAAUUAAGUUGCACUAAUUCUUAACCUAAGAAAAACCCAAUUUGCAUGUGAGGAACCAUAACCAACGGCAGGAACAAAGAUUCAGCUCAUUCAUGAGAUCAUGGGCAAUUGCAAUUCACAUAAUAUUUUCCAAGCAGUGUAAUUGGGAAGGAAACUAAAAAAUUAUCAUUCAGCUAAUGGGUAUGGAGAUAAUUAAAAUCCAAAGCCUGGACAAUCAAAUUUCAUAUUGAACGAUGGAAAAUGAUUAUACGAAUAUGUUUGAAGUGAUACGAAGUCGUAAAACGGAUUGUCAAAGAAGAAAAUUCGUGUGCUAGAGGUAGAUACAGAUAUGCACUAACUCUGGGGAGGUCUAUGUGCUUGUAAAGAGACCAAUCAGAAGAACAAUCGUGAUCUUCGCAGCUGUGAUCGUGUAAGCAAGCCAUCUUUGAGGUUCCAGAACAAUAGGCAGAACGAAGAGAGAUUUCAGAGGUAAAAGAGAAAGUGCGAGAUGCUCAAAACGGCGCCGCUUCUGUACGUGAAGGAUUGUUUUCGCUUUGAUAUAAAGCCAUUACAAGAAAACAUCAAUUACAUUUUGUUUGUUUUUUAAUAGCCGUGACUAAAAUAAAUCAAGAGAUUAUAAUAAAUGAAAUUAUCAAGAUCAAGAUGAUAUUUUCUAAUGGAACAAAAAAAGAAAGAAAAAACGAAAAGUUGUAUCCUUAAUUAUACUAAAAAGGAAUAAUAAUAAUCCAUCAACACGUUAUUUGGUAGCCUUCAACAUAAUUAGUGUUUGCAUUCAAAAUGUGGAAUAGAAAUAGGAUCAUGAAACGUCGAAACAAUGAAAAAUUAGAGUUGAGGAUCAUGAAACGUCGAAACGAUGAAAAAUUAGAGUUGAGUUGAGAACCGUGGAAAUGAAAUCAGUUUUAGUAUUACAAAUUCAAUCCAAAACCAAAACAUCCAAUCCAAACUCAUUCCACGACGAGUCUCCAAACCACUGUAAUCGUAUAGGAUGUGUGUUAAAGGAACAAAUUUAGGGUUACUUUGUUUAUAUAUUUUUUUGAAAAAAAAUACUAUUUACAAAUAGAUUAUUACAAAGAUCAACUUGGAUGAGCACCUUCAAUGAACAACUUUGAGAAUUAUUUUAGUAACCAACUUCAAAAAACGACAUACGAUGCCGAAUUUUGACAAUGACCUUUUAUGAUAAUCAAUUUUGAUGGUUACUUCAUGCCACUAACCCUAGUGAAAAGUAUUUUUAUACUCUCCAAUACAAACAAUUACAAUUCAUACUAUUUUAAUUAAUCUACACUCUAAAUAUACAUUUCAUAACAUAGAUUCUAUUUCACAUAUUACAAUAACCAACUCGAAGUCACAAAGAAUCUCGUCUACAAAUCAAUCUCGAGUAGAUAUGAUUUUCCUUUUCUUCUCCGUCGUGUGAACACUAUGUGCCCCAAACAACCCUACUAUGUUGGAUUUCUUAAUUAACAAGGGAACUCAUUUUUGUCCCAUGUGUUCAAUGACGGACGUUAAAUGUACUUUUCAUUUAAACUAAGCAAAGGGAGAGAGAGGAAAAAAAGUUAAGGCUUCACCAAAAAAAUUUAAUUAUUGUUUAGAUGAUUUGAUCAUCAACUUAAUUGACUAAUAAUUUGUAACAAAUAUAUUGCUUAUUUAAAGCUUGAUUUCAAAAUUACUCAAUAAACAAACAGUACAAUCAAUCACAAAAAUUCAACCCUAAAAUGCAUCAAUCGUACAAAGUUUAGUAAUAAACAUUAAUUGAUAGAAAGUAUUCUAUUAUGAUAGUUUUGAGGCACAUAUUUUAGGUUGGAAGAAGCACAAUUCAUAGAUAUAUAAUAACUUUAAAUUGGUCCAUACAAUAUUUUAAUUAAGUGAUAUUGUUUUAGUUAAAUUAAAUUUCAAUCCGUGUAUGAAUUUACUUGAUCUCGAACUUAAAAAAUCUUUUUUGAAAUGUUUACUUGACAUUUCAAUUUGUAUUCAACAAUCUUUAGUUAAUUUAAUUGAUGUUUUUAAACGUUAGAGACUUAUAAUACACAAUAUUAAAAAUUUAUUAGACACAAGUUUUAAUUUUAUAUCUUAAUUGUUCAAUUAACGGUUAAAAGUUACUAUAUGUUAUAAAUUAAUGAACCUAUUAAACACAAAUUUUAAAAUCUUUAUAAAACGGAAUCUCUAUUUCUAAUACAAAAAUAGUUAUGGAUCAUGACAAUAUGUUUGCUACUAAGUAUGCUUAAAAAAUAAUAAGAACAUAUUAACUAACUAGUUAAAAACCAACACUAUUUUUAUAAGUUGUAGGUUGAAAAUUUAAUUCCUACCUUUACUAAAAAAAAUUAGAGUAUUGUUGAGAUGAAAAAAAAAAAAAAAAACCAUAUGCAUAUGGUAAAUUAAAAAGAUAUUUAUUGAUUGAAUUAUGGUAUAUAUCUGAUCUUAUAAGUAAAGUAUAUGAGAAUGGACAUAUUAUAUCAUAAUUUAUCCGUUCUAACUAGAAGACAAUUCAAGUACUUUGGUCAAAGACUCAAAGGUUAAUUAUGAAUGGAUUAUUUAUUAUAUAACUUAUCAUCCACAAAUUAUUUCACUUUUAAUGCAAUAUCCCUUUCUAUGAUAUUUUCUAAAGAAAAAAAGCAAUCACAUUCUCUGCCCUCUUUUAUCUUCUCUUUCUUUCUAAUAAUUAUCUGAUUCGUAUAACUAAAAGUUUAUUUUUCAUUCUAUUUAUAAGUUUUGCGAGUGCACGUUUGAGUUAAUAAAUUAAUCUUGAAAAGCAAUUGACAUGUACGAUUUAGUAUCGACGUCGAACUAAAUUUUACUUUCAAAACAGUGGUUCGAAACGAUACAACAUGAUCAACAAUUAUUUUGUCUACUACUACUAUAUUGUUUCAUUUUACUAGAAUUAUAAAAUAUAGCUAAAGUUAACAUUUAUUAAUUAGUUCUUAAUUUAAAUUUAUUUAUACUUUAUUAUUUAAAUAUACUUGCGUAAGAUUAUAUACCGUCACUGUAGGCAACGUAAUGAAAAACAUUUUGGUUAAUAUUUGAAUAUAGAUCUAUUCAAGAGCUUUCUCUUAAUGUAAGUGAUGAAUUUCUCUUGUUUAACCACGAACAUGAUUUUAACUAUUUUUUUUAAAAGGUCGGUCUUCCGUCUUUAAAUAAAACCAAUUUAAAAAUCACCUCCAUUCUUUAUUUGGAGAGUUUAUGAUUGAUCUCUUCCCAAACCACUGAUUAGGGUAAAUUUUAGAAAUAUAUUUUAAUAUCAUAACAAAUAUUAAUUAAGCCAAUAAUAAAGAUUUGAUUGAUAACAGUUUUACUAAAGUUGAAGAAACUAAAAAAGAAUGAAAAUGAUAUUUUAGUAUUAAAAAGGAUUGAAGAAAAAAGAUGAGAAAUGGACGGAUAAUAAGAUUCCACACCCAACCGCGAAGGAAUCUCGCCUAAUAUUGAUAUUUGCUAUUUAGUGGGUCAUAGCUUUCCCUAUCAACUUCAACUUGCAAUGUAUUAAAGUUGAAAAAAUGACCGCAACUAUUAUCAUUACACGUGUAAGGUCAGGAUUCAUCACCAGGGGCAACUAAGUCUUUUACAAAAACCCGCAAGAAAAUUUCCAAUUUUCUUUUUUAUAUAUAUUAAGUGAAUUUGUAAUCAUCGUUCUAUACCCACCGUGUAGCCCAAGUUUCCCGGCAACUUCAUGGCUCGAAUCCCCACCGGAGUUUUACUCUCUCUUCUAUUCCUUGCCGUAAUCGGUCUACCUGCCGGAGCCCGGGACCUUCCCGGUGAUUUUCUCCGGUUGCCGUCCGAGGCACUGAAAUUUUUUCGCGGAGGAGCUUCCGACGCUAGCGACGAAGACUCCGUGGGGACGAGAUGGGCUGUUUUGAUCGCUGGUUCUAAUGGAUACUGGAAUUACAGGCAUCAGGUUUUUUUUUCUACGAUUGAUAAGUUGCACUGACUUUAAUUCAUUUGAUAAGUUUGUGUUGUGUUAUGAUGUUGACCUUUGUGAUUGAUUGGCGUUUUCGUGUUCGUAUUUCAUACUUUUUACCCAAAAUGUCUGUUGUGCAUUAUAUCUGUUGCUGAUACUUGUCUGAUCCAUUUUCUCACUGCUUUUUAUUUUUAACCUAAACUUUAUCAUCGGUGAUUCUUCUUGGCGUGAGAUCGAUUUUUUUUUUUUUUUCCAGUUAAACUAAGUCUGCAUUCUUUUGAUCUUUACUCUUCGUCGUCUGCUUUUUUGAUCGAUUGACUUUUUUCUGUUUUUCGAUUAAGAAAUUGUAGUAGUUCUGUUCUUAUCCGUUUCAUUUUUUUCAAUACAUAUGUUCUUAGUUUAUUUUAAAAGAAAAAAAAUAAUUAAGCCUUCAAAUUAAUUAAAUAUUUGUUGCUGUUAAUAAUUCUUAAAAAUUGAGCUGAAAUUCUCGAAGAACAUGGUUUUUUCAACGCCCUUCCAUUUGUCGUUGCUACCAUGUGAUCGAUAUAACUUUUCGAUUUUGCUCCAAAAUAACCACGUUACCUGUAGCUACUCUCAAACAAAGUUUCCUUGUUUAUAAUUGUCAUGUUGAACGAGUAACUGAGCGUUUAAGGCCUAACUGCAAAAGUUUAUUUGAAGGCACUUUUGAAAAGUUUUAUUUCUUGUGUUUGUAGUGACUUUUUUUUUAUUUUAACAAGUAACAGUUAUUUUCAGUGCUCUAUUUGGGUUGCAAAAUCUCAACUCCAUACUAGCCAUAGUUUAAAUUUCUUGGUACUAAACUGGAGUAAUCUUUUAUACUUCCUAUGUAUAAUAUAUAUGUAUAUAUAUAUUCAUGAAUAUCUGGGCUAGCUGAGGCACACAUGAGCAUUUGGGUGUCAAGGAAACAGGCAGGAUAUUAAAUUCUACGUAGGUGGUCACCAUGAAUUGAAUCCAUAACCUCUCAACCAUUUUUCAAGGUCAAUAUAACCAUUUAUUAUCUUAAUAAAAAAGAGUUUGUGACUCCUCUAUGGAAAGUAAAAAAGAGCUAUAAACACAACCAGUAAUUAAAGUUACAAAUCAAAGGAGAGAAUGGAGAUAUAAUUAAGAAUUAAUAUAAAUUUGUUGAACAAGCGUAAGUCAACAGAGUCUAGGUGCUACUAUUCUGCUCUCAACCUUGUUUUAUUAUGUGAGUGUCGUAGAUGGUUUAAUUGAUUAAAAAGGCUUAGAGAAUGCUGAACUCAUUUUCCACCAGGCUGAUAUCUGCCAUGCUUAUCAAUUGUUGCGGAAAAAUGGGCUAAAAGAUGAGAACAUCAUAGUCUUCAUGUACGAUGACAUUGCCUUCAAUCCAGAGAACCCAAGACCUGGUGUCAUCAUCAACCAUCCAAAGGGUUCUGAUGUUUAUCAUGGAGUCCCGAAGGUUUUCUUUUUCUCGUUGCCCUAUCGAUUCUAAUUUUACGCCUGAUUCAUCUGAUGGUAGCUACUUAUGCACUCUACGUUUUGGCCAUGGCAGGAUUACACUGGUGAAGAUGUUACCGUGAACAACUUUUUUGCUGCCAUUCUUGGAAACAAAACUGCUCUUACAGGGGGUAGUGGGAAGGUUGUUGACAGUGGCCCUAAUGAUCAUAUUUUCAUAUACUACAGUGAUCAUGGUGGUCCUGGUGUGCUUGGUGAGUGGCUUGUUCUGUGUAGUUCGCAUACUAUUUGAGGUGACCUAUCAUGCUUAUCUGGCACCAUCUCUUUGGAUAUGUUUGUUGCUCGAUGUGCUUGAUUUAUAUCUGUAAACAAUAGCACGAUUAGUUUACAUUUCCAUAUUAUCUUUUAAAGGCAGCCAACCAACCAAAAUUCAAUCUUAAAAAGCGUGCUUUGAUUUGAAACUGAUAGUACAGCCUCAUUUACCUAGGAAACACUUAUUGGUAUCAUUAUUGUAAAAACAUUAAUCGAAGAUAAACUUGUGUUAGAUUUCUCUAACUAGUUUGUUACUUGAUGGAUAAGAAAUUUCUCAUCUCUGAUAUAUCUUGUUCAGGGAUGCCUACCUAUCCUUAUAUGUAUGCUGACGAUCUUAACAAAGUUCUAAAGAAGAAGCAUGCUGCUGGAUCCUACAAAAGUUUGGUAUAUUAUUGUACUGUUCAUUGCUUGAGACUGCAUCUGUCCUUAUAAUGUAACCAUAUAUAAUGAGAGUGGAACUGUUUGUAAUAUUUUAGGUAUUCUAUCUCGAAGCUUGUGAAUCAGGAAGUAUCUUUGAAGGUCUUCUUCCUGAAGGUUUGAACAUUUAUACAACGACUGCAUCAAAUGCUUAUGAAAGCAGUUGGGGUACUUAUUGUCCAGGGGAUUAUCCUAGUCCUCCACCAGAGUAUGAUACUUGCUUGGGUGACUUGUACAGUGUUGCUUGGUUGGAAGACAGGUAAAAAGAUAAUAGUAGGCUUGUUCUAUUGUUUUUAUACUUUGUUAUUUUGUUAUUUUGUUGUUUUUGUUUUUGUUUUUUGCUUGGUGUUUUAAUUUAUCAGUAAAAGAAAAUGAUAUCAAUGCCGAAAUCCAAAAGGUAAUGUUUUUUGAUGUUGUGCAACUUUGAUUUUGGGCAUUUGUUCUGAUUUCCAUGUUCUCAUCGUUAUAUGUACUGCCGCACCAUACUUCUGGUGUCUAGUGUUCUGUCAAGCCGAAGAAUGAGUCUCACAAAAUUAUUAGAUCCAAAAGCAGAUUAUUACCUUUUAAAUAAGGGAUCCAAACGCAAAUGACGUGAGUUAAAAUAAUGAGGAAGUGGUUUAUUUUAUUCAGAACCUCAAGAUUUUUACUUUCGUGCUGUAACAGUGAUAAUCACAAUUUGAAGACAGAAAGUUUACGCCAGCAAUACGAACUGGUAAGAAUACGUGGACCUCCGUUUUAGGAGAAAUCAACUUCCCAAGUUUAAAUUUGGUUCUUAAAAAUGAAAAAUUUUCUACCAGAUUUUUUCAUCCUUUUGUAAUUGUACUAAAUGUACCAAGUCUAAAGGACAUUUUAGUGUGUUUAUCAAAAUGAAAAAAAAUCCCAUUAUGCUCGUUUGAUCUGAUUUGAACUGUUGGUUUCUUCAGGUGAAAAAAAGGACGCUAAGUGGCCAAUAUGCCUAUGGUUCCCAUGUCAUGCAAUACGGUGAUCUAAUGCUCAACAAGAACGCUUUGUUCUCAUAUCUGGGUACUGAUCCUGCUAAUGAGAACAACACUUUUGUCGAGGAAAACUCCUUGAGGCCAGCUACAAAGUUCACCAAUCAGCGUGACGCUGAUCUGGUCCACUUUUGGGAGAAGGUUAGUUUCUUCUUUUUCUAUUUUCAAAUGGAUAAUAUAUGAACCCUGCUUGGUAUACUAGUAUAUAGUAAAUAAGUGAUAUUUUGAGGUUCGCCAAAUUGAUAAUAUUUCCUGUUUUAGAUAGUGAGAACAAAGCAUUCUUGUGCGUUAGAUCCAAUUUUUGAGACUUUUGUGGCAAUUUUUUAAAUACUACACUUGUCACCUCUCUAAUGUAGGGAUUGUAGUAUUUACUUGUUAAUCUUGGGUUUUUUCUUGCUUAAAAUUAAUUUUGGUUUCGACAUCAUUCAAGACCCUCUCACCCCAUCCGUGCUUGUUGAUCUUAGUUUCGCAAAGCUCCAGAAGGCUCCCUGACGAAAGUCGAAGCUCAGAAGAAGUUCGUGGAAGCAAUGUCCCAUAGAGCUCAUAUCGAUAACAGUGUGAAGCUAGUUGGAAAGCUGUUGUUUGGAAUUAAAGAAGGUCCUGAGGUGCUUGAAGCCAUCCGUCCCGCAGGAAGACCCCUUGUUGAUGACUGGAACUGUCUUAGGAAUAUGGUAUAAUUUCAAUAUAAUUGGAUACUGCACAGCCCAUUUCAGUCAACCAGUCAAAUGAUGUUUAGUUAUAUUUUUACUCAGUAUAAAAGUUAGUUAAUUCUGAAAUGAUUCAAUACAAACAGGUUAGGAGCUUUGAGGCACGUUGUGGAUCUCUGUCUCAGUACGGAAUGAAACACAUGAGAUCCUUUGCAAACCUAUGCAAUGCUGGAAUCAGCAAGGAGCAGAUGGCGGAGGCAUCGGCGCAAGCUUGCAUGAGUGUCCCUCCGGGCCCUUGGAGCUCUCUACUCAAGGGCUUCACUGCAUGAUGACGAAACCCAAGUCAGUCAUCGGAUUUGGAAGUACGUUUCUCCCACCAUUGUUUAUAUCACAUCUAUGUUCAAAUGGGUCUGUCGACGACAAGUCAUUUGUAAAUAGAACCACAGGCCAUUGUGUUAGGUGAGAAAAAAGGGGCAUAUAAUUGAAAUGUUGAACUGAAGAAAUACGCAUCUGUUUAUAAGAAGAAGGCUCUGGUUGUGUUGGCAAGAACGAUCAAAAUUCCAAAUGUAUUGAUUGUAUGUAGUAGAAUUAUGGUGUGCUUUUUACAUUGAAUGACAAUAUAUUUUCACAUGAAUACAAAAUUCCAACCUCCAAAAGAAGAAAAGUGAGAAAACAAAAAUGCAUGAUUGAAAUAUUGGUGAGAAAAGGCAUAAGAGGUGGGCUAUACUUAUAGAUGGGAUAUGGGUGAGAAGGGUAGGCUCCACUCCUUUCCUCCUUCACUUGUUUAAACUUUCGUCAAUUUUAAAAGUAGAAUGGGGAGUUUGUGGGUUGUGGUAGUUGAAAAUGGUUAGAUGUUUUGGUAUAGAAUUUAGUGGGGGAAGAGAUAAAUCCACAUAUUGGGAUUAUUGGGAUACUGUUUGUGUGUGUGUGUGUGUGUGUGUGCCCCCAUUCUCCACCUCCCUGGAUCCACAUUCUUCUAUUAUUCCCACUUUUGCACGCUUUGUUUCUUUCCUUUUAUUAUUUUAAUACCAUCUAAUUUCAUGUUCUUUAACUUUAUUGUUUUAAUACCAUCAAUUUAUAUUGUAAAAAAAAAAAAAAAAAGAGUUCCUUUUGCAUCUUAUCUGAAUGUGAAUGUUGGUUUCUAUACUAUAUUUGUAAUUUUUUUAAGAUAUAAUGAAAAUAUGAUUCACUCUUUCAUCAUCUUAAUAUUGAGUUUAGUUAGAUAGAAUAUGUAACAUUUGUCAUCUUAGUAAUUCUUUUAAUCGUGGCUUUAAAUUUACUUUAUUAUUUUCUCGUUGUUUAGUAAAGGGAUGGAAUAUCAAUUAUUGAAACUCGAUUUGGUUGUUUUGUUUAAACCCCAAAUUAUGAAUCAGAAUUGGUUCCAUACAUAAUUCUCAAAAUCUCAUAAUUCUCCAAGAAAAUAAAGAUUUCAAAUGUAGUUUCUGGUCUAUAGAACUUUAAGUUUUUUUACUUUUAGGCUUCAAUAAUUUUUUUGUUUGUUAAAAUAGUAUUCUUUCAAUUUUUUAUUAUAUAUAUAUAUAGUUCCUAGUUGAAAGGAAAAGUUGAUUAAGAGGUAUAUGUGAUGAUUUAAUAAUUUAUUCGAAUGAUUGUGUUUGAAGAAAUUAAACUAGUUGCCAACUAUAUGAAUCAAAUGAUUUUGAAUUCAAAGGUAAUAGUUAGGGAAUUGGAUAUUUUUUUUUUUCUAGUGGAGCAUCUAAUGAUACCUUUUUCAAUAUCAUUAUUACGGAGAUGAAAAUAAAAAAUUGACUCUUGAAUUAGAAUUAUGUCAAUUACUAACAAGCUAAAUUCACCUUUUCAUUAAGAGUCAACGAGACGAAAACUAAUAUGGAUACAUACUUUUGUUUAAAUUCAACGAGUAUGAUUUGAUUAUUUUGUUUCUUUUAAAAUGAGUAUGAUCUUAAUAUUACAAAAUACAAAUGGAUGGACAAAAGUUUCUUAUUAAAAAAUCAACCCCACUACUGAACAAAGGCACCAAAAGAAAAAGAAAAAAAAAAGAAGAAAAUCUUCUUCAUAUGCUCUCUCAUUUGGAAAAACGAAAAGGAACAAAAGUCUUUUUAUCUUUUUCUUUUUUUCCUUCUUAAAAAGUAGAUAAAACUUCAAAUAUGGAAAAGGUAAAUUCACAUAAUGACUAAAAGCAUUUUUAUUUCAUAACCUUUAUUUAUACAUAAAUACGCAUGUGCCUUUAUUGGUAAUCUUUCUUUGUUUUUGUUUUUUAAUUGGUUUUUAAAAACUAAAGUGUAUUUGGUAACUAAUUCACUUUUUAUUUUUAUUUUUUAAAAAAAAACUUUUUUUAAAAUUAUAAAGAAAAAUUGAAAAUGAAAGGACAUCUUUAAAAUAACAACAUUAUCAAAUAUAUAUGGUUUUUAUCUUUAUAAAAAAUUAGAAAAUAGAAAAAUGAAAACAAAAAUAAAAAUUGAAAUGGUUAACUAAACCUGUUCUAGAAGUUUAAAAAUAUAAUGAUAAUUAUAAAUAUGUUUGGAGAUUUUUAAAAGAAGAAGAAGAAAAUUGACGAAUUAUUUACGUAAUCCACUAAAAGUCAAAAUUUAUACACUUAUUUCUCUACUAAUGAUAAAUAUUCUAUUUGUAUGGUUUUUCCCUUUUUUCUUUUUUUGGUAGAGUGGGGGCUCGAAAAUGAAGUUUAAAUAAAGUUAUGUGAUGAACUAACAAUAGGCUAAAAAGAUAAAAUCUUAUUAAAUUUACAUAAUGUUUUUUAAAAAAACGAACUCAUUUAUUAAAUUUGAGGGUACAAUGGUGAGUUUGAUGUGAUUUUUUAGAAGUUAGGGAAGGAGUGGAAAGUGAAAAUAAAUAUAAGCUUAUAAUUAUUAAUAAACAUGAGAAAAGUGCUUUGCAUUAUUAGGAAGUUUACAACAAACUCUAAUUUUUAAUUUAACUUGUUUGUUUCUAAUUAAUAUAAUAUCAACUUGUCAAUAUUUGAACUUUUAUAUAACAUUUCAGUCCUUACAUAUUCUUUUAUAACUUUUAUAUUCUCCAUUUAAAUCCUUUGACUAAUUAAAACUUUUAUUAUGUAUAAGGAAAAUUUUAAAAAAUAAAAUUUAUAAUUAUUAAGUAAGCAAGUGAAUGGUACGAAACAUGUAAGCCUCAAAGUUAUUAUUUCAAUUUUAUUUUAUCAUCUUUUAAAACACGUUCGAUGUUGAUGAUCUAAGCUUUUUACAGUUCUUGGUAUAUGAUUGCAUGUGUAAAGAGUUUAAACCUCGAGUAGGGAAGUAGUUAUACUUUCCUUGAGGUCUUCAAUCAUGACAAGAUUUUUAAUUUUUAAAUUUUUAGAAUUAAAGUUUUCAUAUAUAUAAAAUAAAUUUAUUAAGUAAUUUUGUAUGAUUGACUCAAACGAAUGGUGUCUCGUUUAUAUAAUAUUAGGAUUUGUGGUAAAUAAUUUAUGGGAUGGUUUUGGAGAUGAAAAAAAAGUAAAAGAAUAUGAAGAAAUAUAGAGUUGCAUUUAAUGAUUGUAUUGUGGUGUUUUGAAACAUCACGACUCUCUUCCACAAAACGUUUUCUAAAAUCACAAUGGAUAAAGUCAAAUUGUUGGUGAAGAAUCCUUUGUUUUUUCCAUUAAUAAUUGUAUCUAUCAAAUUUAAACUUUAUCCAUUUUUAUAUUUUACAAAAAUCUACCUACCAAUCAUAAAUAAAAUUAAUUUACAUAUUAAUCAUAAUUAACUAAAAAAUGCAAUAAUACAUUAGAACACUACCACUACAGGUUUUAACUAUGCCAAAUUAGUUUUAAAACUUUGAAAUAUAUGUAUAUACAUUAUAUGGUAAAGUAUUGAGGUAGAUUUGUUAGAAUAUUAAUAAAAUAAAGUAUCUAAGUUGAAAAGAAGGUGAAGGGGAGGAAGACAUGCAAGGUGAUUGGAUUACAAACUAAUUACAAACUAGAUUUGAGAAGAAUAGUUUGAAUUUUGGGUAGUAGAAAAGGGAGAAGGUAAGAAUGAAUGGUAGAAAUAAAUAUUUGGUUAAAGGAAACCCUAAUAUAAAUGUUUAUAAAAGAAUGAAUUGAAGGGGUCAUUGAUUGCAGUGAAAUGAAAGUAUUGAAAGUUCAAUAAUUUGGAGAGCCCCAUGGGACGUAUAAUCGGUUUGGGUAUUGACCGGAUACGACAUUACGAAAGCACUUUUAUUCAAAUGCUUUAACCAUGGUUAAUACUCCAAACUAACCAUAGUUAAGUACCCUUCCCGGUUCUAUCUAACCUCUAACCUCUAACCUCUAACCUCUAAGCUCCAAAGCUCUAAAGCUCCAUCACAUCGGCGGUUCCACACGAAAACAAAACUUAAAUAAUAAUAUAAAAGAAUAUUUUAUUUUAUUUUUGUUAGGAGAAUGAACGGACGUUAAAGAUUCCGUCAAAUUGGUUAACGCGGGGGGAUAAACGUAACGGUCGAUUGGAGAAGAGAGGAAGGAGCGGGACUCUCAGUGGACGGAAAAGCAGAUGAUGAAGCAGAGCCGGACGAUGGUUUGAUGGACGGUCAUAGAUGGAUAUUGCUGAACGGUUUAAGCGAUGUGGGACUUGGAAGAGCGUAUAAAAAUAGAGAGUUGAAAGGGUGAGAGGCCAUUUCGUUGUAUCAUUGAGGAAGGACCUCUCUGUACUACUUCUCUUUAAACUUCCCUUCUAACUCUUUCUCUCUCUCUCUCUUUCUCUUUCUCUUUCUCUUCUACAUAUUUAUAUUUCUUUCUCUUGAUGUCUCUGUAAUUAUUUCCUUCAUUUGAAGCUUUCAAAACCACCCAACAGCUUAAAAUUUUGAUAGUAUUACUGGGUUAAUCGAUCUAAGAUGGCUCGGGUCAUUGACGACUUUUAAGGCAUUGAAAUUGUUGUAAGAGAUGAGAUAAUCGACGGGGGGGAAUUUGAAUCUGGGGUCUGUUUUCUUGGCUGAUUCUGUAAUUGAUUUUUUUUUUUUUAAUAAAUUCGGAGUUGAAUUUUUGGAGAAGAGACUUUGAGUUUUGAAGGUUUGAUAAUUGAAAUCAAUUCACUGUUUAAGGUCUUUGUUGUUCUGGGUUUAGAUCUUAUCUUCUGAAAUUAGUUUCUAACUCUUGAAAUUUUCGUUGUGCAGAUAAAUACAGAGCGAUUUUAGUUGUUCGUUUGAGGGGUUUCUAAGAGAUUUGUUACCUUUUUUGAAAGUGGAAGAAGAAUUGGACUGAGAAAAAUGCAAGCGAUUAUCGGACUCUGGGAUUCGGAUUUACAUUUCGCUUGUUUUCUGCGGUGAAAUAAGCAGAUUUCUGUUCUUUGGAAGAGCUGAUUCUUGGGGGGGAGGGGGGCAAACCCAGAUCAGAAAUUUCAGGUACUGAUUGGUUAUCUUCUUGGUGUAUUUUGUAGGCUCUGUUCUUUCUGUUCUAAUUAUUUUCGUCCGAAAUUUCAGGUCUGAUUUUCUUCCUGUUCAUUGCUACCUUCAGCAUCCAAUAGCUAUCGCUUCCUCCUCUGUUCGAAUUCUUAGGGUCUGAUAAUAUGCUUUCAGAAUUUAAAAAUUCGAGUUGCUUCUUCCAUGGAAGGAUCUUCUAUCUCUCUGUGAGCCAUUGGGAAAUCUGGAUCCCCUGUUUCCAUGUGAAAUUCUUCUUGUUUCUUUGAGUUCCUCACAUUUUCAAGAUUUUCCCUCAAAUUUCCUCUUAAUUUCAGACCCAGCGUCUUCCCAAUACUUUUCUUCAGAAACCCAGACCAGUUCGGCUUUUCAAAUUUCGUGAAUUCCGUCUUCGGAUCAUCGAGAAAACCCCAUGUUCUGGUCUCUGACUGUUUGAUGUUCUCCUCGAGUAAAGUUUUUACAGUGUUGAUGGCGAAAACGUCAUAUUUCAGUGCUUGAAAUUUCUAAUCACCUUUGCUCUGUCCAUUUUUCUUCGUAACUUCGGGAUUUUCAUCCGAAUCCAAUUGACUGCAGAACCUGCUUUUUAUCCAUUUCCCCUUUCGUUUCUCUUUGCUACUUUAAUUGUAGAAUCUUCUGAGUAAUCUUUCUUCAGACUAACCCCCUUUUGAAAUGGGACAGGUAGUGUAUAUAUAAUUAAGCAUAUGGAGAAAGAAAAUCUCAGAAUCAAUAGCCAUGGCAAUUUCGUUAGUAAUAAUCUCAACGGGAGGGAUAGAACCAGCGUGGACAGCUCGCUGUUGUUGCGAGCGAGAUCCGAAGCCGCCGUUGUCGCCGUCGCAACGAGACCGCAGCCAACGCCGUCGGAAUUUGUGUUACAAUGGGGAAACCGGAAGCGUCUCCGGUGUAUGAAAGUUCCGGUUAAGGCCAAGGAUGUUUCCGCCGCAGCACCGGCUCACAGAACCACCGUCCGAGUGGACCGGCGAGUCGUUAGAGCCGAUAAAGACUCGAUUAUACAUAACCACCAACCAACUUCUAAUCAUAACCUUAAUCCGAGUAAUGGGUAUUUGAAUCUCCGUCAACGGCCGAUUUCUCCUCAACCGCCAGUUCUACCGCCGCCGCCAGCUCCAUCUCAGCGUAUUCUAAGGUACUCUCUGUUUCUCUCUCUUUUCUUCAACGCCAAUCUUUCGUAAUUUCUUUUUUAAUCUCUUUGAUCGUUCAAAUCUCAUCCGAUAUUUGAGAUUCCUUUUUCCCGGCUAUGGGAUUCAAAAUCCCGAUGUAUUCUUUUAAAUGGGCCUUUCUAUUUGGGCUUUUAUUUUAUUGGGCUUUUUAUUUGCUUGCUGUAACGCACUGCAUAUCUAAAUAUCUAAGAAACAUAUUAUCGCUAUUUAUAUACUCAUAUCAUAAUCAAUAUUUGACAACAUAGUCUAUGAUUAACACUUAUUGGCUACAUUAUUGUAAAAAAAAAUUCAAUAAUCUUUCUUUUUCAAACAAUAAAAAAAUAAUUGUAUAAAUGCAACUUGGUAUUGGAAUCUGAUGAAAUGAUGAACCAAACAUUGAAGGACGCAAUUUAGCCUCGUUGAUUAGGACACGUCUUCCAUUUCUUCCACGUGUCGUUUUCACUGUGGAAUAAUAGCCGUCGGAUCAUCAAUCGCAGUGACCACUGGUGUCCCCAGAGUGUCUCCAGAUCGGCUGCCCUGGAGCGGACACGUAAUCUCGAACUUGUAGAUCCAAAGGCUGAGGUUGGGGCGAGGUAGUCAUGAUUUGAAAAGACAGGUUUGUCCUUAAGAAAAAUCUAAGCCAUUGAAUGAAAGAAUAGAGACGAAGUCCCCCAUUUUGUACGCAAAUUCUAAGCCAGAUUUCCCCCAACGAACUCCAACAUCCUCCAAGGUCAUUCCCGUAAUUUCAGCCCACGAACGUAAAUAAAUUAAAUUUGCUUUUCUUCUUUUUUCCCUUUUUUUUUUUCUUCUUCUUUAAUGAGUAAUCUUUCAAUCUUUCGUGAGAUUUGUUCUUUAGGCCUUUUGUUUUGGUAAUCUAUGUGUGUAUGUCUUGUGGGGUUGGGAGUCUUUUUUUUAAAAAAAAGAACUUUUUGGUGAAACUAAGUAGUAAACAAACAGAGACUGAGUUUUUGUUUUUAAAAAAAUUUGAUUAGGAACUCUGAGAUUUCCGGUACGAUGAGAGCCCAAUCCAACGGCGGUGUCAGAGCAAUUACUUCUCCGGACAGGGCAGCGCCGGAGAAAAAACCACCACCGUCUCAUCACGACCACCACCAUAAAUCCGCCGCUACCUCAGACACAAAAAAAGGUGGGUCAUCUUCCGGCAGCGGAGAACCAACUGCACCGCCGCAAGCGCUGCCGGUUUGGCCACCGAAGUUCGUAAUAGCUUUAACGAACAAAGAGAAGGAAGAAGAUUUCAUGGCGAUCAAAGGGUCAAAACUGCCUCAGAGACCUAAAAAACGAGCAAAAAUUAUUCAACGCACCAUCAAUGUAAGCAAAACACCAAUCCCCCCGUCUUUACUUUUCCAGAUUCGUUCUCUACCUUUUCUUUUAUUGGUUUUAAUUACUUUUUCUUCCUUAGUUACGAACUGAUUCUCAUGCGCUAUAAUUAUUAAUUAUUAAUUAUUAAUUAUUAAUAUCAUUAUUACUUCUGCUUUAAUUAUUUAUUUGAACCCUAAUUUUCUUUUAAUUUUCACCGAAUAUUUAUUUCCUAGUAAUUAUUCAAUGAGAGCAUUAAUUGAAAAUAAAACGAAAAAGGGGGGUGUGGGGGUGAGAGAGAGAUAUUAAGGGGAGAGUUGUGGCAAUGGAAGGUUGAUGGAAUGCCACGUGGAGAGAUAUGGUUUGAGUGUUAUUUACCGGAAAUGAAGGCAUUGUGUGUGGGUGAAUGAAUGGUUUAACCAAUUACUAGUCGACAGAUAGACAAUCGCUGAGUUGUCCCAUCCUCGCCUUCAACAGUUGGGAGUCCUUUGGGUUUCUUUUUCUUUUAUCUAAAUAAUCAUGUUCACAUUCAACCUUACUUUUUGUAAUAAAUUCUUAAUUUCCCUCUUCCCUUUUACUUUUCUAUAAAUAAUAUUUGUAAAAGUAUAUUACAUUUUGUUCAGGAUUUAUUUAAUUUGUGUGUUGGUUUGGUGUUUGGUGUUUGGUGUUUGCUAUUUGGUGGUGGCAGCUGGUGAGUCCGGGGACGUGGCUAUGUGAUUUAACGUUGGAGAGAUACGAAGUAAGGGAGAAGAAAAUUUCUAAAAAGGUAUGUAUUUUUUUUCUUCUAUUUUUUGUGUUUAUUAAUUUGUGAAUUGUAAGAAUUGAUUCUUGUUAUUUGAAUGUGUUUGGGAUGCAGAGACCAAGAGGGCUUAAGGCAAUAGUGAACAUGGAGUCGGAGUCCGAGUGAGGAAAAGAGGAGAGUUUCUGAUCACAUACCAAAUUAAUUUAGAACCACUGUUUUGUUGUGAUUUUGUGGAGAGGAGGGGAAGAAGCUUUUAAUUAUGUGAAUUACAUAAAUAUAAAAUAUAUAUAUAUAUAUAUAAGUUGUAGAUUUUCUCUUGGCUAAUUGAUUUUAUUAGCAUAAUGAAAUUGUAAUUAUUCUAAUUUUUUAGUUCUAAGUUGAUCCUUUUGAUAACGGUUUUCAAGUAGAAAUUACCAAUUCUUAGAUUGAAAAUAGAAAUGAGGGUGGAAGCUACAUUUGUUUAUGGAUUAAAGAGCUUUUUCUUUUUUUCUUUUGUGUAAAGAUAUAUUGGCUUAUCAACUAACUUUUAGAAAAACAAAUCCUCCAAGAAUGAAAAAAACUCGGAUUAUCACUUUACUACAACUGCGUCAGUUGAUUCUCUAUCUUUUUUUUUUUCUUUCUCCUCAUCCUUCUUCACAUACUAAAUCAAAAGCCUAAUUUCCCGAAGUUCCCAACUUUAAUUUCCCACACUUUACACCCACCCCUUCCUCUCCUUCAAACUAUUUCUUUCUUCAACAUAUUUUUUCUUAAAAUUAACACAAAAAAAAAAAAAAGUUUCAUACAAUAACUUAUGAUAACAACUUACGUAAACAGUAGAAGGUAUUUCCUUUGGUUUGACAAAAUCAUAGAGAAUAAUGAAACUAUUAUUUUAUAAUGAAAUUCUUCAAAUGGUAGAGACUAAACUACAACUCUCUUUGAAUCAUAUUUAUUGUUAAUUAGCUAGUUUUAUGAUUUAUAAAUAUAUUACAAACACGUUAAACAAAUUUUAAAAUUAUAAUCUAAUUGAAUUUGUUUCCAAACACAUAUUUAAGAUAAAACAUAAAACAUGAAAUUAAGGAGAGGAAGAACUCUAUGUUACCAAAAUACUUUUCUUCUAACUUUUACAGAAAAAACAUUCUUAGAUUUAAACAUAAUUUUAAAUCUAUAAUGGCUGGAUUGCCAUGGUAUUAAAAAAUUAAAUGUAAAUCAUAAAAAGCUAAUAUUGCAAUAUUUAGAAUUGUAAAUUUCUUGAAACAAUCAAAUAAACUUCAUGUGAGUUCAAAAGGGUAUGCAAAAUAAAUUCUAUCGAGUAUAUAAAAUAAAAAGAAUGAAUAAAGAAAAGGAAAAAAGAACUCAAAAUGAAAAUAUAUUUGAGUUGAGCAUCACAAAGAUCACAAGUAGACUUUAUUAGUGGACAACAGAAAUCAACCAAUAUACCAUUUCAUUAAUAUAAAUAAUUCUCUAUAUGCUUUGGAUUCGUCCUUCUUAGAGAAGAAAAAAGAAAAGCAAAAAAGGCAACCAUGUUCUUGUCAUCAAUUCUCUAGCUGUAAAAAUUGCCAACCAUAAAAUUAUUGGCACCUUUCCCUUUCGGGUUUUCAUUAUUCAUUGCACAUGCCUCGCUGCCCCACAAAUUCUACUUCAAUUGGACUUCUGUUGGUCCAGAUUUCAAAUUAUUAAAUAUGCCUUACAAAUCUUGGAAUUCCACAAUUUAAUAAUCCUCAACUUAAUUCGGUAGUACACAAAAUGAUUUCUGAUGGGGUUUUUUUUUUCUCUCUCUCUCUCUCUCUUCAAGAAGAAAUUAAUCAAUCAAUUACAGUGAGAAUUACCAAAUUGUUUUGGCUAAGCGAAGAAUCUCAAAGAAAUUGUUGCAGUUAGAUAUAAUAAGCGAGUGUGUUCGUAUGAAUGAAUGCAUGAAAGAGUAAAGAAGAAGAGAGUAUUUAAAAAGAACGAAACAAUUUAUUUACUAAUCAUAACCAACAAAAUAUAGCACAAUCGUGAACAAACCAACACAACCUGCAUUCUAUAUAUAAGAAUGUGUAAACAAAAGAGGUCGUCUGUACCAAACGUGUAGAAAUUAAAGUCCCUUAGAAAAACAUCUAAAACAAAUUCCUCCGCGGCGCAAGGUUUUAGUUGAAGAGAGAAAAGAAAAAGAAAAAGGAAAAGCAGACCAUCACAAAUACAUGGAAGAGUCCAUGGCAAAAUCAAUCACCACAUCCGAAGGCCGGUAGCUCAGAUCCUGAGAGUAGAUCCGAAGGCGAGAGCAAGGAAAGCAGCAAGGCAAGCGGAGACGGCCGAAGGAGCAAUGGAGGUGGCAGGGGAGGCCGGACUGGGAGCCGGAGCCUCCUGAGCGGCGACGGAGGAAAGGGCGAAGAUGAGGGCAAUGAGAGCGAGGAGAGAAACUUUGGAGAGGGCGGCCAUUGGGUAAAAGAGGUAAUGGGGGCGGGGGGUUAGGGUUGAGGCGGGAGAGAGGAGAGAGGAGAGAACCGUUUGAUUGGGAAAUGAGAAAGGGAAAUAGUAGAAGGAGAGAUAUAUAGAGAGAAACGGGGAGGUGCAAGCUGGCGAAUGGUUGAAAGACAGCUCAUAUAUGGGUGUGGUUCCCUUUUCCACAAAGAGCAUCGACGGGGAAUAUAUGCAUUCUCUUUCCACCGCACAACAUUUUAGCCAUCAACAACUACACAACAAAUAUAAAGUAAUUUUUUGUUUUUAAAUUCCAUUUUACACCUUUUUUUUUUCUUUCUUUUUCAACGGAUUUAUUCCAUUCAUGCUUUUUUUUUUUUCUUUUCAAUUUUAAACUUUAACGUUUGCUGUAUGGUUAUAUAUAUUAUCACUAUUAUUUUGUUUUUCUUUUUUAAGCUUUUGAAAAGUAGAAAAAAAAUUAAUACGUUAUAAAUUUGAAAAGCAGUAAGUUUAAAAGUAAUAAUCAUCUAAUAACCUUUAGAUAAUCGUUUCAUAUUAUUAAUUAUUUGUCAUAGUUGUCAUAUUCGAAAUAUGUAUAAAAAAAAAAGGUGUGAACUGUUUUAUUAAGUUAGUACGAUAUUUAUCAGCUUCAUUAAGAUAUUUAUACUUACUAAUAUUACGUUGCAAACUAUAGGUUUGGAAGGUCUUUGGAUGAUUUUCAUCCAUCCUAAGUUUAUUAGAUUUUUUAUCAGUAACAUCGAUCUCAUCUAUUCAACAACUUUUAUGGUACAUGUACUUGUUGGGAUGAGAUUAAAAUAUCAAUUUUAAAUUAUUUAUUGACGUUUUAUCUACAAAUUUACACUUGAGAGGAGUAGUUCAUCUAUCUUAUAUGGAGUAUGAGUCACAUUGUUUUUUCCAAUGUGAGACUCUCAUCUUCUCCAACAUGUCCCUCAAGACAGUGUCUGUUUGAGUUAACUUAUAUUGGAUCAAAUACUCAUUUGGAGAAAAUAGAGAAUCGGUUUCUUACAAAUACUCUUGUCUUCACUCUUUAUUUUGGUAUUAGAGCUUGAAAAAUGGCCAACGCCUUUUAUGCCUCAUCCUCGUCGAUGAUUUCAAACUUUAGCAAUCCUCCCCUAAAUCAACUACUAAACCAACAUGUUCCCUCAGGAUGAUGCUUAUUUGGGUUCACCUAUCUUUAACAUAAGGUGACUAUAUGUUUAGAAUCACAUUUUCCAUGAAUUGAAUAGUAAUUGAAUAGUAAUGACUCAUGAUCAUAUAUUUUUUUAAUAUAUAUGGGCACUAAUCAAACAUUUUAGUUCAACAAACGUUUUUUUCAAAACAAUAAUAAUAAACAAUGGACAUUAAUUUUAAAAUUAGAAUAAUGAUAUUAAAUAUCUCUUUACUUCUCAGCUUUUAUAUAAGGUCCAAAUUCAAAGGAUGCUAUUAAAGUUUCAAACAAAAUACUUUUCUUUUUGAGAGAGAUAUUCUUUCUCUUUAAAAUAAAGAUGAGACAAUGGAUGUGAUAGAUUAUGUAUAGAAAUAAAAAUACAUAAACAAAAUUAUUUACAACUAUAAAUAAAAUUAAGAAAGUUAUUAGCAUUAAUCUCAUCGAAUUAAUUUAGCUAACCAAAAAGAAGCAAAACAGCGUCGUUUGGUUCAUAACGUUAAUGAGUCCGUUGUAAAAGUGGAAGAUUCUAUUUGGUUUAGGGUUAGUGGAAACCAUGGGGGAAAUAAUAUUGAAUUCAUCCAGAUGCGACAAUGGCGCGUGUUAUGUACGAUAAGCAUCGAAGGGAUGUGAGAAGAUGGGGACGGUGGAAAAUUAGAGCGUGGAGUGAAGAAAACCCAAAAAGGGAAAGAAGGAAAAGUAAAAAUGAUGGGGGGUGGGGCCGACAAGCCAAUAAUGGGAAAAAUAGUUGUUGUGAACGUGGGGCCCAGGAUAGAGUGACCGCGCUGUGUUGUUAGGAAAUGACAGGUAAGAGUGAUUGGCCACUGGCUUCUUUUUAAUAUGGUUCCAGAAACUUCUUUUUAUGCACGCCAAUAUCGUCCUUUCCACACAAACUCUCUUUUAAUAAGUAAUAACCACUUUUUUUUUUUUUCUUUCUUCUUUUUUAUCAUGUAAAUGCUAUUAUUGUUCGACUAUAUCAGCUUGUUUGUAAACCUAUCAAUUUACAAUUGAUAAAAAAAAAAAAAAAAGAUAAUGAAGAGUCCAAGUUAUGUUAAUAAUCUUCAGUUAGUUCAAUAGUAUCUAGGGUGGUAAAGAUUUAAAAUCGAGUUCAACACCAACAAAGUGAACCAAUUAAGGGCAUUUUUGGCAUUGUAAUUAAAUCUCGAAUGAGAUUCUGUAUAAUCUAAUGAUGCAAAUUUAAGUAGUGUUCGGGUGAAGGAGCGAGAAGUAUUGAGUAAGGAAUGAAACAGUAAAAAAAGAGAGAAAUGGAGGAUUAUGGAAAACAUGUCCUUGGUCAAACGAGCGGUGAAGUUUGGACUAUUUAUCUUUUUGGAAUUUCGAGAACUAUAUAUAUAAAUAUAUUCAACUAGUUUUGAGCAAUACAUAGGUUGAAAAAAAAGAAAGAAAGAGAGAGAGAGAGAGAGAGAGAGAGAGAGGUACUGGGAAGAAAAGGAAACAAAUAAAGACCGUUCAUGCCAACUCCUCAAACUUCAUUCUUAUUUAAAAAGAAAAAGAGAACAGAUAGAUGAGGGGCAUUCAAAUAUGAUCAUUUUCUUUUACAGUGGGAGAUAUAAUAAUUUGCAUAUAAUUAUCUCCUACUUUAAUAACUCAAAUUUGGCUUCUAGACUGGAAAUCAUGACAGGGCAUUCUCCCUUCUCAUCAUACUCUGCAUACUCACCUCCAUUUAAGUCAAUAUCCUCAAAUUUAGUCCCCUCUAUCUGCAAACAAAACAAGGCAACUCAACUUUAGGAAUAAAUCUGUAACAAUAUAUAGCCAAACAAUAUUCUUCAGAAUUCGUAAGUUAAAGCUAAACUAUAUGCCAGCAUGAUUAAAAUAAAAGAGCAAGUAUCUAUGCCAUAUUCUUAAUUUUUUUAUCUAGUUGUUAACCUUGCGUGCCUAUAUUUCGAAAAAUAUUAAUCUUCAAGGACAGAGAGAGAGAAGGGAAAAAAAAUUCUAGUCUCAUGCCAAAACGUUGUGAAUCUGCAUGAUCAACAAGUUAUAUAUGUUUGAUUUUGAAAAAAAUGAAGUUAUACAUGAUCGUGGAAUUCAAAAACAGGUAGGCCGUGUUAAAUACUUCAUGUUCAUUAUUAAUUGGAAGACUUACAGAUUCUACUUUCCAUCCAGGUCCAAAUAUAAAGCCCAUAGGAUCAUAACCUCUGCAGUCAAAUAACAUCAACGGAGAGAAACCCCCUGAUUCACUUAUUUCCUGAGUCAAUGGUUUACCUCGCCCCGGAAUCAUUGUGAUAGUUCCUUCCCUCCCACAGAACUUGCACUAUAAGAUAAAGAGCAUUAACAUUGUAGUUGAGUUCGGAGGAAAUCUUUAAGUGCAAAUGGAAACUAUUGAACCUACUAUUUGAAAUAAAGCAUAAUCUGAUACAAGACAAUCAUCUUGGACAACUAAUCAAAUUUAAUUUUCUAGCCAUUUCCUUAAAAUUGCCACAAGUUCUUAAUUUCAGAACUAAAUUUCACACCAAACACGAAAUGCUGAAAAAUGUUAUAACUUCAUGGUCAAAUGAUAUUGGAAAACAUUAGUUUUCAGAAAACAUAUCACCAUUUUCGAUUUCCACAUCACUUAAGAACUGAUAUCUUAAUGUCAGUUUGACUAUUGACCCAAGUUUUCAAAUACAACAGCAGUGGCAUACUGCAUUAUUUUAUUUUUCUAAAAAUGUACACCAAUAAUCAAAUUAAAAUAAGGAAUGGAUGAAGCUUAAGUAAGAAACAAAUGCUAAAUUAAGUAUUAGUCUGUUUUCUUUUGUCCACCUGUAAUUGCCAGGCUAGGACUAACUUGUGCACAUCUCCGCCUAUUUUCAUGAGACCAACUAGAGCUCGUUCUCUCCAAGCCUUUUAUUAUUCACAUGGACCUCACUAAACACUAGGUCAACCGUGGUGGUGAACUAAGAAUUAGUGAUCUUGGGUGUCAAUUUUUUCUUUUUUUCUGUUCAAUAAGUGUGGGUGAAGGACUUGAACCUCUGAAAUCUUGGUCGAGAGCAUAUGUCUUAACUAGUUGAAGUACACUCAAGCCAACCGUGAGCGUUAAAAAGUUAAGAAUACCAGUGACUGGAUCCUACUAGUACCAUUGCUUUGAAAAUUGAUUGAAAUGAAGGGCCACCACAAUCUGACAAGAACUUUAUAUUAUUGUAUAACUUUAAAGUGGAAUUACAAAAAUCAAAAUCUACUUCUAAUGGUUACUAGAGGACAACCACUCAGUCUCAUACACACACUUCUUUAAAUGUAUAGAAGCCAGAACUUUCCUACUAUUUCCCUUCAUUUUCUCAUCAACCUGGAACGACCAUCUUUAUGUCAAUAACUGAUCUACAUACUUUCCAGAAUAUGAGCAUCUUUAAAAGAGAAUUACCUUUUGAACGAGAUUAGUAGUCCCUUUACCCGCUUGGAGAGGAAUAGUUUCACCCAAGGUCACACACGUUUCUUUCUGGCUCACCUCCCCGCAUCUCCCGCAUUUCACCUUCAAACGGAAGAUAGCACACAAAUAAUACAAACAAACAAGCUCAAUUAACACAAUCAAGGAGGAAAAUACGGUAAAAACCAACCAAUAGCAGCUAGAAAGAGAAGGAAUCCAAGAAUCAUCACCAAACAUGAUGUCCUCGGAUCAAUUCCAGGGAUAAAAAUCCGAAAACGACAAUAUAACAUUUCAAGUCAAGAGGAGGAUGAUAAAGUGGAACAUGCAGACAUAUCAAAUUCACUUCGAAUUCGACAAGUACUAGUGAAUAAGUUAGAAAUUGAAAAAAGGAUUGAAGAAAUGUAAUGGAAAAGAAGGCAGGACGUUGGAAGAGAUUAAUGAAACAAACUCAAGAAAAUUGAAUGAUAUUAAGAGCCAAGAGGAUUACUUUGAAAAGGUAAGGGAAGUUGGGGUCGUCGCAACCAUCUUGAGGCUGAAGAUUCGUGAGGUUCUCGAGCUCCGCUUUGAUCUUAAGCAAGAAGUUCACCAUUUUUUUUUUAGCGGUUUUGCAUAAUCACACUUCCCGUGCGUGGAAUUUUCGAUUUUAGUCUUUGGGAAGACGGACUAUGGGCUCGGGUCUUCUUUCUAAAACGGAUGACCCGAAAGGAGUUUUCCUAAAUGAUUUUCUUUUUCUUUUUUAAAUACAAAUCUAAAAUAUCUGAUUUGCUAUUCUAGUGUUGAUUUUUGUAACCUUUUUUAUUAUCAUUUUUGCUAUAGAUUUUGGAAACAUUCUUUUUUUUUAAAAAAAAACUUAUUGUUAUUAUUUGAUUAAUUUUUAUUGAAGUUCAAAAUUGAGAAAAGAAUUUCCAUGGUUCAAAAAAAAUUUGAACAGUAGGAGAAAUGUGUUUAUAUAUUCGAGAGGGUAGGAUAUAAAAUUAGACCUUUAAAAAUGCAAAACUAAAAUGGUAUAAACACCCAAAACUCCAGGAAUUUGAAUGUUUAAGUUAAGUUCAAGUUGAUUUUUUGACCUCAAAUUAAUUUUAAAUAAUUAUAUUUGUGUAGAUUAAAUUCUUUUACUAAAUUUCUUAAAACAAUUAUUUAAGAUAAAGUUUCUCUCUAAUCAAACAAGAUUAAAAAAUUUGAAAUAAAAAUUGGUUACUUACGUUUUGUAUUUUGUUUUAUUUUGAUUUCAAUUUCUUUAAAAAUGUAAAAUGUCCUGUUUAGUCUCUAAAAUUGAAGAUGACGUAAGUCUAUAUUUGAAUGGUUAGAUUAUUUAGAUAUUAAAUUACGUUGAUAAAUAACUAAAAAAAUAUUCUUAAUUUAUUAUAUAAUUCUUUUAUGUCGAUGAAAAACAUAAUCAACACAAUAAGCUCAAAUUAAAAUCUAAUUUUGAUCUUAUUUCCUCCCAUUUAAAAUCUCUCACGUCGCUCCAACUUGUUUGUUUCAAAAAUUGACAUUGAAUAAAAUAAAAAAAUAAAUCGAUAACAUCCAUGAUAAAAUAAAGUCAAUAGAAAAUUAAAACUCUACAAAAUUGUAAACAAAUAUUUACACGCUCAAUCACACAAUCCAGAAAGAAAAGGAAAUAACUGGGAAUUGCAAUUACCAUAUUCAGUAAUAUGAUUAACAAAAUAUUUAAUUGAAAAUUAAAACCCCAAAUUAUUUAGGAUUUAUAUUAUUUGACAACUUAAUCAUUAGUAUACAAAAUUUGAACAAAAUAGUAUUUAAACCUAUAAUAUGUUUUCAAAUAAUAUUAAGCAAUCCUCCCUAGCUCGUACAAUUGAUGGAAUGGGCAUCGUCAUCGCCAGUACAAGUGAGAGUGAUAGGAAUUAACAUGAGAAUUGCCCACUUCAAUCGGAGCUUCCUUAGUCUCCGCGGGCGCUGCCAAUUUCUUCACCGGAAUCUCCUUCCCGACAUCUGAGACUGGGGAUGAGGAGAGGCAAGAAGGGAACAAACGGAAAAUUAGAGAGAAGAGACUCAUUUCAAUAGAUGCCCUAACAACUUUUGUCCUACUCGAGAAUGAGAUAGUACACUAUGUUGAUGUUUCUGUGGAAAUUGAUUAUGAAUAACGUGAAAUUAUUUAUAGAGUGUAGAAGAUGAAAGAAUGAGAAGAUCCAAUUGCUUGCUGUACAAGGACCUGCCGUGGAUCCCAAGCACCUACACCACCCACCCAUGGCGGCUUUUGCAAAAUCAACGUGGGGAGUAACUAUCAUUUGUUUAUUUAGGGUUGAAUUAUAUAUAUAUACAUAUAAUACCCAUUUCAUUUGUAUAUCCAAAAGUUGUACUCAUUUUCUUCCCUAACUUUUAUAAAACUUUAAAAAACAUCCAUACACUAAAAACAAAACUUUUUUUUCAAAUAAGGUAAAUAGAGAAAGUAAUAACAAAAAUAAGGUUCGAAACAAAUUAUUGACAAAAAUAUGAAAACAUGAGUCCACAUAUAUAUGAAAAAGAAUGUGAGACCCACAAUUAAUAUAAAUAUUGAAUAAAAUAAGAAAGUGUAGAACUGACAUGUAAUAUAUAUAUAAAUAAUUAAAAGCCCAAAACUACUUUACUUUUGUAGAUGAUUUUUUCAUUUACCUAACUUUGAGAAAAAGUGAGUAAAAACUCUUUAGAAUUUAAUAGAAAAUUCAGAUAUCAAAAUGACAUAUAACACUUUUUUGUUUGUGGUUAUCACUACACCCUUUUAAAUUCCAAUUUCCAUUGAACUUUUAGCAUAGUUAAAAUGUGAGGUAAUAUUACCAUUUUUUAAAAUAUGAAAGGUAUUUUAUUCGUUAGUAUUUAUUUGGGAGCCUUCUUAAAAGUAGCAAAAUAAAUUAAAAUCUUUAUCAAUUAUAGUAAAUUUUUGAGUUCUAACUAUGAUAGAAAGUGAUGGUCUACCAAUGUCUAUUAUUGAUUGAAUAUGAAAUUUUGUUAUAUGUUGUAAAUAUUUUGUCAAAUUUGCUAUUUUUUAGAAGGGUAAUUGUAAUUGAUGAUCAUUUGAGGAAUAAUAAUUAAGGAUAUAGCAAUAUUUAAAAAAAAUUGCAAAUAUAACAAAAUCAUCGCGGAUAAACUUGUAUCACCGAUAGACUCGUAUGAUCUAUCGGUGAUAGACCAAUUUUUACAACAUGAUCUAUCAGUGAUAGACUCUAUCAUUAAUAGAAUUUGACAAACUUUGCUAUAUUUGCAAUUUUUUUAAAAUAUUGCUAUAUAUUUAAUUAUUUUAAAUUUAAUUGCUAAAUAUGCAACUAUCCCCUCUUAGAAUUAUCGGUUUAUCUAUUUAUUAGUAUUUAAUUUAAAAAGAAAUGAAAAGGUUGAUUUAAUUCUUAGUUUAGUAACCAUUAGAAUUGGUCCUCAGUAAUUUUCAAGUUUUAUUUUUGUGUUCAAAAGUUAACUAAAAAAAUGAUUGGUUUUUCUCUUUUAGCUUAGCUUGGGAUAAAGAAAGGUGAAAUAGUGAGAAAAAAAAAUCAAACAGACAUAAAUUUUCUCUAAUUUUGACUUUAAAAAAUAAAUUUUAGUCCCAAUCUUAAAAAAAAAUGUUAGUCAUUAGGUUUUGUUGGUAUCAUUUCAUUUUCAACCACAAAAUUGUAUAGGUAAAAUUAAAAAGAGAGAAAAAAAAAAGUAAAAUGUGCUACACGAAUGAGAAUUUUCUCACUAUAUUGUAAAAAUUAUUUAGUCAUUAAUUAAAAAUGAUCAUAGAAAGAUAAAUUAAUCAAUAGAAGUUGACAUAAAUGAAAAAAUAUACUUUAGUCUCUAAAUUUUAGAAUAAUAACUAUUUUAAUCAUUAUCAUUAAUUAAACAUUUAAAAUGAUGGAAACUUUAAAUAUUGACAGAAAAUAAUAAUAAAAAGUACUAUUAUAUUUAAGGAGUAAAUUAUAUGGAUUAUUGUUUUUGAAAAACAAAAUUGUAUUAGGUAACAAAUUAAGCAUAUGAUUGCUUAUAACUUAGGAAUAAACAUUCUAAAACGUUAGGUGUUGAUUGAAGUUCUAACUUGUAACUAUUUAAGUUGAUUUGAAAAGUAUAUGACAAGAAGUGGUUUGAGAGAUUCUAUUUAAGAAAGUAAUGAAAUUUAAUGGGAAAUGGAUGAUCAGAAGUUAAGUCAUGCAAAAUAUGUAAUUUAGGCAGAGAUGUCAUGCUAAUAACAUACAAAACAGAAGAUGCAUCUUCCAUUGCUAUUUAGAAUUUCCAAACUACUUUGGUAAUGAUGUUAUGUUUGAAUGAUUUCUAAGCGAAAGUCUACAAGAUUUCCAUUUUGCCCUCCAUUCCAUUUACCCUCUGUACUCAAUCUGCCUGUUUUUAGUGUGAUUUUUAGGAUAUAAAUCAGUUUUGGAUGUUUUAUUACAUGAAGAAUUAUGUUGUGUUGCACCAAAUUAUCUCUGAUCCAAUGACUCUUAAGCAAUUCAAAAAGCAUAGCUUUUAGCCAUUGGUGUUUGUGAUUUAAAGGCAUCAAGAGAAACUCAGAGUUUGAUUUGGUGAGAGGUUUUCGAUGGGGAAGAAUGUCAUUUGUAAUGGUUUGAUGUUCAAAAUGUUGGUUGGGAUAUUGACAGUCAUAGUUUGUGGAGUUGUGGAGGUUGGUUCACUUUCUAAACUUAAGACUAAGAAAAUGAGCUCUCUUAGGAAGCAAGCAACUAAAAGCAUUCAGGUACCAAUCUCAGUUUCUUAUUCUUCUUCUCAUUUUGCUCAUUCAGUAUUUUCAUGAUUCUCUAACUUGACUCCCUUUUCACCUAAAGAAAUGAAUAGAGUUACUACAACCACGAGUAGACGAAAGACUAGUUUAUUGUUAGAAAAGAAGAGUUUAUAUAGUACACUCCUACGAACCUUAGAGCCAAAAUUAUAGAUAGCAUAACCAAGUACUCAUGCCUCUUCGGCUGCAUUUUUCUUUAUGUUGCUUGUAGAGCGAAGAUGGCGACAUUAUUGAUUGUGUUAGCAUCUACGACCAGCCAGCUUUUGAUCAUCCUGCUCUCAGAAAUCACACCAUCCAGGUCUGUUUUUUUUCUCUCUAGUUAUCAAUUAGAGUACUGAAAUUUGGUUUACAAGUUGAAGAAGAGGGAGAUUUUUAUGCUAUUUUAAGCCAUUCACCAUUGGUUUGGCAUAGAUGGCACCUACUUAUGAUCCCACCAUGGAUAAGCAUUCAAAGAAAGCAACAGCAGAAGAGGAAGGGAUGGGGGAAAAGAGUUCAAUGGGUGUGAAACAACCAUGGAGGAAAAGUGGCAGUUGUCCUAAAGAAACAAUACCGAUUCGAAGGAUCCGAAAACAUGUCCAACUUAAAGCUAAUUCAGUAUAUAGCUAUGGAAAAAAGAGACCGACGCCUUUGCUCGAAAUUGCUCAGCUUUCCAACAGCCGAAGUUCGCAUUUUCUAUUAAAGAAUCAUUCGGUUUGACCAACAAACAUUUCUUUUUUCCUUUGAUGAAUUCCAUGUUUGUCUUUCUCAAUCUUACCAUCUACUUGACAAUGGUGCAAAACAGAAGGCAAUUCUGCUUGCUGUUGGAGACAACUUCAACGGAGCCAAGGGAGACAUUAAAGUAUGUAACCCCAACGUCGAAUUUGAUGAUGAAUACAGUACUUCCCAAGUGGCUCUAUUAACCGGCCCUUACUAUAACUACGAGGCCAUCGAAUCCGGAUGGGCAGUAAGCACCACUUUAUACUCAACAACAUAUUUGUCUCUCAUUUCAAUUUGCGCUGGUUUUAACAUGUUUGUAUGGUGAUAUCUUAAACCUUCCAGGUAAAUCCAGGUGUUUACGGGGAUCGACAGACUCGACUGUUCGUGUAUUGGACUGUAAGUUAAUGCAAACAACAGACUGUCUCCUUCCCUUGAAUGUCAUCAGAUAGACAGGAAUGUUAAUUAUCUCUAAACAGAACUAACUUAAAAUUGUUUUCUUUCGGUGUUAUUAGGUUGAUGCUUCCCAUAAAACAGGUUGCUUUGAUCUAACUUGCCCUGGUUUUGUUCAAACAAGUAAUGAAAUUGCUCUUGGUUCUGCUAUUUAUCCAAUCUCAACUUCAACUGAUCUUCCAUUUGAAAUAACUAUGUUCCUUUUUAGAGUAAGAAAUGAUUUGGUUUCCUUUUCAAAUCCAUUUAUAUGCUUCUUUUCAUAUAUUAUCAUCUUCUCCAUUCUAUCUUCCCUCUUCCUCUUUCCUUUCAGGAUUUCGAGACCAAUAAUUGGUGGGUACAAUAUGGUGAAAGCAUUAACAUAGGUUAUUGGCCUUCUGAGUUAUUCAAAGCUCUAAAAUAUACUGCAGAAACAGUACAAUGGGGAGGGGAAGUUUACAGCACAAAGUUGGGAGGACCUCCUCAUACUGGAACAGGUAUGGGCAAUGGAAAGUUUCCUGACUACAUUUCUGGUGAUUCGGGUUGGGUAAAACGAAUAAGAGUUCGAGACAACUCGAUGAUUUUGAAGUUUCCUAAUUUUGUUGAACACUACUCCGAUGAAUAUGAUUGUUACGAUGUCGAUUUUAUCCGAGAAUAUUUAGACGAUCCUGAGCUAUACUAUGGAGGACCUGGUAAGAAUUGGAGGUGUCCUUGAAGGGGACUUUUACAAAAAUAGGAUAUCCAUCAAGUACAUUAGGAUCCCUUCAUGUAAUGAAUAAUAUAGUACGGUAAAGAUGAAAGUUCUUUCUUUUGUUUCAAAUUCUUACUUGCAACUUGCAACAGUGUUGCCUUCCUUCCUAGCCAACUUUUCCAGCAUCUAGAAAUAAAGAACCUUAUAAAUUGAUACAUGCCCGAUUCUCUAAGACAUAAGACCAAAACAAAUAGGAUUAGGAUUUAUUCAUAUUUCAAAGUGUUCGAGUAUAAAUCAUGUUAAAUCAUUGAUUUAUAAAAAAAGAAAUCAAGUGUAUUAUAUCAUCUGACACGCUUCUCACGCGUGGACUUAAAAUAUGGAACACUCAACAAGUAAAAAGCGAGUUUAAAUACAAGAUUUCUUAGACCAUCUGCUCUGUAUAUUUAAUGUUAUAUCAUCCGCAAAUGUAAAAAUUAGAUAAAUUAAUAUUUGAAUCGUUAUCCUCAAUUAUUUAGUGAUAAUUAGUAUCAUGUUAAUCAACUCAUCCAAGUAUCAAACAAGCAUGAAAUGGACAUUUAGGAGGAAAACUCCCAAACAAUUCGCCUAAGCAUUACAUCAAAAAUUUCUUUCAAGGUCUAAGUUGAAGUCCAAAUUCCCAUGACAGCACUGAAAACUGGGUUUGAAGUCUCAAUUUAGAAUAGAACUCGUCGUGCAUGUGACAGACAGAUGUGGUUAUUUCCUUAAAAGAGCAAAAUCCAGAUGCCAAAAGUGUAUAUAGCACACUGUGAUAACUCACUCAUAUUCCCAUGGCAUUGACAUGUAAAUCUCCAGAAAUGUAUUUACAUAUGAAUAUAAACUGUUCUGAGGUAGGGGAACAAGGGGGAGAAGGUAAACAAAACAUUAUACUCCAAAAGCAGUGUGUAAAAUAAACUAAUAAACAACAUAGUGAGACAAUUCAAAGAUAAUUGAGGUAAUGGAGAAAGGAAAAGGGGAGAAGGAACUUGCUAAAUUGAGUCAUACUGUUUUCUCUCAUUUUGAAUAGAUUGGAAAAUUCGAGCAGCUGAUUCGUUUGCAGAUCUUCUAUUGUGUGGGACAACUCGAAUUACACGUGUUUGGUCGGAGUCUGAAGGUUGAGGACCUUCCUCUACAAGCGGCUGAGCUACAGGGAAAAGUGAAAGUACAUUGUGGCUUUCAGCAGUUCGAUUGACCUUAUUUCCUUGCACUUUGCUAGUAGGACUACAGACAGGACUGCUUGCAGUACUUACUUGUACUUCACUCCUUUUAGGUGCUUGAGACUUGGCAGUUCGUGAAACAGUUUGAUUUUCAUCUCUAUCUCUCUGUGUUGAAACAUCAUAUGAAGUUUGAUGCUGUAUAUUGGAAGCGGCCACACCUCCUGAUAAUUGAUUCGGAUCUCCUGUGUACCAGUUAACUUGAUCGACAGCAAAACCUGACAUACCCGGGUUCAUGACUGGCAUGCCAUAAGGGGGGAAGAAGGAACCACCAACCAUGGGAGUGGUAGGAAGGGCUCCAAUCCCUUGAUGAACAGAAGCUGGAAAUCCAUAGGAUGGGUUCAUCAUUGGAGCCAUUGGACCAUAAGGUCCACAUCCUCCAUAAAUAAAUCCAGGCCCAGGGUAAGGCUUAUAGAUGAGUCCUUCAGAAGGAGACAUUACAGGGACCAGCCAGUGAUGUGCUGAUGUCUGGUACCAACUGCUUAAUUUAUUAUCAGAAGAAACAGAAGUUGGUUGUGGAUUUACUGAAUAAGGCCCAUUAGUUGAAGGCUGGCAAUUAAUUGGCUCAAGAGGAAGAGAUGUCUUCCCAACAGCAUUUUCUGCUGAACAUUCCACAUUGUGUUUUGGCUUCUUAGGGUCAUCACUGGGCUGAAGUUGCACAUGUGAUUUGACAGUGUAGUCUGACCUAAGUUUCUUUGCAGGAAGAGGGCUUGGAGAAGAAUUGUCCAGAAAGACACCAUCUUCAAGUAAUAGAUGAGGUGAUCCAGCAAUUAACCGUUGGACCUGUUUGCGUCAUAGAGAGAGAGGUAAAUCAAUAAUGCGAACCUCAGGGCACAAACGCUCUGCUAUCUGAAGAAACUAGAUCAGUUUACCUUGAUAAGUCUAUGCAACUCGAAUACUUGGACCUCAAACACUCUCUGUUGACUGCAGAGUAAUAAAAGUUCAAAGAGUAAAUCACCCAACAUCAUAAGUGAAAUCAAACGCCACAUCUUGAAGUUGAUAACAACAAUUAAUUCAUAGCAUUGAAAUAGAAUCAGCUCAUAAACAUAUUGUUAAAGUAGUUGCCUGCACGUCACAAACGCUUAGCACCGAACUGACGCUUUGCAAAAUAGCUCAACUAGCCUAAUUGUGGAAAACAUAACAAUCUUGCUGCAUACAGUUAUUAUCUACAAGACCUGAACUGAUUUCAAAAUUCUAUGUAGCCUAUUCAACCACAAGAUUCUCUAACCUCCCAAAGUCAUCACAACCUUAAAAUUCCCUCUAAUUAAAUUUGCUGCCAUCACAGCCAUGAUGCUCUCUAUAAAUGAAGGCAACCAUACCUAGGAGGAGUAUAUGACAUCUACGUACAAUGCUUUUUAAUGUGCAAGUAUCGAAUCACUUUCUUCAGGGAUCUAGUUAAUGUUUAGUACAAAUGUGAAAUGCUUAAAGGAAUCAAACGCUCAUGAAUAAUAAAAGAUAAAGAUAAAUAUAAAAUAUCCUCAUUCCCAAUUCUUCCAAUGGUAGACAUGCUCCAAAACUGCCCUAAUGCAUCACCAAAAAAAAAAAAAAAAAAAAAAAAAAAAAAACUCAACACGUGAUCAAUGAACAGAAAAAUCAGAGUUCUCAAACAGUCAACUAGGACUUCAUGAAUUAACCCCAUCAGCAAGCAAAUCAAUAAAAUGGAGACGUGAUGCCCAGAAUAAAUGUGAUAUUCAUUGGUAAAACAGAGUCCUUUUCUUUUUUCCCCUUGAUUGAAAAGCAUGGUAAUAACAAGAAAAGUUAGCAAAUAUACUCUUCUUAAGUGGUGCACUCAGUUGUAGAAGGGAAAGAUCUAAAAAGAACACUAAUUUCAUCCAUAAAAUCGAUUCUACUAAAUCUAAAGAAGUUCUGUACUGUCAAAAUAUCCUCCAACGAAUGCUCCUGAAAUCCUUUGGAUGCUCCAUUUCUGCUCUCAUCCCCCAAGUGCCAUCAAAGGAAACUUUCCACGUGAUUACAGAAAAAAGGAGACUGAGCAGUACCCAACCGAGACAGUCAUACAUUUACACGAAGCAGAAUCCAAUGGACAAUGAAUGAUCAGAUAAUCAGUUGUCUCGGAGGUUGCCCAGCACAAAGUAACUGUAUGCACAUUGCAUAGUCCCUGCUAAAAGACGAUCCAGUAGCCAUGUCAAAAUAUUAUUGAAGGCCAAAGAUUCACUUAAAAGGGAACCUGAGAUUAUGAGUUCUUACCUUUACUAGGGCAUAAAGUGAUUCGUCAUUCAAAUAUAUCUACUUCUAUACUUCCAACUUUAGUACUUGAGCACUUAAUUAAAUGAAAGAACGAUGUGAGCACAAAAAAUCACAAGCAAUUAGACAGAAAUGAAAUAGUUCAUUGAAAGGAAGUGCUGGUACUUGAAAUCCAUAUCAACAUCUAAAUUCUCCACAGAUUCAAAUAAUUUUCAAUUUCUACAUCAGUUAUAUAAUAAUCAUGACAUUCAGAUGCAUCACCCCAGGGAAACAGAAAAGACACCUACAAUAGCAGGCAACUUACUUGAUAAUUGCUCUUCUGGCUUUCCAGAAAUGUUUUUGACCUAUUAUUCCUACAACGUCAUCCGGACAGAUUUCCGAGCCAGAAAGUGAGUCAACCAUUGAAUUCUCAGAGACAAUGUCACUUUUGUCCGCAUUUCCCACCUGCAUGGAACUAUAAGUCCUUUCUACAUGAUUCUCAACAUUGUCAACAGGAACAAUCAACCUCUCAUUCUUUAGUGAAGAAUGAGUGUCCACUCUUGAGCAGGGAACGCUAUCGGCCUCCCCAAAUCUUGUAGGCUCAACUACAUCAACGACACAUCCACUCUCAUCCAAUUGAAUAUUGGAUCUUGAAUGUCGAUGUAGCCGAACAUCGCUAUCUUGCAAUUUGUCAAAUCUGGUAUUGGAUUUAUCUUGAAAUAUUUGAUCUUUAGAUAUAUUGGUUUCUUUCUGGAGUCCAUCAGUAUUUCCUCUGUCCAAUAAAUUUGUUGUGGACUUUCUAGGAUGGACCCUACUUUUUUCAUUCACCUUAUUCCCAUUUGUUACUUGUCUCGAGUGGGCACUAGAGGAUGUAAGAUCAAGAUCAUUUUGACCUUUCUCAUAACCAGCUUGCAAAAUUGUAGAACAAUCAGAAUGUUUUGGUCCAGGAGAAGACAAUUUUUCCUUGUGGUCACUAUUUUGAACUCCACUUAUACCCAUCCUCGAUUGGUCAUAUACUGGUACCAUGAAAUCAUCUUCAUCUUCUGCUUCUGUUGUCUGCCGACUCUGCUCAGGCUGAACCAAUGGAGGAUUCUCAUUUACUUCACCAGAUGGAAGAGCUUGAGUAUUUCCGACCUGACUAGUAGAAGUUGGUGAAGACAGAUUUAAUGGCAGGCGCAGAUUUCCAUCAGCUCCUGUACCCUGAAAAGAUUUUCAUUUGGGGUGUUAAAAGCACCAUUUUCUGAACAACCAAAUUCUCAUGGUUCUAGUAGCUCCUUAUAUGCGAACACCAAUUUUCACUAAUGUAAGUAAUCCGAUGGGAAAAAAUAAAACCAUUGAACUCCAGUUUGCAAUGAUUAGUCUGAUACAAGAUUGUUAGCUAGGAACUAAAUAAACUAGGAGAAGGGAAUAACGAUUAGGCAACAAUAAACUUACAAAAUAACCGGUAUAUUUCAUGCUCCAGCAAUAAACAAACAUCAAUCCAAAUGAUCACAGUUAAAAAGUAACAUAUCAGACUAUUGAAAUUGGUAUCCUUCGGUGGUCUGUUCACUACAGAUAAAUUCAAGAAUAUGUUGUGAACGUCCCCAAAUCCCACAUGAUAUAAAACUAUUAAAAAGCUCAGAUACAAAGGUCAAUUUUCAAACAUAUCAAACACGAACUACUAUCUACCUGGCUUGAGGAUGGUAUGGCAACUGGUUUACUGGAGAUGUUUGUCUUGAGAGGCAGAACCCCGGGACUCGAACGUUUGGAUGGCACAGUGAACUGUUCAUAGAGGGCCAUCUUAUUCCUUGGAGGGGCUCUUGGCCAACCUUUCUCGGUAUCAUUAACAUGGAGCCUAGGAAACAUAGGUUCCAUCGUCUUCUCGUCAUCCUUUCCUCUCUUCAUUGUUUCGUUUCCCAAAUUCAACCCAAAGUAAGGUUACAAAGACAUGUAUUCCCACUCAUUUUGACCUCCAAAACCAAAGACAAACUUCAGGGAGCUAGAAAUUAACCUCGCAAGUCAAUUAAGUCUACAAAAUAGUCUAACUUGAUUCAAACCCAGAAGUUAUCGUCCUGAAAUCAGCUCGGAAAUAUGCAAGGCAAGCCCCCCAGAAACGAGCUCAAAGUCUAGAAGAUUUCCUAAAACCAAGCUAUCAUAGCCCAAAAUACAAAUAACCCAAGUGAUGAAAUUGAAGUCGGUUUCUUGUAUGUAUGAGAACCAACAACAACAACAACAACAACAAUAACUUACCCGGAAUUCAAAUCCAAUCCGAUCGAAUUGAGGUGGAGCUUCAAUCAGACGGAAAUGGAUGGAGAAAGAAAGCAAAAGGAUAUGAAUCGUUGAAGAGAGUGAGAAGAAACGAUGAAAGAGGAGAAAUCGAUAAGAGAACAAGGGAAUCGGGAAGAAAGAGAAGGAAGAAGAAGGGGUAAGGAUUAAUUCAUGGAUUUCUCUAAAAUCAUAGGAGUCAAGAAGAGAGAAAAGGGGCAAAAGUGCGAAGGAGUGGGUCCUCUUAGGAUUGAGCUAGAAGAUCCUUUUAGAUAUAAACCAUGAUCUCCGUUUUCUACCAAACCCAAAACUUAGGUAAAAUAUAAUUCCAUAAAUACUUCACCCAAAAUCCUACAUCAUUUUUUUUUCAUUGUUAUUCUUUUUUUAAAAAUCAACCUUCUUUUCUUCACAUUGGAAAUUCUCCUCACACUAUUUUUAAAUUUUAAUCUAUUUGUUUCAAAUUCAAUAUUAACGUCUUCAAAAUAUUAAAUUUAUCUAUUUAACCUCUAGACGGAUGAUAAAUUUAAUUUUAAUUUUUUGAAACCCCAAUAAAAAAAGAGACUAUAUAUUUCACUUUUUUUUUUUUGAAAAUGCUUAUUCUCUACCCAUCAACUUUUUAAAACAACUUUUAAAGACAUUAAAAUAUUUCUAAGCAUCUUACCCAAAAAAUUUUAAAAAAAUAAUAUUCAUUUUGAUAGUAUCUUAUAGUACAUGAGAAUCAUGAAAAAUACAUUCCUUAAUUAUUAAUUAUUAUUAAAUUUGUUUUGAUAAUUAUAUAUAAAAGAAAAAACUGUAAUUUUAGAAGCGAAAUGAAAAUUAAUUACCUGAGUUAUUUAUAGAUUUUUAACUAAAAAAGUUAGAUAUUUUUCACGACUGAGAGAUAUUUUCACGAGUUUCAAGUAACAAGGAAAAAAUAUCUUCUAAUAAUUUAAGUCUUUUUCUUUUUCUUUUUUUCUUUUCUUCUUUUUCUCUUUUUUACAUCUCAUUACUGAAUUCAAUGUUUAUGUAAAAUAUAAUAAUUUGGUAAUAUUGAAUUUCAUUCAUGAUUUCAUGUGAAACAUAUAUCAUAAAUAAAUAGAUCCAAACCCCUAAUUUAUUAAUGGUGAUGAAGAAAAGUGAAAACAAAUUUGUAAGUAACGUUAAAACAGUUUUAUAUGUGGGAGUUUUGAUUUUAGUUUCCAUAAUGUCUAUGGAACAAAUUAUUAAAAAAUCAAAACAAUAUUUUACUAUUUUUUAAGUAUAUAUAUAUGAGAUUUGAACUAUAGCAUUGCGUGUGAUUGGUAUCGUUAGUACAUUCUAACGUCCUUUAAGCUUAAACUCAUAUUAACAAAUUAGACGAUCAUUUUAUAAUAUAAUAAAAAUGUUGAUCAUAUAGCUCAUGUUGAUGUUUAAAAAUAAUAAUUAAGUAUGUAUAGCAACAUUUAAAAAAAUUACAAAUAUAGCAAAAAUCUAUCAGUUAUAUACUUCAAACACUCGUACGUAUGUUAGUAAUAGAUCGGUAUUUACAAAAUAAUCUAUUAGUAAUAUAUUUCUAUGGUCAUUAGACUUUGACAAAUUUUGCUAUAUUUUGUAAAAAGAAAAUUAAACUUUGUUAUAUAUUUAAUUAUUUUAAAAUUUAUUACUUAUUUAUAACUAUUGAUGGACGCACUGUUAAAAAUACAUAUAUUUUCAUCACCUUUGAAUUUAUCAAGAAACUGAAAUUAUAUUUAUUGUUCUUGAAAAAUAGAUGAUAUUUUAAAAAUAUAAGAAUACAUAAUUCUCUAAUUUACAAAUUACAAUGAUACAUUUAUUUAUGGUCACAUUGGCUGAGGCACUGAGGUGAAAAAUAUCUUUUUUAAAAUAAAGGCAAUAACGUAGAUAUAAAUUCCAACGGUUUCUUAUCAAUCUAACGGCAGACGAACUUUCGAUCUUCACCGUCCAAUUUCAUUUAUUGUCCUUUAUCUCCUUACGCAUCUGGACUCCCGGCCUCCACGUAAUACAUUGUUUAAUUUUAGUUUCCACGUGGAACCUUUUAUCCGUACUCGGUGUCUCACAGCUGGCAGCAGCAAAAUACUGAUUUUUAAAUACCUAUUUUAGUGUCUAAUUUAAAAAAUAUAGUAAAUAAAUAAACAAGGAUUCCAAAUAUAUUGAUAAUAUUAUAACUAAGAAUAAUGAGGAUAAAUUAAAUAAGGUUUAAUGAUAACAGAUAAGUUGUGAUUGGCUUUAGUCAAAAGAAAAAAAAAAGGUUGUGAUGGUAAGAAAAUGACAACUAAUAAAGAAAUAUAUCCUUAGUAUUUAUCUAAUUUUAUGUCUAUUGGUACAUGUCAUCAUUUAGUCAUAUAAUAAAGAGAAAAGGUAAAAAUUAGAUUAUUAUUGUUUUUAAAAAAUAAUGAAAUAAGACUUGUGAGUAUAGUCAAUAAAUAAAAUUAGUCAAAUAAUAAAUAAAAAACCCACGUUAUUGUAGUUUAAUGUAUUUAUCAUUUGUAUAUUUGAAAUAUUUUUUAAAUAGAUAUUGAUAAAUUAAUAUAUAUCAAUAUCGCAUUUGAAAUGAAUUGUAAAUUAAUUAUUUAUGUUAUUGACGUAAUAAUAUUGUGUCGAGUAUUUAACGUGUAAAAUAAAGUAAAUUUAUUGGUAAUGAGGUGUCUAUUGCUAUUGAAUAAAUGUGUUUAGUACCUAGAAAUAAUUUAAUAUUUAAAAAAAAAAAAGUUAUGACUUUUAAUUUUUAAAACAAUUAAGAAAAAUCUUAACAUCAAGUUUUAAAUAUGUUAUUUCAUAAAGUUCACUAAUAACUUUUAAAAUACUUUUAAACUUUAUUUUAAAAAAAGUUAUUGAAAUAGUUUGAAUAAAUAUGAAUAUUUAAAAGAUUUUUCUAUCUCUAAGUAAUCCAAAUAUAUGCUAAGAACACUUUAUGAAUUAAAAAUUGUCACUUUCCUUUCUUUUGUGAGAUUACAAGAAAAUAGUAUUGUUACAUAAGAAAGUUUUAUUUAGUAUUUAACACGUCUUUAGAUAAUAUAUAUUAUUGUUAUUUGAUGAGUGAUGUGUAAUUAUUCAUAGUUAUUUUUUUGUAUCAAACAAAUGGAAGUAGUAUGAAUGUUUUUAAUACUAUUAUCGUGGAACUAUAAAUUUUUUCAAAUAAAACUUAACAUUGAGUUGACCAUAUGGUUAUCAUUGGGAUUUUACUCAUGAAUUGGAACCUAAUUUUAGUUUUUUAUUUUAUAUAGUUACAAAAUUUUGAUUGAAUUACAUUUUUCAAAAGACAAAAUUGAUUCAAAUGUAUAGUUUUCACACAAUCCAGUUGAAAAAUAUCUGUUUUUAAGAUAGUAUAAACUACUCGAACAUAAUAAAAAAAGUGAAACAAAGUUCCAUUUGACAAAUCGAAAAAGGAGGUUGAUUUGAAAAAGAAAACCCACGACAAAUUCCAACCAUUACCAAAUUACAUUACAAUACAACGAACACAUUUGUUGUUAGAGAACCCAUAGAAAACCUCGUCAAUAGCCUUAUACGAGUGUCUUAACCUACCUGUUUCGAACUUUCUUUUUUUGGAGUGGAAUAUUUAUGGAAUCCCCAUCCAUAUCCGGCAAGAUUAAGAAUGCCUGGUUAUAGGGUCCUUGCCAAACUCAACAAAAAAAAAAAAAACAAAAAUGAGUUUGAAUCUUUAACAGAAUCCGUAUACUCAAAAUAAAUCAAAAAUUUCAUUAAAUAUGUGUAUCUAGGGGUAAUUCACUUUGAAGCAACUAUUCCCUAGAUACACACAUCGUGAUAUUUUAUUUAUUUCACAAUUGAAUCAAUUUAAAAAAGACCUAAAGUUAGGGAUUUAUCAAUCGGUAAUGUUGCUCCAAUACCCAAAACUCUUCGACAGAAUCAACCAAAAUCACAAUCGAAACACCACCACCUUGAAAAUCCACAUAGGUAUGUAAGCAUAGUAACAUUCAUAUAUAAGAUCACACUUUGAUCAUCGUACAUACAAAUUCACUAAUGGCCCAAGUCGAUCACGCAUUAUUGGUACAAAAAAUCAAAACAUAUAUAGAAUAAAAAAAGAAGAGCCUCAAAGACCGUACCCAUCUCGUUUCUCCACAACACAUUGCUUCUUUGAACUCUCGAGACAAAUCAAAGAAGUUUCUCAAAUAUGAGUUGGAGAAACGAUAUUAAUAAAUUGGAAGAAUUGACUAACAAAAACUCUUCCAUAGAAAAAAAAAAAACAAUACCAACAAGAGAAGAAUCUAACAUUAACUAUUUAAAAUUUUAAUUAUUACUAUGUAGAAUCCGUUUGUUAUUUGUUAAUUUUUUAAAAAAAUAUGAGUUAGCAGAAAGUAUUAUAGAUUGAAUUUGUUAAUUACCCUAAUGUGCAAUAUCGACAAAUAUUCAUUACCAAAUUUAGAUUCCAAGUAAUUAAAAGCAAUAAGUUCGAAGAGAAAAUUGAAUGAUUCGCUCAAAUGGCGAACACUCCUCCUUCUCACCAGACGUGUAUUCCUCUGCCUUCGGACUCAGGUCACUCUCUAUUUCCCCUUUCUUGCCUUCUUUCGGAUUGGACUUCCAUUUUCAUUCAUCAUCAAUUUCAUUUUGUUUUGAUCUGUCUUUCUUCCUCUUAAUCCAUACUUACUUGUUUCAACUUCUGCCUUUUGGAUUGACGUCCAAUUCUCCGUAGCCUAGGAGGACAUUGUUUUCUCUCUUAUCCAAGCUUUAAUUUCUGUUUGUUUGUCCAAUGAGGAAUCGCGGAAUAAACUCGAUUGAUGUUGGAAACUGAUUUUUGAUGCAACAGAAUCACAAUGAUGUAAUUAUCCAUGGUUAGAGUAGAAGAAUUUUUUCCGAAUUUUUUAUAGACAUACCGCUCUUUAUGUCACUUCGUUUUAGUUUCAGCUCAUGCGGAUAGGUUUCGGCUUUCUUCAUUGCUUUUGCCGCGUAUGGUUUCCUGAUUGCUUUACCCGCGCGUGUUCCGUCGAGAAUUUUAGUUAUUAUGUUCAUUUUAAAAUUGGGAUGAUGGAAUGUUUUAUAUAGUUGAUAUUUUGCGCGCUGUUUAAUGUUAAAUGGAACAGUAGAAGAGCUUAAUGACCAUUCGCUCCUCAGCUUCUGUAUUCAUAUUUUCAUUUCGUUUGAAGAUUUUUUUAUCAUCUUCCAAUGAUUUCCAUUUCGUGUGGGUGUUAGGUGAAAAUCAGACCGAUCCUGAAGCCAACGCAACCUUGGUUCCUAUACAUAUUGUUACUCAUGUAUCUCAACUGCCUAAAGAAUUUGUUGAACCAUCACCUGAAAAGCCUUUGGUAGUUGGCUUUGAUUGUGAAGGUGUUGACCUGUGUCGCCAUGGAAACCUAUGUGUCAUGCAGGUAAAUAAAAUACUAAGAACAAAUCAAAGUUUUACCAUCCUUGUGGAUAGUAAUAAAUUUUAGGGCAGAGGCGUGUGUGUUAGUUAACCUCUUAACUAAGGGAGUCGGUGGUUCUAGUUUAUAAUUUCAAUUUUUCUAACCAUCUUGUGAUAGUCAAUUGAAUCAAUUCAUAAUCCAAGUUGCGGCCUUGCAAGAAAAUGACUAAUGUCUAAUAGUCUAAUAUUCUGUUAGAAAACAGUGAUCGAAUUAGUUGAAUUUACCUUUCCAUCUGUGUUCAUUUCUUGCCAGAUUGCAUUUCCAGAUGCUGUAUAUCUGGUUGAUGCUGUUCAGGGAGGAGAGGAGCUUGUGAAAGUCUGUAAGCCUGCUCUUGAGUCCAAAUAUGUCACAAAAGUUAUUCAUGAUUGCAAACGAGAUAGCGAGGUCUCUUUUGGACACUGUUUUCACCAUGGAAUGCCUUCACAGCGACAUGACAUGUUUUAGCUAAUAUUUACUCUACUUUUCCUCCCUCUGUAGGCAUUGUACUUCCAGUUUGGUAUCAAGUUGAACAACGUUAUCGAUACACAGGUGAUUAUCAAUUGUGAGAAGCCUGACACUCUUCACUUGUUUACACCAUUUUAUCAUGCAUUAUAAUUAUAUCUUAUUUUAGAGGGCUUAGCCACUUAGCAUGCCAAUAUAAUGUUACUAAAGCAUAAGUAUUUUUUGUAUUUUUCAUCUUCUACGUUUUAUUAUUGAACUUGAAACUGCCAUAUAAGGCCAUAUCAGGAGAGUGGAUCUUACUAAUCCACAGACCAUGCUCCCAUUGUUUCUAAUCUAGGUUUCUUGAAGUUCUCAUGAUGUUGCGGUGUAUGAUUUGAAUCUACAAUCUGAAGUGUUAUUAUAAUUUUUUAAGUAUACAUAAUCAUUAUGAAGGUUUAUGUGAAUAUGCAUAUAUUCAAAAAGAAGAGAGAAGAGAGAGUGUGGUUAUCUUGUGACUUUUCAAAUGCAACUAAAGAGUUUGCUUAUUGAUUUAAGAAGUGAUCUAAACAAUUUAUUUUAAGUUUGAGCUACCUUGUAAUUGCUUUGGGGUUAAGCUGCAAUAUGGAGGAAGGCUGAGUUAUUUGGACCUUCCUUCUUUAAUUUUCAAUUGUAUUACUUGAUUCAGAUUGCAUAUUCACUUUUAGAGGAGCAAGAGGGACGGACAAAGACACCAGAUAACUAUAUCUCAUUUGUUAGUCUUCUUGCAGAUUCACGUUAUUGUGGUAUUAUUUUAAUCCUAGUACCUAGAUAUUCUACAUUUUUUAUCAUGGAAAUUUAUGCAUACUUUAAUUUUUUGGAUAAAAUCACCUACUCACUCAAAAGUAUUAACUGAUAAUUGCUUAUUAAAAGGCAGCAAAGCUUGAUUUAUUACUUGGCAUCUUCAUCUAAAGACAAUUCCAUAUUUCCUACGCAUUAUGAUGGUGGUGUUUCCAUGAGCUGCAUGGUUGGGGGAUAGUGAUCCACACAAGUGAAUGCAUACCUUAAAGUUUAUUUCAUGCUAAAAGAUACACAAGGCUGCCACCGGAAAAUGGGAAGCACGUCUUUCCACCUAAAAAAAAACUAUUACAAGAACUAAAAGAAAGGAAAAUACCCAACUAAGGACUAUUUCACAACCAAAGAGAGAACAAGAUUGGCAGGAUAAGGCUAAGAAAAUCAAGUUGUGCCUAGUCAAAUAGAUUAUCAACCAGAAGAACCUCCUGUCUGAAAAGGGUAAAAGAGUAGAAAUUUGAAAUUGAAAGGCAAUAACAAUCUUAUUUACUAUCGUAUACUCUGUUUACUUUUUCUUACUUUUGUUACUCUUUUCUUGCUACUGAAAACGUCGGUGGUUGCUGCUUGGUUUCUCAAUGUAGAAUAUAGGCUGCUGGAAAUUCAGUGCAAUGUAGUAAAUCCUUGCUGAAUCUCUUGUUAGAUAAUUUAUGAGAACAAACUUUGGUGCAGUUUUCAAAGUAAAAGUCCCUUAAUAUGUGGCCUUUUACUGGUUGACCUUUUCAAAUACGAAUCUAGUGACUGGAUUAAAUAAGGAAUCAUAAUUUGCAAUUGCUAAUUUGCAACCUCAUAGAUAUGUUAUUGCCAGAUGAUAGAUAUCGUUCGCAUUCAUUCUGUCCUUUCUUCCUCAAUAUGUUGGAGUUGCUUGUGGGGAUUGCAGAUUUUAUAGUUCAAAUUGUAGGUGUGUAAGAUUUGAAAGUGUCGAUCGAGAGUUAUAUUUUUUGGUGAAAAAGGCAAAAGCCUUUUUUCUGAUUAGACUUAUAGGGAAAACUUUUUUAAGAGUGUUUCUAGCUCGUUGGACUCCUUAUCACUUCCUCAUACCUUGUGUUUGAUUUUUUUUUUUUUUUGGUCUCAUCUCCCUUCUACUUUUUUAUUUGAAGUAAAGGGAACAUUAAAUUCCUCUCCAUGUGUAUUUCCUUUUUUUUCCUUUAAUAUUUGUACGUAGGAUAUAAAUUGUUUGACUUGCUAAUUGAAUUAUCAGAAUUUUCUGAAAACUGCAUUAUAGAAUCUACGUCAAAUUCUUAUUAUCACUGGUGAAAUUGAUAAGCUUUUGUUAUAUGAAAUGCGUUCACUUUUUAUUUUAAAACUUAAUACGUUUUGCUGCUAAUGCUGCCAGUGUGCCAUUUAUUCUGACUAACCAAUAUGUAAUCCUCACGCUUAAAUGUAGGUGUAUCAUAUGUGGAGAAGGAAGAGGUCCGGCUCUUACUUAGAAAGGUUAGUUUUGUCAUAGUUUUUAUUGCUGUGGAGAAUAUUGUAUCUAGGCAAGAAUUUCUGUGGUUCUACAUAUUAAGCAUUGUUUUUCGUGAUGGGGUGCUUUGUUGGUCAGAUGUGCUUGAUUCAUAAAUGUAAUAGUCUUUUAUUUUGGAGUAGCACAAGUAUAAAUAUAACGUAGAGACAGCUCAAGUCUUUUUAGUCAACAAAAAUGACAUGUAAACAAAGAUAAUUACUAUGCAAGUAUAGUAUAACUAUGACCGUAACAUGAUAAGAUGCAAAAUGUCAUCUUAUCAUAAUAUUAAUAUGCAGGUAUAGUAUAAGUGUUCUGCAAGUUUCAUGUAUCUUUGCAUAAAACCAAAAUUCUAAAUUUAUAUUUUACAGGACCCCAAGUUUUGGACCUAUAGACCAAUGUCUGAAUUAAUGGUCCGUGCAGCUGCGGAUGAUGUACGCUUUCUGCUUUACAUCUAUCACAAGAUGAUGGAGAAAUUGAAUCAUCGAUCACUGUGGUAUCUUGCAGUGCGUGGUGCUUUGUACUGUCGCUGUUUUUGCAUCAGUGAUAAUGGAUAUGCCGACUGGCCUCCUCUCCCUUCCGUUCCAGGUUUUCUUUAAGAACACACCUUACCAUGUUUAUUAUUUCCAUAUAAUUGGAUGAAUACUAAAUUGAACGCUCUAUAUUUUAAGUUGAUUAAAUAUAACUGCACACUUUUCAACAUGUACAGUUGCUCACAAUGGUUUCCCCGUAGUUUUUCCUUAUUGUUGGCUUCUUUUAUGUUAUGAUAACACCAUUGAUAUUGGGUUCAAAAUUUAAAAGGGCCGUUGAGCUAUGUGAGAAACGUUGGCUUACCGUGUUUCAUUCAAUUAUCCAAGUACUGCUGGAAUCUUCUCUAAACAUCAAAUAUGUUAAAAUUUCAUUAAUGUUUUAUUAUAUGUUUAAGGGUUCUUAUAGUAGACUACAUUUCAUUUCAGAUCUUUGAAGAAAAAGAAGAAAAAACAACUUUUCUAAAUUUGAUGCGUCUAAAACCUUUUGUUUCAUGGUCUCAGUCAAUCGAUCAUUUAUAUUGGAUUAACAUGUUUUUUCAGAUAACCUUGUAAAAGAGGGAAAUGCUCCUGAAGAAGAAAUUCUUUCAGUCUUAGAUGUUCCUCAUGGAAUGAUGGGUCGCGUAAUUGGUAGGAGGGGAGCCUCAAUUUUGUCAAUAAAGGAAUCUUGCAAGUAAUUCCUUACCGCCAACAUAUAUCCUUUCAACUUCAUUUAUAUAUCUUUUAGGCUAAAAACAAAAAAUCAUUUCCAUUGUUUCUCACCCACCUUGGAUUUUUUUUUAUAUAAAUGCAGUGCGGAAAUUCUCAUUGGCGGUGCCAAGGGCCCACCGGACAAGGUUAGUCCCUUCUCAUCACUUCAAAACAAAAUACUAUAAAGCCCAAAAAAUUUGAUGCUGUUCUUUAAACAUGGGAAGAUAAGAUAGAUUAGUUCCUGCAUUCUUCCCCAUUUGCUUCAAAUCCCACAGCUUAGACUAAAACUCAAGUACUCUUUUCAAGUUCUUCGUUCCACGAACAAACAGGGCUCAUUCUCCUUGCUUUGAAGUUUCGAAUAUCAUCCAAAAAGCUGUUGAAUAUUGAAAGUUAGUGUUGUUUUUAUGUAGGUACUCAUCAUCGGAUCGGUGAGACAGGUGAGGAAGGCAGAAGCUAUGCUAAGAGGAAGGAUGCUUGAAAUAUGAUUGAAUGAAAAAGAGGAAAAAAGGGAGAGAAAAAAAAAUAUGAAAGAACGAAAGAAUGAAAGAAUGAAAGAAGAAAGAAAAAGAAAAAAGAAAAAACCUGUGUGAUUGUGAUGAAAAUGAACUAAAAAUUGAAACAGUAUGGUGUUUUGUGUAUUUGGAAGAAUGGAUAGGGGAGGAGCCAAAAUGAGGGGUUUGAGGCUGUGCUGCCAUUUUACUACUCCCCCAAAUGGAAGGGGAUUACUUUACAUACUCUACUAAACUAACUCAAUCGUAUCCUAUCGUGUCUCAUCUCUCUAUGUAGGUGGAUGCACUUAUCUUUAUAUCGAAACAAAUAAAAUAAAAACCUAAAGCGAUUAAUAUAUACAAAUAUAUAAGUGAAGCACACAUAAAUAUAAUCAAUAAAGGUUAAUCAUUGAUUCGCUUCAGCCAUGUGUUUCGAUCAAUGUUACCUUACCACACCCUCGAUAAGCUAUUAUACUUUUUAAAACUGUAUAUAUAUAUAUAUAUUAAAUUGGAAAGUUUUUGCAUAUGUUGAUUGGGUUUUGAUUGUGAUAGUUUUGUCUGAGUUUUAGGUUGAUAUUUGGGUUUUGAUUUAUACUGUUUGUUAUCUGAGUAAUGAAGUUUUGUAUCACCCAAAUUAUUAACGAGAAAUUUUUACUAUUUUAAAUCCUAUUUUGUGCAGUCCAAAAUUUGAGUUUGUGAUUUUACUUUUCUUUCAUAUUAGUUCCAAGAUGAGUUUUUCAUAUAAGCAAAAUGGAAAGACUUGAAUAAGGCUUUUUUUUUUCUCUUACCCUUUUCUUUUUGUAUUUAAAUAAUAAUAAGAAACAUUUAAAUUAUGUAAGGUAAAAUAUACUUUUGGUCGUACUGUCUAUUUGUUAUUUGGGAUUUAGCAUGAAAAAUAGUUUUAAAUGAUUCUUUUGUUAAAGUGACCAUUAGGUUACUAACGAAACGAAAAAAAUGAUCAUUUUGUUAAAGUGACCAUUAGUUUACUAACGAAACGAAAAAAUUAUUUAUCACUAAAAUAACUAUUAUUAUUUUUCUUGUUUUUCUUCUUCAGCUCCCCAACUCAAAUGUUUCUUCUCCACGUGGUUUCUUCUCCAUGUAGAUUUUCGACUGGUACACUUUUUGUUGUAUGUUUAGUUCAUUACUCUCUUUAAAAUUUGUAAUUUACAUAGGCCACUUUUUCUCCAACUAUGUUUGUUAUUCUAUUAUAUAUUGAUAUUGUAUGCAAAUAUUUGUUAUUCUAUUAUAUAUUGAUAUUGUAUGCAAAUAUUUGUUCUCAAAGAUGACUAAAGUUUUGACAAAAUAUUCUCUGAGCUUGAAUUGUUUUGUUAUUUAUUUCUCUAUUUGUUUAAGUUCACAGGCUAGAACUCCUUUUAUGAACAAAAGAAAAGUGGUAUGGGAAUGAUCUAGAACUCUUGUUGCCCGUUGUUCACCGUUAGUUUCUGUUAGUUCGAAAAUUCCUCAAUGACCAAUUGCUCAAAGUUUUGCUCUUAUUAUUGUUUUUUAUUAUUUUUGUUCACCAGAGAUGAAAAACGUUCUCAGAUUUUUUAGGAUUAACAAAUAGAUAAGAACAAGAAACAAAAUAAGAAUUUGUUUUUUUUGUUCCAUGUUUUAGGUGAAAACUCGUAAGGAGUGUAAAAGAGAAGACUAAAAUGUUACUUUUAAAAUCUCAUAAACCAAAAUAGACGUAGAGACUAAAAAUGCAUUUUGCACAAUUAUUUACAACCAUGCUUUUGCUUUUGAGACACAAUGGGAAGAUGUUCUAUUCUGAAGCAUUCAUGAAUAGAGUAAAUUUCAGUUAAGAUGUGAACAGAAGUAGAGUUUUUCUUGGUAGAGAAAUUAUCAUUCCUUCACUCACAGAAACUCAGUAGUAAUUAAAGAAAGGGAGCAACCAUUUUAUAAUUAUUCAAGGCAAAUUUCCUCGAAUCAAAUUAAUGAUGUAAACGCCACUCAACUCAUCGCACCCAAAAGGCUCAAAGGUUUUCCCCCACACGCACUUUGUAGAUUAUAAGAGGAAGAAGACGGCAAAAGAAAAGAGGCAGAGGGCUGAAACCCUAAACAAUUUUACUUCUGGAAACCACCAAAUUGGUAUUGUUGACCAGAAAGUUGCGAAAAGAAAUCGUCUCCAAGAGCCUGCGAUCCUGUCCUACCAAGACCAGACCCUGCACCCAUUGCUUGCCCCAUGUGAUAAGUGGGUGCUGGUCCUUUCUCCCUCUCGUCUGAGAAAUCGCUCAGUCCCCCCACCACACCCACGUCCACCAGGGAAACCUUCUUGGCUGCAAUGCAAAGCAAAAGCAAGUUUUGUGUUAAGGGGUGGUGGUGGUUGCAUUCAAACAAACCAAAAGUUGCCUUUGUGGAGUAAUUAAUUAAGAAGGUUUCCCUUCAUUUCUCAUCAUGUUUGUUUGUGUCUAAUGGGACAUCAAAGCAUCCAAACAGGUCAAUAACAUACUUAAUCAAAAGUCGAAGGACUUUUUACAUAUUUUAAAGUGAGACCUAUUCAACACAAAGUUUACGAUGAUGACUUAUGAAUGACUAAUUCUGUAAUAACCUUUCCUUCGACCACAACCUAAUAUAUUUAAUUCAGCCCCCAUCCCAUUAAGCAUUAGCAUGCUUCUAUUCCAGAGAUCCAUCUCAGAACAAAAUAACAAUAAAGUACAUUCUAUUCCUAAAUAUUGUCUAUGAAAUGUCUAAAUUUAAUUAGCUCAAGAAGAAAGGAAAGAAAGGGGAAUGAAAAACAGGGUCAGUAAAAAGGAUUGUGAUAGAUAGUUAAGAUAGACUUACGAGCAGAGAUAUUAAGAUCAAUCAACCCUCGACUAAGUGAAUCCGCCCAAAUCCCAGAUUUGACCUGGAAAGUAUUCUUCUUGGCUGGAGCUAUUGAACUGUUGAUAGAUUUUCCAUCUAAAUUAUUAGAUGGGCCACCGACAGGACUCUGAGAAGGCUGUGAUGAAACUGGUUCGGAAUGCGAAGAAGGUGCACCAAAAAGAUCUGAUCCAUCAAAAGAGUUAAGUGGAAGAGCAGCAAAUGGAUCCACAGCUUUACUGUCCCUUGCUGCACUAGCAAAGUUAGUUUCUGUUUUUAAAACUGGCUCAGGAGAGGCAAAUAAGUCAACCGGUGCAGAAACUGAAGAAGGUUGUGAAGCUUUAAUGUCUCUUGCUGCACUCACAAAGUUAGUUUCUGUUUCGACAACCGGCUCAGAAGAGGCAAAAAAAUCAAUGGUUGAAGAAUUUGAAGCAGGUUGUGAAGCUUUGCUGUCUCUUGCUGCACUAGCAAAGUUGGUUCCUGUUUGUACAACUGGAUCCGGAGAGGAAAAAAAGUCGACUGUUGCAGAAACUGAAGCAGGUUGUGAAGCGAACAAAUCAACCUCUGUAGUCUGUAAAGAGGGUAAGAAACUUCAUUUUAAGAAAAAAGAGAAAAAAUUAAUGAUCAGAAGGAGGAACUUAUGGAGUCACUUUCAUGAAUAGAAUUUUUUGAUGAGAUAAUGCUUAUACUUUCCAUGAAUCAAAUACUUUUGAAGAAAUAAUGAAUAGGAGAAAAACAACUAGAUCACUUUUAUAACAUCAAAAUGCCUUUUGAUAGAUAAAAAUAAAACUCACUACUAUUAGAGCAGGCUAAGCAAAACUGACAGGUUUUCAGCUUAAUUCCACAAAUCGAUCUUGAACAUAUUCCAGGCCAAAAAAAUAACAGCCAGUAGCCACUCAAGUUCUCGGCAAGCCAACAUAAAAGCCUCAGAUAUUCUAAGGACAGACCACCACUGAGCGGUGAGGGGCACGAAAGAAACAGGUGGUUUAAAUUCUCAAGCUUCUGUAGGCAAGAGAACCCAAUUUUUACAUCUUCGAAAAAUCUGCUGCUCGCAUCUUUAUGAUAGACCAUAAUUUUUUUUUUUAAAAAAAAACUUCACUUUCUUGGGGCAUUUGAACCUCCAAACAGCGUUGAUGAGUGGGGCUUAGUGGAAAAUUAACCCCCCCCCCCAAAAAAAAAAAAAAAAGAAAAGAAAAGAAAAGAAAAGAAAAAACCAACCUAAGAUUUCUAAGGAACCCUCAUGGCCUUCGACUACAAUAGUUCCCUCUGCCUCAACUUUUGUCUCCAAAACCCUUGUGCUCUUGGUGAUUUUCCUAUUUUUCUUCUUGGCUACCGCACUACCUUUGGGCAAAAUUGGGGAGUUCAUUUUUUCGUUGUUGUGUGUGUGCGGUGGGGCAGGGUGGGGGGGUGUUAGUUACUGAAAGAUUAGAUUUCAAUGACACGUGAGAAUUUCAGAAAGAUUAGGAAAAAAUGCAAGUGCAAUAGAACAAGAGCCAUGAAAUAUUUUGAGCUAAAUGUUAUAAUAUUCAUGAAAUGUUUCUUUUACCAAAAAGAAUAAUAAAUAAAUGUUAUAGAUAUUAUUCUUGAAACAAAAGGCAAUUUUUUAACUUAGCUAAAUGCAAGAAUGUGAAUAUUGCCGUAACCAAAAAAAUUUGUUUCUUCUCCUUAUCUAUAGAAGCACAUUGUGGAAUUUAAUGGCACUACUGAAAAUCCUAAAUUGUAGCGAACCUUUAAUGGGGAAUUGGGUUCCUUUUCCAUUUGCGUUGGAGCUGAUACAAAAGUAGCAUCUGCAAACAGAUCAACCUCAGGAGAACUGGUGUCCGGCUUUCCAGGAGGAGCAAGAGCUGGGCCAUCCAUGAAAUCUCCUAGUAAACUGUCUCCAAAAAGAUCCACCCCAUUGGGGCUUGGUGCAGCAGCUUCUGUCAAAAGGUUUAACUCAUAAUGAGAAAAUUCCCUUAUUCAUUUGGUUUUCUAGUUUAGGCUUUUUAUGGCUUAACAUGGGCUAACUAAUUUAAUCAUCAAGAAUAUUUCAUUUUUCUACUAAGGGUAAUUUUGAUUGUAGAUCACAAGCUUUUUCUUUUGAAAUUUAUUAUUUAUUACUGGUACAGUUUACUUUACCCCUCCAACUCUCAAUUUCAGGAUCUUCCCUUAAAUGAAAUGAAUAAGGAAGAAGUAUUUUUACUCAUCUAAGGAAACAUCCAUGAAGUGAUACCAAUUUGAUGGAAACCACAAGUGAUACGGAAUUUCCAGUAUUAUUGAUAGUAGUAUAGGAAUGAAAUCCUUGUUACAAUCUCCAAUCACAAUUCUACUGCUAUCCUAUCUUUCAAGGAAGAACAGAGAAGAACACUUGACUCACAAAUUCUAACUAACUUUCCCACCCACCUACUUACUUUUAUGUAUACUAAUUUCUAACCAUCACAUUAUUCUCACGUGUUACUUACACACGUGUUAAUUCUUUUUUUCUCUCCUGCUAUAUUGGUGUACGAUGAGUGACGGAUCUAGAAAAUUUAUUGACAGGGGAUUUCAAGUUGUAAUUUAGGAAAAAAAUAAAAAUCUGGAAAAAAACUACAUAGGUAAGACUUGAACUCGGGUUGGAAUCUGGAAAAAAACUACAUAGGUAGAACUUGGGUUGGAAGGGGGACUGACAAGCACAAUUACCACUAAGCUAUCUAUCAAUAUUAAAUAUUAAUUAGUUUUCUUUAUACAUAUUAUAUAAAGACAAUAAAGUUGAGGGGGAGAUCGAGCCCCUCUGGGCCACACUAAAUCCGCCGGUGUAUAUGAUAGGGGGUCUAUCACGAUAUCUCACCACAACGACAAUAUUAGUAUUUACUCUAGCAUCUUGUUAGAGUCUUCAACUAGACUAGGCUUGUUAGCAGCUAAUUAGGAAAAGUUUAGUUGGCUUUUAGUCAAUACCAAGAGAAAUAGUUUGAUACAACACAUUUCAGAGUAACGGAAAUAUAUUGACAACAAGAGAAGCCUCUGAAACUUUCUAUGGGCCAAAUUCUAGUUAAAUAAAUAAAACUCACGAGCAUAAUCUAACCAUCAAAACAACACAUGCAGAUCAUAUUCCAUCUAAUAUCAAGAUAAACAAUCUGAAGAUGCUCCUUAAUUACAAGCACAAAUGUGUAUUAUAUUAAGACAUCUCCCAUUCCACUCUUUAUCAAUAUUGUCAAUUUACCACACAUUUCUCGUGUAUUGGGAUCUCUUACUCUUUAAGAACAUAAAGGCAGAAGACAAUGUAUAGAAGCUAGAGGAAGAGAAUGUUUUUCCCCAUGGUUAAAAAUGUAUUUUGGUUUGUGGAGAGAGCUGGAAAUAUGGGUUAUUGUAAUUUGCGAUUAAAUUGUGAAGAGAAAUGUAUAAAAAAAGUAAAAGUUAUUUUAUCUUCAUUUGAUAACAAAACAAUGGCAAUCAAUAAACAUAAUGGAAGAAAUGGUUACGGAAAACUAAAUAGAAAUAACUGGGACAAUUAAAUUAUUUAAAAAAACCAAGCAAAAUGAGGUAGAAAUGUCCACUAGCAUUUAAGCUACAAAAAUAAGCCACGUUCAACAUUUUUUCACCAAUUAUACUAUUGCAACAAAACAAACACAUACAUUUCAACAUUGAAAACACUUACUUGUGGUGGUGGUGGAAGAAGUCCCACGAGGAUCAAAAUCAUCAAAAUCAUCAUCAGAAUUAUUUGUAGGGGUGCUAGCACUGAAGGAGGAAGUCUGAUUUGCAGAGUCAUUCGACUUCUUUGACGGCUUAGAUUUACCAAAUGAUGUUUUACCCUGAUCCUUGCUGAAAAAGAACUCUCCCUAUUAGAAAGCAAGGCAACAUAAAACUAUAGAGCAAUGUCUAUGACUCUGUCUGUUUUCACAUAACUUCUCCCAACCGUAGAUGCAUUUAAAAAACAUUAGGCAUUGAUAUUUGUCCAAUAUAAACAGAGACCAGAGUCCAAACAAAACUCAACAAAAGAACUGUGCCUAAGGCAACAGGUUUUUUUUUUUUUUUUUUUUUUAAAUCUUCUCCAAGUCCAAGAAUCUAACAUCAAUUUUAUUAAUAAAAAUCGAUAAUGUAUUUCAUCAAAGGAAGGACAAACUAAGAUCACAGGUAUGGGGAACUCCCCACAACAAUGCAUUUUCUGAAUAAAACAUCAUAUUCAGUCAAUAGAAUCUAGUAAAAGGGUAAAUAUUCAACAAGUACAUACCUGUUGUUUUGUGCAGAACCCUUGCCAUCUGGCUUAGUGGCCCAAUCUGACUUUUUAAAGUCAUCCUGGCCAUCCUUUUCCUUUCUAAAUGAAUCCCUGUCACUGCUCCUAUCACGAAAUCUAUCGCCUCUAAUGGUACUCUGACUAUCACUGCUGUAAUAACUACUGCUGCCGUAGGACGCUGUACCUGACUUGUAAGUAAUUCCAGUAGAUGAAAGUCCAAAGUACCUAAAGAAUGGACAAUACACUAGUUAUUCUGAAAAAUCAAUGUGUAUGGUGACUGAGCUCCAAUACAACAACCUAUAUGGUUGGUAUGAAAAAGCUGAGUUUACAUAUAGCAGCAUGAAAAACCAGUGUAUUAACAAGUAUCCUUUGAUUCCCUUCAAAGUGGUAUAUAUAAAGCUCCUAAACUCACUGUAGAUUUUGUUCAACUGCCUACAUCCACUAAGGUUAGUAUAGAGGAAAGUAAAUAUACGAAGAGAGUUAAAUGUAUUUAUCAGAAAGUCAGAGACUCUUAGACAAUUUGACAAAGUCCAACGCCAAAUAAGACGAGAUGCUAAAAACAAGAUAUGAGAGACUAUGGUUCUAGUGAUGGUUGAUUCAAGGGAGGAAAGAUUUACUGCAACACAAACAAGCUAAAACGUAUGAAAUUCAGUCCUCACAAAAUAUUGAUGAAAGUAAAAGAUAAUGACUAUACUUUUCUUCAUUUAGUUAAUGCAAGCUUCUCCAACAUGUUUAAUAUAAUUGAUCUUGCAGCAAAUUACCUUAACUCUGGCUCCCAGAUUAAAGCCCAAGGCAAAUAGGAAGAGUCUAAUGCUGUAGUGUUACAUAGGCUUAUUGUUAAUGUCAUAUAUUUACUACACAGUCAGUAAAGGUUUUAUCCACACUCCUUUUAAUAUUUUAACCAAGGAUCAAUUUGUGAGGAGAAGCUCACAAACGAAACUUUCCAUUCUUAGGUAGUCAAUCUAGAAAAUGAAAAAUGAACCAGAUAGCUCAAAUGUUCACUUACUUUUCACGAUUUGAAGCUGCUUUAUUUCUCACUUCUUGUAUUUUAUCUUUAUCAUUCAAAAGGGCCACAAUGGUUUCAGCCUUCUUCCUGACAUUUAUGCCCAUGUCCUUUCCACUUGGUUCAACAUAUUCAAAACUCGAGAGUGACUAUCCAACAUAAUACAAAACACAAAACAGAAUAAGACUAAGAGUCUCUAAAGUGCUGAACUGGAUCUUAGUGCACAUUUUAAAAACAUUCUUACAGAUAUCUGGAAAGUAUGUUCAAUAAUGUCAUCCACUGCACGUUCAGAUCCAUGUGACACCAAAUACUCUAUAACAGCCAAAGCCUGAAGAAGUUGACAGUGCCACUCAUGAGUAAGAGUGGGAUAUAAAGCAUUAUUUGUCAGAAAAUAAGAAUGUAUUAAACUGGGAACAAAUGAAAUUUUACCUUAUAGACAAGACGCCAAUUCUUACCAGUUUCAGUCAAUCUUGUCCAGAGAACAUUCAUAACCAUCUGAGUUUCAGAACUGAAAAAUCAAAAUCAAAAUCAAUCACCAAACAGAAACAAGUUCUUGAUUAAAGAAGAAAAGAACCAUAUGGGAUGAGUUGAAAUUUGAAAAUGUAACUUUACAAUUUCUUGGUAGCUUGCGCAAUUUCAGCCAGAGCAGAUCCAUGAGGACCCCAUGGUUCAUCAUCUGUUGCAUCCAGCACCUGAAGCAGCGAUGACAACCAGUUAUGAAACCACAUAGAGAAUUUCUAUCCUCCAACAGUAGAAUUAUUAAUACUUCAUGAGAAGCGAGUCAACUGUGAAACUCAAUCCAAUUUAUCUGAAAAACCAAUUCCCUGAGGGUCAUCUGGAAUAUGACCAACCAAAUUGAAAACCCACCUAAAUGGCACUUGGAACUCAAACGAAUGUGAUUGCCCUAUGGAUUUAUAUCAAAUUGAGGACAAAAAAUCGCAUACACCACACGCCUAGAAAAUGCUAACCGCCAUUGAUAGAGUUGAAUGCUACAAUACUAAGCAACAUCACUAUUCCCCGAAAUCCAUCCAAUUGACGCUAUAAAUUAACAGGCCAGUGGUAUGGCAGUUUUUAAACAAUAAUAUAUGCUUCUUUAAAUAUUUAGCAAUAAAUUAAACUUUCGUGGUGUUUGACUGAAUGGAGGUGGAAGUAGAACAGGAGCAAGAAGCAAAAUAGGAUAUGAGUUAUGACACCAUGUAGUAUCCUAAAGCAAAAUAGGAUAGAGAGCUGCUUAGAUCUAUAAAAGCAAAUGCAUUAUUCGAACCUUCUGUUCGAUUUCUGGAACCUUCAGAACCUUCAAAUUCACCUCCCUCUUUCUGUAACAACACGUAAAUAGAUAAAAUGAAAAUGAUACAAAAAAUCGAAGUUAAAGCUAACAGAAGGUCAUCUUCUAUCUAAAAACCUAUACACAUAACAUAGAAAAAAGAAAAAUAAAUAUAUAUAAUUUUAUAUCCAAAUUGAGAAACAUCAACUAGUUGGAGCCUCACAUUUCACGGACAGUUUGAUCGAAAACCUUCAUGAAAUCCAUGACAGAUCUGCGAAAUCUAUCAAACAAUAUUGCAGAAUUGAAAUCAGAUAAUGUGAGGAAUUGGAGAAAGAUGAAGAGAACGGAUCGGGAGGAAAACCAGCAAAAAGAAGAAGAAGAAAAAUUGAAGAGAUGAUAUAUGUAAAAAUGAAUCGAUUGUGAAGAAAAAAGAAAAAUAGAAAACGAGGUGAUGCGCACCUGAGUAGCUAGAAAGGAAGCUUGAGAUCGAGGUAAAGAAGGAAAUCAGGUGGGCGUGAAGAAAUUUCAACUUUCUUUGUAUGCGUGACGGUGGAGAUAAAAGCCGGAAGAACAGAACAGAACAGACGAGACAACGGAGCAAUUUUUCGUAGUCGAAAUUUUCUCUUUAUUGUUUAUAAUUUUAAUUAAAAAUGUGUUUUAUGGUUUGGAGAUCUUUUCAUUUUUAGAACCAUUCAUUUGUGACAAACCGUAUUGUAUCAACUUACCUAUUUUUAAAAAAUACAAACUAUUUACCCUUCAAAUUUUUUAUCAUAAUGUUUUCAUAUUUUUUAUUGGAUUGACUUUUUAAAUAUUUAAAUUAGUGUUUAAAAUGAAUCCAAAAUACCCUUUCAACAGUAAUUUAAUUAUUCAUUUGCUUUGCAAACCAAAUUGAAAACUGUUUUAUGGUUCAUCACUAUAUUAAGAGUUGUUUGAGGUCUUGGUUUGCUUUGAUCCAUUUUGUAAGUGUUUAAAAAUAGGAACAGAACUACAAGUAUUUGGUUCAAUCUUCAGUUUUAUAUAUAAUACAAAAAGCAUACAAAUUUUAGGAUUCAAAUGGAACGGUUAUUACGUAGUAGCAUUGUGUUCAUAUAUUAUCAAUAGCCUACUAAACAACCAUCUUUCCAAUUCACUAUUUUUUUUUUCUUCUUAAAACAACAUGCUGCAUAUCAUGUCUGCUGGGAAAUCACAGCCCCAUGGUUCCAUUGAACUCCAUUGAUCUCUACUGUCACUACCGGCACCCGGUUCGGAAACUGUGGGAAUCUGGAACUGAUCGACUGAGUUGUCUAAUGCAGCAAUGCAUGAGAUUGGUGUGUGGUUAAUAAUUUCAGUGAAGUCUGUUUCUUGUGUAUGUAGGAGUGGGGAUUGUGAGUGAAGAUGACUCUGGGUUUUGGCUGCAAGGAACAGCUUCUUCUUCUUCUUCUUCAGUUUAGUAUUCCAAUGGUUUUUUACAUCAUUGUCUGUUCUACCUGGGAGUUGAGAGGCUAUGGUAGACCAUCUGACCAACAACUUGAAUUUGAUUAAAAGUUCAAAUAUUUCUUUACAGAGAUGUGAAAACAUAUCAUGAAGUUUAGAAGAAAACAAAAGUAUCUAAGGUUUCAUUUCAUAACAAUUUUCUUCUUAAGUUAUUCUUUUCUGAAAAUAUAUGUUUGUUCCCUCUCGGACAUCUUCACUGUUGUUUGUUCUUAACAUUUGUGCAAAUUUCAAAAACAAAAACAACAAAACCUAUCAUCUUUAGUUUUAAAAACUUGUUUUGAUUUUUAAAAACAUUGGUAGGGAAACGAAACUAUGAAAUGUACCAAAAGUUAAAAAAAAACAUAUGGUUAUCAAAAUCGAUCUUUUUAACUUUUAAAUGCUUAAAUUUUGGUAAUGUUACUUUAGAAAGAUAAACACCAUGGUAAAAACAAAUGGUAAGAAAGCAGAAUCAUACAGAGCUACUCAUGACUAUCUUAUAGAAACUAAGAAAUAAUCCAAGAUUUAAAUUUCCUUUUUGUGUAAGCUUUGUAAAGUUCAAAUCUGAAUCCUUGUUUAAGAUUUAUCCUGGCUUGGAAAAAAAAAAAAUACCAAACUUGCCUGCUUCCAUAUUGAUUGAAGAGAUUAAAAAUGACAUUGUCUUCCUCUUCUGUAAAUUCCCCAUGCUUGAUAUUGGGUCUGAGAUAGUUUAGCCAUCUUAACCUACAACUUUUCCCACAUCUCUUCAACCCUGCAGUUUUUUUGUUUCUUUUUUCUUUCAAAACAUUGCAUUACAGAAACAAACAAACGACAGAGAAUACCAAACUAAAAAAAUUGGUGUUAGUUCUGAUAAAAGUGAAGAGAAAAGCAAGAGAUUAAACCAGCUUUAGUAGGCAGAGCAAUCCAGGUACCAGCAAUGCCAUGAGUUUCUACAUAACUUUUGAGAAUGGCGUCCUCAUCAGGAGACCAAGGCCCUUUCUUCACCUUGCCUUUCUCACAACAUGGAGCUCUUCCCAUUGCCCCCUUUGCCUUCCAAGGAUAAAUGGGGGCAAGAGUUCUGUAGCUAAAUGCUUUAAAUUCCAAAACCAGCUCACUCAACCGCAAUAAUUUCCCCUUCUGAUUUUGGCUGAGGAUUGUGAGAGCUAAAUAGAAUCUAGCUUGACUUUGUACGUUUCUCCCUUUCUUAUAAGCUUGUUUAUUGUUUGUUAAUUAAUACAGAAGAAGAGACCUUCUCUGUUUUCCACCCCUAGAAAAACAUACUGUUUUAGGAGAAACUACGAAAGGAAAACGUCAUAUGUGGUUGACAAUUUUGUACAAUUAUAAUUUAUAAAUUUUAAAGAGAAGCUGUAAAAGUACCUCAAAUUUGUAUACGUUAUGGUUAUUACGAAACAACCACAUUUGUAAUAGUUGUCUUGAAUAACUUUCUUAUUUUUAGUGAAUAUUAUUUAAAUAAGUGUACAGCGUCUUGACGAUAUAUAUAGAUGGAAUCUAAGAAAUGUCGAGCAAUACUAAUGCAUCAAGUACGUAGUGUCGUUGUUCAUUAUGAUGGGGUUGAUAUCAGUAGCUUCAAUAUGCUGCCUUAUAGCUUCUCAACGAUGUUCUCAUUUGGCUUGUGACCUUUUGUCGUAUUCAAUCUUUCAAAAUAACUAUUUUGUUCUAUAAGCCCAAUAACUACAAAAUGCACAAAUAUACCUGUGAAUAUCAUAAUUUAAACUUGAAACUGGCAAAUAUCAAGCUGUAGACAUGUUAUCAGUAAACUUUAUAACCAUAUAUUCAAUUACCAGUAAGUGAAGUAUAUAAACUUUUGGAUGUACCACAUAUAAAAUAACUCCAGAUGGACCAUAGUUUUUAACUCCUCUACCUUGUGUCAGAAGCAUUAGGCAAGAAAAAGAAAGUAAGGAAAGGUUGGAAGUUUUUGUUACAAGUUACAAUUAAGUAUAUGAAUGAUUAUAUGAAAUAAAUAUAGCAGAUAACAAUGGGUCCACUCUAUAAUGAUAUAUAUUCCUUGAGGGGAAAUGGCUCAAAUUCAAUGUUUUUUGUUCAAAUUAUGGAAAUGGGUUAUCUAAUUUUGAUGUGGGUGAUGUGAUGAUCUGAUCUGAUCUCUUGUAUCUCACAAGAAUAUUUGCUAAAUCAUCUGCACAUUACUUUAUAAGGAAAUGAUAACAAAACCAUACUCAUUUGGUUUCUUUCAGAACAUUUCACAUGCUAUGCUUUUCCCAUAUUGGACUCACCACUUCCCAUAAUGGGAUAACUCUUCAAGAAUCUUUCCAUAUUUUCUAAAAUAUUUUGGCUAAAGUUGGAAGGAUUUUCUUUUUUUUUUUCCUUUUUCCUUUUUGACAUUGAAAUGAAGGGGAUGGAUGGCCUAGAGGGACUUUAAUGCCAAGCUUAUAUAGUACACUUUUAAUCACCUCUUCCACCUAAUAACUUCUUCUUGGAUAAGUAUGCCUAAAAAUAAUAUUGCUCCAAAUUUUAACUUCAUCCAAAAACAAAUUUUAUUUUUUAACCUAAAAAAAUCAAGAUAUUACUGAAUUAAAUUAAAUUUCAUUUUUAAAAUUCAAUAUAACUUUUUUUUGUUUACAAUAAAUAUUAGGAUCAAAUCUUUAACGUCUAAAAAAAAUAUUACGUUGGUUGAUGUAAACUCAAUCAACUUAAAUAAUUAUCAUUAAAAUUUUCACUACAUUUUUAGUUAUAAUUAAUUCUACUAUACUAUUUGAAUUGAACCAAAAAUUACACCAUUUUUAUUGUUUGAGAAUUUUUUUUUAUUAAAUUACUCAUAUAUAUUUUCGUGAAGAAAAUACUCAUAUAUACACGAUUUGAAAUUUAAAAUUUCACGAUAGCUUAUCAUUUAGUUUAUGAUAAAAAAAAUUUCUCUAUCUCUUUUAUAUUCUUCCAUAAUAUUAAAAAUAGUUCUUGCAAGCUUUAUCUUUGUGGAGAAAAUAAAUAUCUCUAAUUAUUAAAAAUUAUUGGAUGAUAUGAUAACUCAAACAAUUUAAAUUAUUCAAUCUAUAUAGUAAAAGCUUAAGUUGAGUUGACAUUUUUAAUUAUAUAUCGAGAGAGUUAACCCAUCAAACUAAAAUUACAUAUAUUUCUUUUACAACGAAUGAAUUUAUAAAAUUGUUAAUGUUUCUAUUUUAGGAAGGUUGACUAUGAUAAGAUUUUUUGAGAGGUAGGAGAAAUUCUUUAUUACUUAACAUUUGAGUUUUACAAUAUUAGAUUUAUGUUAAAAGAUAAAUUGAAGUGUUUUAAUAAUAAAUGGAAUACAAAACCAACUAUUCAACUCAAAACAAAAAAAAAAUUGUUUGAAUGUUUGAAGUUGUUGUGAAUCCAACGAAUCCAAAUAUUAAAUUUGAUGUAUAAAAAUCCAAAAUGCAACUCAGCCAAAUUAUGUACACACCAUUGAUCACAAAGAUGAAUCAACCAUCCAUUCUUAUCCAUUCCAAUUGUACGGAAGAUCCAUCAAAGUAGGAGCCGACAGCAAAUAUCUUAUGUCAUUAUUUGAUGAAGCCAUUUGGAUUUAUUUCGAUUUUUUAACUUUUCCAAAACUUAUUAAACACAAGCAUGUACAUAUUAUAUCAUAUGAUCAAACUUCCAAUUCAAUCAAUCAAUAAAUUUAGUUUCUCAAACCCAGAGAUUUGAGGAAUAAGCAUAACAAAGAGUUGAAAGAGGCCGAAGUGAAGAGUGAAGGAGAUGUUUAGGAACUGGAUUAGCUAGUGGUCUAAAGAAGACAGAAGAAUGAAGCAGAUAGAAACAAGGAUAUUGAUUGAGUGAGCUGCCACCGCAGCAGCAGCAGGAUUGAAAAGCAAGUUUUGGAUUUUGUACUAAUAUUCAAUAUAAAUUCCUUCAUCUUCACUAUUUAUCCUUUGUUAAACUUACCCUUUUUGACACUGUUCUUCAAGAAAGAAAUUUUAUUAAAUUCCCAUUCAGUUUCUGUACAAAUGGGGAAAUUGUAACUCACUCACUUGCCUCCACAAAUUAAGAUUAAACCCAUUUACAGAAAUUAGUAGAACUAAAAAUACUAGAAAAGAAAUGGGAGAAAAAGGAUUUGAUUCACAGAAAAUUAAAGUAAAAAUUGGAAUCCAUGGCUUCUUCUUCUUCCUUGAAUUAGUUCAGAGAUCCGGCCGAUAUCAUUGGCCGGACACGGUCCACUGAAUUCUCUCUCAUUAAUUUGGCAUACAUUUGGGCUCGUAGAUUUCUUCCUGAUUCCACUCUUUCCAUUGCUGGUUCUUCUUCAUUUUCUCUAUCCCAUAGAUCAAAUGCUGCACCGGAGCUCCGACGGAGAUUUGGACUGAAGCUGGAGACGCCAGGAUUCGUUUUUAAUUCAUCUAGGCGGAGACUGUGCAUCAAUGCGACUAAUCUGCUGAAUGAUUCGCCGCCGCUGAUUACAGGGCUGAUUGGAGACAAAGGUGGCGAGUCCGAAGACGGCGAUAAGAGGAUCGAUGUCGGUGACGACACAGCAGGGAUAGCCAUUUCUCUCGCUCGUGGAGACCUGACACUUUGUUUCCCCGGAAUCCGGAGUUGCUCCGACGUGUGAGCGAAGAAACAGACCCGCCGGCGACAGCCAGUUCCAUCACGGCACGGUUGAGUCCGGUAUCGGUCUGGGUGGAGCCAAAUCUCAAAAGUUCCAUGAGCGUACUCGCAGGCGUCUCCCUUUUUACAACACCCAUGGCGUAAAUCCGGGCACUCGGCGCCGGAAUAGUUAAACUUCCUCGGAUCUCGACGGCGAGCCUUCUCGCCGGUGUGAGCGUACGGACAUUUGGUCCAAUCGUGCGACCUGCCACGUGCGCAGGAGCGGACUUUGAACUCAUACAUCCGGAACUGGUCGCAGGAGUAGGCGUCCACAGGCGCUGGCAAGUCAGGAUCUUCCCAUAAGGAGGAAUCGAAGUCCAUGAGCGCGGCCGUAGGUGAAUCGAGGGGGGAGACGUGGGCGGUGGAGAAAUAGGAAGAGAUUGCGGGGGAGGGAUCGUCGAGGGAGUCCCAGGUUGAAAUGUGAGAGGUGGGAUUGAGGAGCAUUGAUUCAGCGAUCAUGGUGAAUUGUGAGAGAGAAAUGGAGUGGAAGGGGUUUUUGAAGAUGAGGUGGGAAGUGCCAGUUUUUGAGACGGAAGCCGGAAGAGAGGGUGGUGGGAUUUUUGGUUUUCAACCGCGGUCGGUUACUCAACUUCCUCUCUAUUCUCUCCGGUUAAAUAUCUACCCAAUCCCUGGGAUUCACUACUCUGUUCUCGUGUCCAUGCUAAUUUCCUGCACCUUCUUUCUUCUUUCUUCCUUUUUCUUUUUUCCUCCCACUCUCUUGGCUUGGCUUCAAGUUUAAGAUAUAAUAUAUAUAUAUAACAUUAUUUGUACUUUUUCUUAUUAAAUUGUGAUUUUUUUUGCUUUCAAAAAAACAAUAAAUUAUGAGUUUCUUUUGAAUUUAAGUUUUUUAUACUCAAACAAAAUAGCAAGAAUUAAAUUUGAAAUAUUGAUUAUUUAUUUUGAACUAUUGAGUUUUUUCCUUUUUUUUCGAAUAUUAAACUUGUUUUUUCACUAUUGUUUUUGAGUUUUAAAAAAUAGGUUAUAUAGAAUACUUGAUAACUAAUUUAAAUAAUAUAUAUUAAACAACUUUAUAAGUUGAAAAACAUUUUUUAGGUUAAAUCUAAAUAUGUCUUAUAAAACUAAAAUACUCAAUCAAAUUGAAAUUCUUAUUAUAUAUAGAAAAUUCUAGUUGAUAAAAUCUACCGUAGAUUCAAUUGAACUGAUUGUAAUCUUAAUAAACUAAAUUUCAAUUCACUUAAAACAGGUCAUAAUUUAUCCAACACUUGUUGUUUUACUUAUACUCGAAUCAAACUUUCUCAAUGUAAUGAAAAAAAAAAAACAGAUAAAUAUAUCAUUAAAAACCAACUAUAAAUGAUAAAUGAUAACCAUCCGAUAUUCCAUUUUAUAAAUGAAAUAUUCAAUCAUUCAGCUUCACAAUUACUAUAUCUAAAAAAUCCUCAAUAAAUUAUACAUGCAGUUGAAUUGUUUUAUCUUAGAAACUAAAAAAAAACAAUAUUAUAAACAACCUACUAAAUACAUUAAAUCAACCCCAACUAAACAAAAAAGCUUGAGUUACUGAAGUGUAAAUUUUUAUUGCUGGAUAGUUUUUGAAUUCGAAUACUUUUGAAAGAAUAAUAUAUGACCUGUUUGAUCGAGUCAUAUUUGAAUUAAAAGUAUGUCCAAUAUCGCAAGAUGCAUACUAACAAAUUGUCGAUUCAAGCACGUAGAAUCAAUCUCCUUUUUUCUCCGUAGAAUAAGAGAUUCAAACUACAAAAUUUUUUUUGUUAUUAAUUUAUAUUUAUGUUAAUUGAAUUAAAGUGAUGUAAUCUACCAUUGAACUAAACUCGUUUGGACACGUGGUGGUUAAACGAAGGAAAAUUAGACAAGUUGGGGGUAUUAUUUUAUGAGAGUGGAUUUCAUAGGACAAAAGUAUGUGUAGGACGUGGACAAAUACAAAGAAGGUCACAUGGUGGAGGGACACUUGGAGAGUCCGAUGGGGAAUAAUUUUUAUUUAAAAAUAGUUUUAGAGUUUCCAUAAAAAGUAAAAGAAAAAAUAAAAAAAACAAAAAAUAAAGAGAAGCUGCUUCUGUGAUCCACGUGGCCUGACUAGGUGAGUUGAACAUAGAUAUUUAUCCACGUGGAAGGUGAUAACUUGGCGGUGAUGGGUUCGGUCCCACAUGAUUCUUGGCGCCUCAAAUCAACAAGUAUCCACGUGGCACACUUGAUCUCUCACCAGCUUUAUUACUCCUCGAGAUUCUCAUGAUCAUGACCAUUGACCAUACUCCCCUUUCCUUUUAUUUUUUAAAAUUACAUUUGAUAUUACAAAGAUUUUUUUCGAUAAAAGGAAAAUUAUAAUUUGGAGGUUCCAUCUUUAUCCGGAAGGACAGGCUUGCGUGUAAAUGCCUAGAGGAUUAUCCACGAGGAGUCUCCACGUGGCUCGUUUUUAGUGGACACUUGGCCACGGAAGAUUAUAUGGAAAAAUAAAUAAUAUUAAUGUCACCCCCUGCUUUUCUUUUAUUUAUUUAUAGAUUUUUCUGAUUUUUAAUUUAUGGUUAGUUGAUAAGUUCAAAGUAACUUUCAAGUUGAAAAAUUAUGUCUUAUUCUUUGUGUUUAAAGUGUAGGAAUGCUUUAUUUAGAAGACUUAUUUUGGCAGUCAAAUUUAAUUUACCUAAUCUUUUAAUAUUCUUUCAAGUCUAUUUGGGGUGACAUAUAUAUUCAUUUUAUUAAAUAGUUUGAAAGUUAUCCAUUCCACUACUGCUUUCUAAAGUUGAACAUUUCAUCUCUUUUUAUUUAUUUAUUAUUAUUAUGAUUUUAAAUAAAUAAAAAGUAAAAGAAGGAAGGGGAACACACUGCCCACUAGGAUCAAUUUUUUAAAUGUAAUCUAUAGUGUUAAUCUUCAAUUAGUCUAGCUUAACCGUUUGGUUUUUUUUUUUUUCUAAUUUUUUAAAAAUUAAAUCUAUACACUCUUGUUCCAUUCUUUAAAAAUUUGCAAUUGGAUGGUUUUGAAAAAUAUGUAAAUUUAAUAUAAGAAAUCGAGAGGUUAAAUUCUUGAAAUAACUUACACCACAUGUAUUCAAGCUCUUUUCUAUACCAAUUUUGUUUUUAGUAAUUUAUGCCUUUUUCUUUUUUUACUUAUUCGAGUUGCUUUUCUAAAACUAACCAUGAGUUUUUAAAAACGCAAGUGGAAAGUAAAUGAUAAAAUACAGGAAUUGAUAGAUGAAUUUAAAAAAAUAAGAAAGUGGUAAUCAUAGGUAACCCAAAUGUUUUUUUCCCCUUAAUUAUUUGUGAUUAUUUUGGAUGCGACAAUGAUUAAAGAUGAAAGAGACGUCAUACUAGUGGUUGGAAUUUUGAUAUGAACAUCCCAUUGUUUUCAUUUUUAUCCUUUACAUUGACCACCUCACUAUUCAAAAGUAAUUAAAAAUAAACAAUGCUUCAAAGAAAAAGAAAAAUAGAUAACUAUACCACCAGCCUUGGAGUUAGGUGGACUAACAAAAUAUCAACAUUUAGAUCAAUAUAACAUAUGUUGUAAGUUUCAUUUAAUGAAAUUCAUAUAUAUCUUCUAUUUCUAGGUCUUAGCCACGUGAAGAUUAAGUUACCUUCGUGGGCUGAAUCUCACAUCUGCCACCCCAGUUUUCUCAAAUAUGAACUACAAGAAAGUUCAGAAGCCCAACGGCCCAAAUCAAUAGCCCAUUAUCCAUAUUGUAUUGAAAUAUUUUAAAGCUUAUGAGUAUCUUAAAACAAAAGAUAUGGAAUUAAGAUAAAGUUAGAAUUGGGAAUAAAUGUAAUCCAAAAUGUUAAUAUCUAUCUCUGUUCUUUUGUGGAUUUUAAGUUAUAUUCUUCAUUGCAACACUUAUCCUAUAAAACCGUGUUGUAUACUCUAAUAUUCUAAGUGAUACAUUCUUUGUUUGGAGUUGAGCAAAUAACUCUUUUCAAUUCAACAUGUAUAUGUAUGGAUUGAAAGUUCAAAUAUAAUGCCUAAUCCUUUAGUCUAUUUGUGUUAAGAUUACAAAUCUAUUCAAACCCUCUUCUUUCUUUUUCUUUUAUAAAUUAAUACUUAUAACAAAAGGUUAAAUUACAAUUCUUUAUAUUUUCAUAAUUAAACUUUAGUCGUUUGACAUGAAAAAAACGUUAGUAAAUAAAGCUUAUAAGGUAGUGAUUCAAAUUCACAUUAGCUUAUUUUUGUAGUAAUUGAUAUAAUCUUUUAUUUUAAAAAUGAUUAGAGAGAUUCGAUUUUCCUUCCUAUAUUGUUAUUUUUUGCGUUUGUUUUUUUCUUAUAUUUUAAUUUUUAAAUUGGAGUUCAAUUAGUUUGAAAAAUGGAACAUAACCCAGUUGAUGUGUGAUAGUAGGUUAAUAAUCACAAGGUGUGAUUUGAAUUAUUUCUUUUUCAAAAACAUAUCUAAUGUGUUUUCAAUUAAUUAAUAAGCCAGGUAUAUGUUAAAAGGUUUGAGUGUAAUUCUUAAAAUAAAUCAAAACUAUUGUUGUUUUUUUAAUUAUUAAAUCUCAAACAAUAUAAAUAAAUUAUAUUUAAAAGUGCAACAUUUAAUAUUAAAUUAAUUAAAUAAUUAAAAUUGUAUUUCUAUAAGUAACAAAAAUUAAGUUAACAAUCAAUACAUUUUUUUCCCUAGUUAAACAAACAAUAUAUCAAAACACAUUAUUAUACCCAAUUACUAGAUAGUUGAAAGAUUCUUCAAACAAGUACGACUAUUCUAUUACUAUUCAGACUAUAAUAACAAAUUUAAUCAGGGUCUUAAUAUCGUAAGAAUUAUAAAAAGAGAGAAAGUAAUUAACAUGAGAAAACAAAUCAAAUGGAAACAUUGUAUGCCAAGUGGGGAUGUACUAUGUGUUUGGUUCCCAUUCAAGUGAUUAAACCUUCCAUCUUCCACUUUGUUUAAUACAAGAAAAUACACAAAAAAACAGCAAGCUAGCUAAUUAUAUAUGUGAAGCAGAGAAGGACAGAAAAUGAUUUAUAUGUAUGUUUACUUAUUAUAUGAUGUGAUUCCAUGGUGUCACAUCUCCUAAUAUUUUUCUAAACAAUGUUUCUUAAAAUAGAUAUCAAAUCUAACAUGAUAUCAAAUAUUUGUCACUCAAGUUGCGAUUGUGAUUGGGAGAGUUAUGAAUCUACAUCUAAUUAAUUCAAUUCACCAAGUUAACACACAACUAUUAUUUGGUCAACUUACAAAAACUUAGUAGUGUAUGAAUUUUAUAUUAAAUUUAGAAGUCACCAAUCUCUUAUAUGAAUGUUUUUUAAAAAAUAUUAGACUAAGUAAAUGCAAACCUGAAGAUUUGAUAACUAAUGGCUUAUAGGUAAUCAAAACCUAAUGAAUUACAAAUUAUAAAACUCUGACAAAAAGAAAGAAUAAAGAACUUUCUUUCUUUCUAAAUAAAGAAUUAAACUGAGAUAUCAUUUAUUUGAAAAAAAUGGUGAAGGGGGUUGAAAAGGAUGCAGUAACCUGCUUGAAAAGGAAUGGAACAUAAAUAUAGAAAGGGACAGUGGAUUCUAAAUCUCACCAAAUAAAGCAAAAGAAGAAAGAAAGAAAAGUUGAGAAAUUAAAUACAAAAUGGAGGGAGAAGGUGGAGCUGUGUUACAUAAUAUAAUUCCAAUGUCAAACAUUAUAAUAACAAAUGAAAUUAAAGUUAAUGAAUGUGCUUACUUAGGGUUUGCCAAAAAUAUCAAAAACAGUGAUGCAAUAUUAAUUUAAUUUUCCAUUUUCACCCUCCAAUUUUAUCUUUAUUUAGCAAGUUGGGUUGGGGUUGGUCUUGGGGUUGACAUGACACCAACAAAUUCAUGUUCAUCCAAUGCAUAUCAAUGCCCAUAAAAAGCUGCAUCAUGAUUUGAUUGCAUCUCAGACACACACACCACCAAUAAUUUCACAAACACUAUUCUCUAAUUUGUGUUCUCUCUAACUAUACGCAUACAUAUAAUUAAUACUCAUAUACUUAUUUACAUGUGUUUUCUUAAUUAAUUUUUAACUUUUACCCCCAUCUAUUUUACAAUUUUGUGUACACAAUGACUUCUAUACACUUGCACAUCCAUAUAAUUAUAACAUGCUAAUUUAAACGUAGCUCUCAAGCUAUUUAAUUUAAUUCUCCAUCAUCACAAAGUGUAAUUACUUUGACUAAUUACAAAAAUAACUCUCCAAUAGGUUAUUAAGUAUUACUAGUUUUUAUGUCGGUUUUAUACAUGUUGAUUUGGAAGAAUAGUUAAAUUAUUUGUAUAAUUUUGUUGUUAAUUUUAUAUUUAUUUAACUUACGGGUUUGGACAAUUACUUUUAUAUAUUUUCAACUUUCAAAAUUUGACUAAAUUUUAUUUAAACAUGCAUAUAAAGUAGAUAAUAAAGCAAAAAAAAAAAAAAAAAAAUUAGACAUUGAUUUGAUGUUUAUAGAUUUACUAAGAAAAAACUAAGAUUAAGAUAUAUAUAUAUAUAUUCGUUCUUUGAUAAAGUUUUCUUUUUAAUUUAGAAAAUGAACUUUCCUUGUAAUUUGGCCAUAUUAAUUAUACUUGAAGGAUGUUAAAAUGAAGAACUUCUCUCCCAACCACAAUUCAACUUCGAUUGAACGAUAGAAAUCAAAUCAAUUUAUCUUGACAUAUGUAAACACAUAUGGCACUGUAAUUAACCCUUGGAAAUUAGUUUAAUUUUAUUAUAUAGAAUCUAUUAGUCAAAAUUUUAUCAUAUUUAAAUUGGUAUAUAUCAUGCUCUUUAAGAAAAGUCAAUAUGACCUAAUUAGUUGUUAAUGACACUUCAUUUAUAAAAAAAAUUAUUACUCGUUUUCAUGAGAUACACCUAAGGACAUCACUCUCGUUUUCGGAGUAAAACUUAAGUCUCGAAAAAUUUAGGAUUAAUAAUAUGGUUAUUGUUAACCAACUUAAAUGUGUGUGUAUACAUAUAUAUGGAAAAGAAGAGAUUUGUCACAAUAAGUUAAAGUGUAAAGGAUUCUAACAAAAGUUGUAGAAUUUGAUUGGAGGAAGAUGGAGGAGAGUUUGGGGAGAAGGAUAUGGAAUACUUGAAAAAGAGUUAUGUGAUUAGACAAAUCAAUAGAGUGAAUAAUUGAUCUCCAUAUUUUUAUUCUUCUUCUUGAUAUGGCUUUGCACUACACCAAUUCUCUCUAUUGAUUUAUAUAAUAAUUCAUCAAUUUAAUUUCCUAACAAAAAUCAAUUUCAGAUAUUUAUUUUGUUUCUUCUUUUAAUUUUCUGCCUCUCUUAAUAUGUAUAAAGUUUUAAACAUCUUUUUAAAUUUUAGUUUUCAAAUAUUCAGGUAAGAUUCGUGAAAAGUGAUCGCUUCUUGCAAUAUUAUGAAACUAAUGAGCUUCGUAUUUCUACUUUUAACUAGUGAAUGAGAUUAGGGUUUAUGAGUGUGUAAUUUUUGGUAUUUGGAGGGAGAGAGAGACUGAGAGAGGGAUUGUUUUGUCUUUCUUAUGUUUGGUGUGUACCAUUAUUAUUAGGUGCAGCCUUGGUUUGUACAAAUUCAGCCUUUUCCUUUCCUGAGUUUGGACUAGUCUGUCCCUUUACCCCUUUUCUUUUCACUGUUUCCUCUUCAAAUUUUUGUACCCUUUUCUUUUCACCAAUACCCAAAUUGAGAGUCUAUAGGCAACUUUGGAAGGAAUAUAACUAAAAGAUAAAAAGAUAAUGAAUAUAAACUCCAUAUAUUAUAUAACACCCAAAUCUUAUCCAUUCAAUUUGCCCAAAGAACCCAACUUUAGGUAUAUGGGGAUUUUCUUUAACGUUAUACUUUCAACUAUAACCCUAAUAUUUCCCCUUCUAAAUCAAACUUUUGUUCAUCUUUCACUCAUAGUACUUACUGCGAGUGUGUGUGUGUAUAUAUAUAUAUUUGGUUCUACCUGCAACGUAUGGAUUACUGUUAUUAUUAUAAAUCUAUAGUACGAAGUUUAAUUUUUGUAGUACUAAUAUAGGUGGAGGCCCCCAUGAAAUGUAUUGAAAUUUGGUCUUUGGAAUCGUACCCUUCAGGUAGAGUGUCUCACGAGUUGGGCCCCUAAUUUUAUAGGAUUUGUAAUUUUAAUUUGGUCCCUCGUGGUGGUUUUGCACCAUACCCCAACAUCUAUGUACUCCUAGGGACCUAUACACUUGUCUUUGCUUUUAAUGUGUUUUCCCUUCCUUCAUCAUCAUUCAUUAUUAUUGUGUUCCAACCCUUUUACACAUUUUCAUAAUUUUCACUCCCAAACAAACCUCACAUUUAUCACCACAAAUAUAAACUAGCUACUCUUCAUUUGGGAUUCAAACCACAUGUUUUUUUUAUAUCGUGUCAACACAUUCAAUUCAAACCACAAAUAUAAUUCAACUAUAUAGUUGAAUUAUACUCACUUUGAUAGAUAUUUACUUAUUGAUAUAAUGUAUUCACAAUGUAUAUAUUUGCGUAUGUAUAUCCAUACAUAACAUAAUUAAAAUAUAUAGUUUGAAUUUUAUCUCAAUUUGAUUGAAUUCUACCUUUUUCUACUUUAAUUUUGAUUAAGCACCAAAUACUUUCUUCCUAAACAAGUAUGAUAAAUUAACACAAAAACAGAAGUAAGUAAAGAUAGAGAUUAACAAAAAGAGUAGCUUUGGAAAUCACUUUCAAAAUUCGAGCCUUGAUUUCAAAUUUCAACCCCUCAGAAGUAAAAGGGUAACAUUUCAAUUAAAUUUACGAAAUUUUGUUCUCUCUUGUAUAAAAGAAUAACAAGAGUAAAAGAAUUGCAUGCAUCCUCGUACUCAUCCAUCCAUCCAUAUACAUAUUACAUACACCACAAAUCUGUGUUUUCCGUUUAUAUGAACAAAAUCAACAUGUCAAAACCCUAUAUUGUUAAUUAAUUUAAAGUAUUUAAUUAUUGAAGAAAGAAAGAAAAAAAGAACCCACCAAAAUGGCCGGAGAAAUGACCGCCGCCGUGUCCGGCGUUGUGGGCGUGGUUGUCUCCUAGAUGAAAGCUAUAUAGAUACCCUUUUUGUUCCACUUUAAUGGCGCACCCUCAACUGAGAUAUCUAUACCCAAAACACACCUUCCUAAAAAUUUCCCAAAUCAGUUCAUUAUUUGUUGUAUACCCUUAAUUAAUUCUAUUUUUUAUUUUGUUUUUAAAAUUUUUAAAAAACCCAGCUCAUAAACACAACCUUUUUGGCCCUGUCCUAUGGAAGUUGACUGCUAGCUUUUCUCCAUAACUUCACUGUUUAGUUAUAUUCUCCCACUUUAGGGUUUUCUAAUCAUUCCUUUUCCUUUUUUUUUUUUUGGGUACUGGGUUCUUUUUUUUUCUUUUUUUAAAUUAGAAUAAAGAAAACUAUAUAUUAUUAUAUGUUUUUUAUUUAAUUUUGUAAUGGAAGAUGAUGAGUACAAGGUUCAUGGUGAUAGGUGUAGGGGAAAUUUCUUGUACAAUUCAGUACCUGUUUUAGCCACUAAUUCUUCAUCUCCUGUGGGCAAUUUCGUAAUUAGAUCAUCAUAUUCAUCGGCCUCUUCUUCAAAUGGGAAUAAUCAUAAUCAUCAUCACCAUCAUCAUCACAUGAUCAUGGCCGCCGGUCACUCCAAUAAUUAUUUUCCACCCUCCGAUCAACUACAACUUCCUGUCAAAGUGGAGCCUCCCACUACCACUACUACUGCUUCUUCUUCACAAUCUCAUCAUAUUCAACUUCAUGAUUUUCAUUACCAUUUAAUGACUGAGUUCCAAAAUAAUCAUAUUAAUAUUAAUAUUAAUAAUCAUAAUUCUGAUUCAAUCAAAGCCAAAAUUCUUUCUCACUCUCUUUUCUCUAACAUCCUCCAAGCUUUCUUGGAUUGCCAAAAUGUAAUUUCCCUCCCUCCCUCCCUCCUUUUUUUUUCUUUUCUUUAUACACUACAUGCUUAUAAUUAAUUUCCCUUAGUUAUUGUUGUUGUUUAUUUGUUUUUAUUUUAUAGGUCGGAGCUCCGCCGGAGGUGGCUGCAAAACUUACUUCGGUACGGGAGGAAUUCGAGCGACAGCGGUCUUCAAUGGCGACCGCUGAGGGUUCAUCAAUUGACCCUGAACUUGAUCAAUUCAUGGUAAAUUUAAUUAAAGUAAAUCUAACACUCAACUUGGUUUCAUAAUCAUUUUGAAAAUUAAGAUUAUUAUAAAUAAUACCUGUUUUAGGAAGCUUAUUAUGGGAUGUUGGUGAAGUAUAGAGAGGAGUUAAGAAGGCCAAUUCAAGAAGCUGUAGAUUUUAUGCACAGAAUUGAAUCUCAGCUUAAUACUCUCUGCAAUGGCUCCUUUCAAAUCUUACCAUCUGGUAUUUUUCUUCUUCUCUUCUUUUUAAUAUAAAUGUUUCUUUUUUGUUUUAAUUCAUACUUUACAAAUUACAAGUACUCAUUAUUUUUUAUCUUGUUCGUUGGAAGGAUUUUUUUUAAUUAUUUUUUAAAAUUUUUGGGGGUUAAAUUCAUUGUGGAAAGCACUUUUCCCCUUAUGAAUUAUGAUUGAAGGAAAGAAAGAAGCCAUUGCCAAAGGAUAAAAAAAAGGGAACAAAAAAAGGAAAAGAAAACCCUAAUUUCAUCAUGAUUUCAACCUUUUGUAUUGUUUUAUUUUUAUUUUUUGGGUUUUGCUGCUUUUUUUUUGUUUGUUUAUUUUUUCCACUUUAUUAUUUCUUAACACACCACAAUGAAUUCUUUUAAUGGUCUUAAAAUUGGUUUUAUUAAUUAAGAUUCAAAUUUAGUGCUGGUUAAUACUGUUAAUUAGGGAUAAAAUAAUGUACAACUAUGGUUUCGAUUGAUUGUUUAGGAGCUGGUUUUAAUUUCUUUAGAUGUGUUUAGAUAAUGUCUAAUCAUACUCUUAAUUGGGGAUAUAAUAUGUAAAUCUAAAAAGGUUUAAAACUAAUUAAUGACUUCACAUCACAAUGAAUUAGGGGCUUGGCACAGUCUGUACUAUGGAACUUGAUCAUGUCUUUUACUUUUCGUCUUAGAAUCAUUCUCAUUUUGAUUAUCCUUAAGUUAUUUUUUAACAAAAAAAUCACACCAAUGACAACAUCAAAUCUUUCUUAGUCUAGUUGUUGGGUGAGAACGAUCCACAUCGGGUGCAAUCAGAGAGAUGAACUAGGUUACAAAUUCUUAGUACCUCUUUUUUUAAAAAAGUAAAUAUAGUAAAACAAGAAAACUCAUAUGGAAAAACAAAAGGUUAAAAAGUUAAUUUUUUUAAAAAAAAAAUUAAAAAACUUGAGAUUUGGUUUUACUUUUGAAAAUGGACUCUGUGAUUCCUUUUUAAGUAGAAGAAGAUAUGAUUUUUCUUUUUCUUCUUGGCGAUCAGUAUAAAUUAUAUAGGUAGAGAAAGAAAAUUUAAUGGGAAAGAUGAGCAGGUAAGUGAAACUUGAACUGAUUGAUCAAAAUGUUAAAUAUGGAGCCUUAUAGACUCUCCUAAACCUGCUUGUUUCCUCUAAAAUAAAAACAUCAAGUUCUAAAGCUUUAGCUAGUGAUUUUUUCCUUUUUUUUUUCUUGUUCUUAAUUUUAUAAUUCGAGCUCUUUCGACCUUGUUUAAAUUGACUAGAGAAAAUUUGUUUUUCUUUUUUAUUUGAAUGAUUGAAACAUUCCAAUUUUUCUUAAAAAAUAACUUAUUGUCAAAUUAAACACCUGAAAAAUUAACCCCUAUACACACUGUAUAAUUAAAAAUUAAAAUUUUAUAAUUCCCAUCUUAUGUAUAAUUUGUUUAUUUUCCCUUUUUCACAAGCACGCACCAAGAUUAAUUAAGAAGCUGUUAUUGAAUUAAUUGUUAUCAUUCAGCUAAUCAUGUUUUUGUCUUAGUUAAUUAUCAUAUUUCCAUUUCAAUUUUGGUUAUAGAGUAAGUCCUUUGAAUAAUUAAUAUCGUAUCCAUCACCUAAUUAACUAAUUAUUAUUUACCUUAAUGAUCUAUAUAACAGAUUGAUAUAUAGAAAACAGAUUAGAAGAUUACUUAGUCAUAAUCACUUAAUUACUAGUAACUAAAUCCAUAUAUAUAUGUAUGUAUCAAAUUUCUAAUCAAUCCAUACCUCAAAAAGUUUGGAGUAGGUUUCCAUCUAAUCAAUCUCACACAUCAACAUUCUAGUGAUUUCUUUUUUCUUUCUAAAUCUUCACUAAACUUAAAAAACAUUUAAUACAAUUAAUUAAACUUUCAACGUUGUAAUAUUCAACCGUAGCUAUCUCAAAAAAAUUCAUUUGUGUCUCAACCUAUUAAGGAUUCUUUCUAAAUUCAUAACAUAGUGAAAAAAAUCAAUAGUUGUGACCAAAAAUUGAACUAUUUAGAAACAUUUUCUAAUAUAGACAUUGAGAGAAAGAUCCCAUUUGGUUUUUUGAUUGUUUUUUGUUCAAGAGAGAUUGAAAUUGAAACAAGCUUGAAUUUUCAAAAAUGGAAAACUAAAAACAACAUUGUAAGAAGAGUCGUAUUUGAGAAUUAUAAGGCUGAAAAUGGAACAGGAAGAGAAGGAAAGAGUGAAGGAAUGGGAUCAUCAACGGAGGAGGAAGCUGAGAAAGGCGGAGAAGAGGAAAGAGAGAUAGAAGAAGAUCAAAUCGACCCACGAGCAGAAGAAAGAGAGCUUAAGAAUCACUUACUAAAAAAAUACAGUGGUUAUCUUAGCAGUUUAAAGCAAGAACUUUCCAAGAAAAAGAAGAAAGGAAAACUCCCUAAAGACGCAAGACAACAACUCCUCCGUUGGUGGGAACUGCAUAACAAAUGGCCAUACCCAUCGGUAAACUAUAUAUAUAUUUCUUUCUUAUUAUUACACGCACACACGGUGUUUUUGAAAAUGACUCAACCAAAGAAGAAACGCUGUUAAUUUGCUAUGCAGGAGGCAGAAAAAUUGGCGCUGGCGGAAUCAACUGGGCUUGACCAGAAACAGAUAAAUAAUUGGUUUAUAAACCAAAGGAAAAGGCACUGGAAGCCUUCUGAGGAUGUGCAGUUUAUGGGUAUGGAGGGGUUUUACCAUCCCAAUGCUGCUGCUUUUUACUUUGAUCAUGGCCAUUUCAUGGCUGAUUCUCAUUAUCGUUUGGGUCCAUGAGGGUGGGAAUUAAACUACAAUAUCAUUUCAUGUGCUUUCUAUUUAAAAACAUAUCCCUUCUAUUUGUUUAGUCCCUUAAUUAAAUUCCUAAUUUAGUGCUUAAAAAUGGAACCAAAAAACAAAAAAAACAAAAGAUGAGUGAUAUAGUUAUAGUUCAUGUACUGGUAGGGUAUUUGUAAUUUUUAGUGUGUGUAAAAGUGUCAUAAUUUCCUGCCCUUUCAUUUGAUGAAUAUUCCUAAAUGCAAAUUUAAAUAAUGAUAAUAAUAAUAUCCACGUUUUUAGUUUAAUUCAUCAUCUUGUUAUGUGUGAUGGAAUUUCGUUUUCCUUAUAGUUCUAAUUACACUUUUGAUUGAAUGUUUUUCUUAACUUUUUCUUCUUUUCCCUCUUAGUUCAUUUCUUUAAAUCAAACUUAUUCAAUAAAUUUAUCUUCAGUAACUUAUAGUAUUAAUGUUUAAAAUAGUAUAGAUCAGGUAGUACGUACGAAUUGAAAAGCUUUGAUAGAAUUUAACCCUAAUUUAUCACCAGUUGCAAUACUUUUUUGUUAAAUUAGAAUUUAAAUUAUUCAAUAUUAUUGUUAUUAAGCAAGAGGAGGACAAACAAAAUUAAGGAUCUCAUGAUUAACUAGAAAGGGGGAAGAAUAAACCACCUAUAUAUGAUCUAUGAUGAAUGAUUGUCAAGCCGAAUUACAUAUAAUUUGAUGAGAUAUUAAUGAAAGUUAAGUUGAAAUCUGAAGUUAUAAAUUAAACUAGUUGUACUGAAAGCUAUAAACUGUGAUACAAAAUAAUCUACCUUUGAGCUUAUCAAUGCGAUUAAUAAUGUGGGUUGUGAAUCUAUCGAUCUGAGCUCUGUUGCUUCGUUGAGGAGAUUACUGCCUCUUUAUCUUUGGUUGCGUAUAUUGGCCUGUAUCUGUGCAAGGCGAAUGGGGCAGCACCAUGCACCAUGCACCAUGCACCAUGCACCAUGCACCUUGCUUGCUUGUAUGGUGGUGAAGAAGGUUUGAAUAUUUUGGGGUUAGUUUUCUUAAUCUCGCUUCUUCCUUCUUCGAAUAGGGUGUUAGAGAUUCUUAUUUUGUGAGAGCGAGAGAGAGAGAGAAAGAGAGAAGAGAAUUAAAAUCAUAAAUAUAUAUAAACUUAAAUAACUCAUAGACAUGAAUCAAGCACAAAAUGGGCCAAAAGUUUUGGGCCGCCUCCUGAAAUGAAUUGUGGGCUGGACAUAUCUAUGUAUUUUGUGGUUCAGCCCAACUCAUCACGAAGUCGUAAUUAAUUGGCUUUUUCUUUUUAAAUGAAAUUUGAUUUGUUAGUUAGUUAAUAGUUACACAUUAAAUUUAUUUUACAUCAAUAGCUUAAAUUGAACUAACAUCUUCAGCUAUAUCACAAAAAAGGGAACAAAUAUCAAAUUUCAAUCCUUGAUUAAUUUUUAAAAUCAAAAUGAAAAGUUCAGAAAAUGUUUUUAGUUCAUAUGUUGAUUAGGUUCACGUUUAGUUUAAGUUAAGAUAACGAUUAUUUUGUUCAUUAACGGAAAUGAUGUUAUAUUUGACUAAAUAACCCAAAAGUUUGAAUUGUAAUGUACUAUAAGACACUGACACACACAACAAUGCCCAACUAUAAGGACUCCCUUUAAUCUUCUCACAUGUAAAGUGUUUUUCUUUUCAAAGAACGUGAAAAACGUAGUGAUGCAUGGAAGGGAGAAGAUGAUGAAGUGGGAAAGUAGUACUACACACAGAAUAAAGAUAAGAGAGUGGAAUUUUUUAGAAACUAAGAUUUCUAAGUUUGUAGGGUUAGGUGAAAUUCAAAACUACUUUUUUAAAGAAACAUAUGAGACGACAUGUGAAUCGUAGAUGCUCCAAGCUCUUCUCCUUUUUCUGAUAUUCAUAUAUAUCCUUCCUACUUCUUUACUUCUUUAAUUUUUAUUAGAAGGACUCCAACAUAUGAUCUUGAAACAAAAUUGAGUAAAUUUUUGUUAAAGAGAGAACUCAAAGGUUAUGUAAUUUUCUGUAUACUGUUGAAAUAUAUUUGUUGUGUUUACAUAGGGAGGAGAGAUUACAAGUAAGGAAACUAUAAAUUAGGAAGGAGAAACGAAAAGAUUCUAUUUACCAAAUGUACAGAAACGUAUAUGGUAACAUUUGAUAGCAAGAAAAUGCUUAAACUUUGUCGCGACGUGAUCGCUACGCGGAGCGGCCGACCUCCCCGUUUAUUUAAUUUUAAUAAAUAGUUUUGGAGUCGCCACCAACCAUAUUAGGGUGUGAUUGGUCACCCAAAAAAAAGAAAAAAAAAAAUGGUCUACAUACAUUCAGAGAUUUAAGUUCGGGAGUCAGUUGUGUGUAGGGAAGGUGUUAGCACCCUACAACACCCAAAAAAUGGUUACCCAAUUUUAUCUUUUAAAUUAAAUUAUAGAGGUUCACAAAACAAAGUUUUUAUUUAGGUUUUGUUUAAAUGUCCCAUGCUUAUCAAUUCAUAUCGAAGAAAGUAAAACCUAAGCAUGAAUUGAUGAUUAUGGGUGGCAUAGGAGCCAUUAGAAAAAUUAAGUUUAUUUUUGUUUUAAAAGAUUUUUAUUCACCUUAAGAAUAUUAAGAUACCAAAACUUGAUAUUUUAAUCUCUAUCAUAGGUGUUUAAUGAAAAAUUUCAUAUAUCUAGAAUUAAUAAAUUCAUAGAAAAUACUACUCAGUCUCAUUUAAAAUAUGAAAUGUGUUAAUUUAAAAAAAACAAUCUAUUAAUUAAAUUUCAAACGGAAAAAUUUCAUGUAUUUAUGGAUUUUAAAUUAUAAAAUCCAUAAAAAAACAAUACUUUUUCUCCAAUUUACAUUAUUAUAUUUAAAUAAAAAAAAGAAUAAUAACAAAGGCAAAACAUUAUGAAAUUUGAAAAAUACUUAGAAGUAAUAUGCUGAGAUAAAAUAAAUACAUUGAUAAUAUAUGCAAAAUAUAAAAGAUAUUAAUGUAAGAUGCAAGAUAAUUAAUUAAUACAACACAUGCAACAUAAUUAAUUAAAUCAAAAUGAUGCAAAAUAAUUGAUUAAUGCAGGAUGCAAGAUGCAAAACAAUUGAUUAAUGCAUAAUCAAACGAGGGCCAAAUGGAUAUCAAAUAAUAAUUAACAGUUGAAUGCCAAAGUAGGUUUGGCCCAAUAUGCAAAUAAAUAAUAUUGCAAAUAAAUAAUCGCACCAAAAUGAAUAUCAAAUAAUUAUAGCCACAUAUGCAUUAAUUAAUACAUCAUGCAGAUAAUUAGAAUGAGGGAGUGAAAAUGUCACAUACAAGUUGCUAAUUAAUUAAUAGGCCAAAUGAAAAAUGGUUGUUGCCAAAUAUUAAUUAUAUCAUGCAUAAUUAUUAACAUGGAUAAUAUAUGGAUAGCAGUAAUUAUUAACGGAGUAUGCCAUAUGGAUACAUGGAUAAAGUAAUUAACAAAGACUGUAAAAUGGAUGCCAAUGAAGAAUGAGUAUUACCAAAUACAGGAUGUUAAUUGAUUAAUUAUGCAUAAUUAUUAAAGCAUGUUAUAUGGACAUAAGUAAUUAACUGUAAAAUGGGUGCCAAUAAAGAAUGAGUAUUACUAAAUACAGAAGGCUAAUUGAUUAAUUAUGCAUAAUUAUUAAGGCAUGUCAUAUGGAUAUAAGUAAUUAACUGUAAAAUGGGUGUCAAUGAAGAAUGAGAUCCAAAUACAAAUAUAUGAUACUAAUUAAUUAAAAAGAAAUUAACACAGAAUGGAUGCCUAGUAAUAAAAGAAAAUUAACACAGAAUGGAUACCCAACAAUUAAAAAGAAAUUAACACAGAACAGAAUGGAUACCCAAUAUUUAAAAAGAAAUUAAUACAGAAUGGAUACCCAACCAUUAAAAAGAAAUUAACACAGAAUGGAUACCCAACCAUUAAAAAGAAAUUAACACAGAAUGGAUACCCAACCAUUAAAAAGAAAUUAACACAGAAUGGAUACCCAACCAUUAAAAAGAAAUUAACACAGAACAGAAUGGAUACCCAAUAUUUAAAAAGGAAUUAACACAGAACAGAAUGGAUACCCAAUAUUUAAAAAUAAAAAAAUAAAAAAUUUAAUAUAGAAUGGAAGGUAGAAUGUUCAGUAUUAAGAAAGAUACAAAUAAUAAAAUUAACAUGUUAAAUGAUGGUAAAAUGAUGAACACGAUAGGUCAUAAUUAAAAGCAGUAUAUCAAACAAGAAAAAAAAAAUCAUUAAACAAGAAUAAGAAUAAAAAGAGGAAAAAGAAAAAAAACUUACCAGCAGGUCUGCCCUUCAAUGCCAAAGGUUAUUCCUUUUGAUCUUCUUUCACUCUUCACCUCUUUCUAAAUCCUCCAAUAAUAAAAAAAAAAAAGUUCCCCCUCCUUUCUGAAUCUUCUCCUUCUCUUUUUAUAGGGAAAUGUCUCCUUUUUUAGAUAGAAGUGAAGUAGGUUUAGAUAGUGAAAUGGAAUAUAGAGAAAUGUGGAAGAGUGGGAGAACGUGAGAGAUUGGGGAAGAAGGUGGAAGAGUGGGAGAACGUGAGAGAUUGGGGAAGAAGGUGGAAGAGUGGGAGAACGUGAGAGAUUGGGAGAAAGUGGGAGGGUUGUGACUCAGUAAAACAGGGGAUGGUUGAGAAAAAUAGGGAGAAGAAAAACAAAAUCUUUACUUUUAAAUUUAAUUUUAAAUAUGUUUUUAUUUUUGUUUUUAUUUUAAAACAUAAAUUCAAAAAUUAAGAUUUAAAUUUAAAUUCAAAUUCAAAUUCUUUUAAAAAAAUAAUAAAUUAAUUAAUGAAAAAAAAUAAAAAGGCAGGACAAAAUACGGUAUCUACAAACUUAACAAAUUAAAAUAUAUGUUCUUUUAUUGAAACACACCUAAAACGUUCAACAUAAUACUAGAACAAGCAACGUAUAGAUUAUUAAAUAAACCAUGGACUAAGAUUAUUUAAGUUUUACCUUAUAACUGUAAUCAUUAAUUAAAAAAGAUAAUUUUGUAUUGGUUAUGUGAUUAGAAUAUUCUUAUAGUAUAUGGUUAUAAUGAUAGCAAAAGGUGAAAUUUGAUUUGAAGAUAGAUAAGUUUGGUUAGAUUAGGUCUGGGAAUUGGAAAGGUGGAAUUUUGGAUGUCUAUGUUUAUGUGUAGCUGACAUGGAAUUGUGACCCAUUAUCCAAUGUUGGUUGUUACAAGUUUUACAAGCUGGAUUUUUUAAUAAUGGCAAAGGAAUUUUAAAUAAUAAAUAGUAAGACUCCUCCUUAUCUUUCUCUCUAUUUAUAUAAUAUAUAUAUAUUUCCUUAUCUCCCAACACAACAAAUCACUUUCUCUUCACAUUUUUUUGCUAAUAAAAUUGUUCCAUAUAAGUAAAAUAGGUGAAAUAGGCAAUAGAAAGAUCAAUAAUAAUCAGCCACAACAUGGUUCUCAGAAGACUCUUCUCCUCCUCUUUUCGCCUUGUUUCUUCUUCUUCAUCAUCAUCUUCUUCUUCAAAGGUUUGAUAAAAUCAAUUCCCUUUUACCCUUUUUUUACAUAAAUAUUUUCAUCUGGGAGACUUCCAUUCACAUAUAUAUCGUUUUUCUUUUUUGCAUGUAUGAUUUGGUGGUAUCUACUGGUAUUAUUCUUCUCUCUGUUCUUUGAAAAUUUGGAAAACAGUUUAAACAUUCUUCAUGAUCUUGAUCAUAAUGCAUGCGUGGUUUCUUUCUUUUGUAAAAUUAUUAUUUUUUUCUUUAGUCAUGUGUUUGAUUUCGUCCUCUCUCUUGUUUAUAAGAAAAACAAAAAAGUUUUUUUUUGUAGAUGGGAAUUCUAAUUUGAAAAGAAGUUGAGUAAUCGUCAUGAUUUUGGAUUCUGCUUUGUCGUUACAAAAAAAUAAGCUAACUUUAGCAAAAGUUAGUGAUGUGAUUAUCAUGAGCUUAACAAUAAUGUUUGUUUUUUAUAAUACAUAUGUCUGGCCAUUUAAGAAUAAAGUUGUUAAUUAGGUUCCUCUAACUUAAAUUCGAGUUUAUAUUAUGAGGAAUUUGUAAAAAAAAAUAAAAUAAAUAGUUUGUAUCUUUUUUUAUUAUUCUUGAAAAAACUCCCAGUAUCAACAUGAUAGAGAUUGCACUUAAAAUUCCUUAUUUUUAUAAUCUUCAUUUUGAAGGUAUUGACUUUAAUUUAUAGUAUUAUAGCCUUGAUGAGUUUUAUAUAACUUUUACUUAAAUCUCAAUUUGAUAAAGAUAAGAUUUGACUAAAUUCCUUUGAACAGUUGAAGACAUAGAAAUCUAAAAUAUAUAUAUAUAUAUUCUUUUGAGGAAUAAUUUAAAAAUUGAACUUUAAUGUUCACCAACGUUUUGGAUUAUUAUUACCAAAAAUCGUGUGUCUCGUGUGAACGUUUCAUCCAUGAAAAAGAGAGAGCAUAAGUUACCAAAAUUACAUUAACUUUUGAUAAACUAUUUGUCAAUAGAAAACAACAAUAUUAAAUGGGACCUACGUUUUCUUUUCUUGCAUGGGAAACUUUCUGCCCUUCUUCUUCUUCUUCAACUUUCAAAACUAAAAUUUGGAUAAUGACGACAAAACCUCCCUCACUAGCUACUUGUAUUUACGAUUAUAAUGAAAAUUUUGUCUUCAUUUUCGUAAUCCCACUGUCACUUUCAAUCCUAUACUUCAAAAUUUAUGAAAAUCAACACAAUGGAAAAAAUGAAAUAAAAAAGAGGAAAAGCUUUUCAACAAUCUUUUGCCAGUUGGAGAACAGUCCCGAUGACAAGAAAGCGUUUAGGCGUUGGACGCCCAGAAACCGUCGAAUGUUGAGUCGUGCAUACUUUUCUUUUGUCUUUUUAUUAUUAUUGUUUUUCUUUUUGCCUUUUUUAUUUUUAUAUUGAUUUCCUUCGACUAUUCUGGAAUUUUUGACGCCCAAAAUUCGUAUUUUUCCAUCUGGGUUUAUCAUCUUUUGUGUCUUAUCCUGAAAACUGUAGAAUGAAAGCGAAAGCUGUGAUUGGAUAUUUUUAAUUUUGUUAAUUUGGGGUUUUAACUUUAACCCAUUAGGAAUUACUGAAUAGUUUUGAGAAUUGCAGCUUGGAGGAGUUUGUCGUGGCGAUGGGUUUAGGGCAGUAUCUUCAAUGCCGGAGCCUUGCCAAUCAUCGCCUUUCAGGUACUUCAAAUUCUCACACCCAUUUUAUAAAAAUUAUCAAUAACCCAUUUUUUUCAUUAGAUAGUAAUGCUCAAAGGUUAAAGAUUACGUGUUUUUUCUAAAUAGAUGCUUGUGAUUGAAGUUGUUGAAAUGCUGAGAUUGGGUGUCUCUGUUUUGGGUUUGGUUUAAUUUCAGUGAUGACGAGAGCUGUGAUUUUGACUGGGAUAGUCUUGGAUUUGGGCUAAUGCCAACAGAUUAUAUGUAUAUUAUGAAAUGCUCUAAAGAUGGGAAUUUUGAACGAGGUCAAAUGAGCCGUUUCGGGAACAUUGAGUUAAGCCCUUCUGCUGGGGUUCUAAAUUAUGGACAGGUAUCUUCUGGUUUCAGUUUGGGAAUCAAGAUUCAAUCACUAACUUAUGAUUUUGGUACCAUUUCUAUUACAACAGAAUUUAUGUAGUUUCUUUUCACUAGGUGGUUGGUUGUUGUUCUUUGACAUAGGAUUCUAAAAUUGGUUUUUGAUGAUCAAAUGUGAUUUCUGUUCUCUCUUCCCCUGCCCAUUUUAUGUCGAGAGGGGUGGGGGAUCUUGAGCAAAAGAAUGCAUUUCCGAAAUUAUUCGAGAGAUAGUUACUGUUAGCUAGCUAUAGAACUGUUAUGAAAGGCUUUACAGAGUUUAAGGUGUGGUGUUGAAAUGAAUAGGGCUUGUUUGAAGGCCUAAAAGCUUAUAGGAAAAAAGAUGGGGGCUUUCGUCUAUUUCGUCCAGACCAAAACGCUCUUCGUAUGAUGACCGGUGCUGAACGAAUGUGUAUGCCAUCACCCUCCAUUGAACAGUUUAUCGAUGCUGUGAAGCAAAUUACCAUUGCUAAUAGGCGUUGGGUAGUCUUCUCUCUCUCUACUUAUUUGAUAUACUUGUCUCGGUACUUUCAUGUCAAUGAGAAGUAACUAUUGAUCUUGGUUGAUUUUUCAUUCUCACGAUUGAUUGUACUUGCAGGUCCCUCCGCUGGGGAAAGGAUCACUUUACAUAAGGCCUUUGCUCAUUGGAACUGGUCCAGUUCUUGGCUUGGCUCCUGCGCCCGAGUAUACUUUUCUAAUUUAUGCUUCCCCUGUUUGCAAUUAUUUUAAGGUGGGCACUUUUUCAGUGGAGCUAAUUUCACUUCCCUUCAACAACACAUGAUUCAUCUACAGCUCCUGGUUUGUUUUCUAAACAGGAAGGUUCGGCACCCUUGAACCUAUAUGUUGAGAAUGAAUUCGUUCGUGCAUCUCGUGGUGGAACUGGAGGUGUGAAAACCAUUUCAAAUUAUGCUCCGGUAAGUGUUUGCUAUUUCUUCUUUUUCUUUGUGAAAACUAAUGAAUAAACUUGUUGCUAAUCCGAGAGCUCAGUUUUGAAUCUUUUGAUUCAGUCGUAGAUAUAUUUGGCAUUGGAGAAAGUUGUAUCAAUCACAUAUUUUCUGAUGUUUUUUUUCCUGUGUAGGUCUUAAAAGCUAUCACCCAAGCAAAAAACCGAGGGUUUUCUGACGUGUUAUACCUUGAUUCAGUGAAUAAGAGAGAUCUGGAAGAAGUUUCUUCUUGCAAUAUUUUCCUUGUAAAGGUAUCUUUGUAAUGGUUAAAUUGACAGCGUAAAGUUAUACUGACAUGAAAGAGAAAUUAAGUUAUCAUAAAUGAAGACCUGAUGAUGGUAUUUGGUCUUUGGUUUAUAGAACUCAAAAUUUUCAUUCUUUUGGAUUUGGAAGUUCUGUCAUCUGUUCUACUUUGAACCAAUGUAAUUAUGUCUCAUUUCUAUAGGGCAAUGUUAUUUCAACUCCUGCUACAAAUGGAACAAUUCUUCCAGGAGUAACCCGAAAAAGCAUCAUUGAAAUUGCCCGCGAUCGAGGUUAUGAGGUGGUUAUUUCAUCCCUAAUCAAGAAUCUAGCAGCCAGGGUUUUGAUUUUCUAAAGAUUUUCAGUUUUUUUUUUUGGUUUUCCAACUGCCAUGUAUACUUAUCCUUCUUGUUGUCAUAAUGGCAACCUCAAUCUUAUCCAGGUUGAGGAACGAGCCGUUAACAUGGAAGAACUGUUCGACGCUAGUGAAGUUUUCUGCACCGGAACUGCUGUUGGUGUGGCCCCAGUUGGCAGCAUCACAUGUAUGGAUAGAAGGUAAUCAAACUCCUCAUACUCUGUCAUAGCUCGAAAUUUAAACCACCUAUAUUUUCAACUCACAAGCCAAAGAAGAAAAAUGGUUUGACAACCGAAUUACUACAUCGCCAGUACUGACUUUGUCUAGUUUCUUGACAAAGUUAACUGAUUUGAUCGUAUCUGCAGGAUUGAAUACCGAACAGGUGCUAACACAACAUGCCAAGAACUAUAUUCAACUCUGGUUGGGAUUCAAACUGGAACCAUUGAGGAUAAGAUGGGGUGGACUGUUGAGAUCUCUUGAGUUUUCAUCUGUCCCACCGACAUGAAUAGUAAAUUGCAAGUCCGUUCUCUGUUUCGGGUUAUCCAUAAAAUGACUCAAAGUUUGGUUGUGUUUUACUUCUCAUAAGUUGAUCCGUAGCUAUAAUUAAUUAGCAAGCCUUUAACUCCAAUACAAGUAAUGAGUAUCAAAAGCUGGAGAUUCGUAUGAAAGUAAAUAAAAUAUUUUGAUGAAUAAAUUGUGGUAAAAUGUUUGAAAUGAUUAGUGUUGAUUGGAAAAUACUAAUUUGUAGGCCAAAAACUGGAGACAAGCUAUUGAAUUUGGUGAACUUUAAUAAUUGUGAAUGGACUACUUUUUCAUUAACUAUAAGGUGGGCGAGUUAUUGUGUCAGCCAAGGACCAAGGCUUCAAGCUAUGGACUUUAUUUGAUGACAGAUUGAGACCUCUGUUCUUUUCUUUUAAUCCUUUUGUUUUUAAGAAGAACCAAUAUAUAAUCAACUUUAUGUUUUGGGAUACUAUAGAACAUAAUAGCAUCACCAACUCCCUAAUGUUGGAGCAGACACUAUAACUAUAUAGACAAAUUCAUUGCAGUGUAAAUGUACAAUAGUUUAGUAUAAGUUGUGAACUCUACUUCAUAUUUUAACAUCAAUAUUAUAACUUUUAAAUUCUUAUACCCAUUCAAACUUUGCUCAACACCUUAUCAAGGAUCAAAACAUGUUGAGACAUAACCAUCUUUUCAUUUGAGUUAAUAAAUCAAAGUAAGAAUAACACAUGAUCGGAUGAUCCCUUCAUUUGAGUUAAUCAGCUUGAUUUUGAUAUUUUUUUUUUUAAUAAAACUUCUUCCCUUUUGAAGAAAAAGCUCAUAGAGUUAACCUCAUAUUUUGCAGAAUGGUUCCACUGACCAACUAAACCAGUUUUUCGUAAAUAAUUGAGUUUAUGUUAAAAAGGGUAUAUAUAGUAUAAAUAUAAACCGACAUGAACAAGCAUACGUUAAAAUUUUGGAAGCUCAAAAAUGGAAAAGAAUGCAUUGCAAAUGUAUACCAUACGUCCAAAGUUCAAGAAAGUCGUGCUCAUAUUUAAUGCACUUUCUUUCCUUGGCCCUGCUAUAGCUCCCAACUUUGUUUUCCAUUGUCACACUGUUCAUUUCAUGAUCCGUAAGGGUAAAAAGUACCAUUGAAAUAUAUAUUGUAAAAUUUCUCAUAAUUUUGAUUACAUAAAUGUUAUUUUAAUAGUAACCGAUUCAAAUAAGUACAUUCAACUGACAAUUUAUGAAAUGGUAAUUAUAGUUAUCUACUGAAUAUUAGAUCAAUAAUGUUGUCAAUUAUUAACCCAUAAUUCAUAUAGUGUGUGACAUAAUUUGUCGUCCAAAAUCCUAUCACCCGUAUCUUAAUUUAAAUACAAAGGAAGUGUGUGUAUGACAUAAUGAUGUAUUAAGUUAAUUUUUUGUAUCUAUCUUUACCCAUCUCUAGAUUUUUAAAUUAUAAACUGAAAAUAUAGAUAUGUUUAGGAAUCCAAAAAACAAUUUAAAUAAAUUAUACUCACUAAAUCUAUUUUGACCUGAAUAUGUAUAUCAUAUGUAUACACGAUAGUUAUUAUACACCAAAAAUCUUUUGAAGAAAAAGUUCAUAGAAUUAACCUCAUAAACACAACAUUUAUCAAAAGUUUAAGAUUAUUUAUGCAUAAUAUAAUUUGAAUGUUUUGGUAUAGCAUACUUAAUUGAUUAAGGGGUUAAAUAGUUAUUAAAACCUCACAUUCCCAUGUUUGUUAAUUAGACGUAAAAUUGACUAAAAAUGAAGACGUGGGGGAAAUGUAGACCUGAAAAUACAGUUCAUUGCAUGAACCCAAUUCCAACUUUUUCCACAAUUGAUUUUCUUUUGUUUUUGGUCCUCUUUUGAGUAUAAAUAAAUCGACAAAGUAUAUAAUGAUAUAAUGAAUCCAAAUUGGAGUAGAAAGAAAGUAUAUAAUGAUAUAAUGAAUUAAUCAAAUCCCCAUCAUUUCUUUAAUAGGGAUUUCAACUUGUUUGUUUUACCUUUCAAGAAAAUCUCCACAUUUUUCAAUCCACGACAAAUUAUAUGAGAAGGGUUUCCUGUUUCUUGAAAACUACUUUUUCAUUUAUUUGUUUUUAAUUUUAGAGUUUAAUUAGGGCAUUAGUCGUUGUUUGACCUACUUAAUUAAUAAUUUUCUUGUGAAAACUAGCUAGAAAUGCUAAUUGAGAAUAAAUUAUUUGGCACAUAAUUUAACCUACUUAUAUUAAUAGCACCUUUUAACUGCAUAAUUACACUUUAGAUCUCAAUUAUAUACGAGCUGCCUGAUUUUGAUCUCAACUAGCUCCAACUUUCUUAGCCAAUUAAUAAAUCAAAGUAAGAAUAACACAUGAUCGGAUGAUCCCUUCAUUUGAGUUAAUCAGCUUGAUUUUGAUAAUUUUUUUUUUUUGAAUAAAACUUCUUCCCUUUCACAUUAUUACGUUUAUAUGAUUUGUUUUAGUGCAGUAACUCUCGGAUAUGGACAUUUUGAAAAUAUUUUAGAAUAUUGUGUGAAAAACAUACGUGAAAGGAUUACACAGAAGAAUAGAUAAGUUGAUUGUUAAGAAAAAUUGCUAACGUCUUCUCAAAUGAUCUUCAAAAUCAUUGUUUAUGAUGAUGUUUCUUGAAAAUCAGUUGUUUCUUUUGUUUCAAAGAAACCACCAACAAAUGGUGAUUGAGAUGUGAAACAAAAAGAGCUGCGAUUGAGAGAUUGAUUAAUAGUGACAUAUCUUCACAUAGAGAGCAUAAUUGUGUAAGUAAGUGAUUAAUUAUGAAUAAUUGAGACUCUCUCUCACAAGACUGUAAAAAUUAUCCCUAAGUACACCAACUAAUUUGGGUUUAAUUGUCAACGUACUUCUUUUUUAAGAAUAAUAUUCAAAGUGUUUAUAUAUUCAUGUGACGAAUGGUCUUCUAACACAAAAAAAAGUUACAUUUUUUGAAAUUUUUAGAUUGAUUAGCCAUACGUGGGAUGAAGGAUUUCAACCUCUAAUCUCUUGAUUGAUUGUUCAUACUUAUAUUGCUAGUUGAGUUGUGUUGUUAUUGUCAUAUUUAAAUUAUCACUAUACCUUCACAAAUGACAUUCUGUAAUAUUGCAUUUAAAUGAAAUACUAUAUUAUAUACUAAUUUGUGAACAGAUAAUUAAGAGAAUGAUGUGGAUAAGAGUAGAAUUUGUGAAUCAAAGUUUAAAAGUUUUACUUUUCAAAGGAGAGAGAGACGUUAAGGAGUUAACGUUGUGGUGUGGUGGCUGUUUUCUAUUUUAUUACUAUUCUUCUUAUAUAUAUAUAUUAAUUUGUAAAGGAAUAAAUAAACUGUUUUGGUCAUUCACUUUCCAAAUAAUUGCGAUUAUUAUUAUUUAUCCAUUCAGCUUUUUACCUCUCUGGGGGUUUGGUUUGAACCUCUACGGGGUGUCUACUUUUUAGUAAUUUCAAUAACUUUAUAUAUAUAUAUAUUAACUAUUAUAAUUUAAUAGCAAUAUAGGGAGUGAUUGAUAAUCAAUUCAAUAAUCACUCUUCAACACAUAUAUAAUUCAAAAAAGCAACAUUCUAUGACCAUUUAUAGGGUUAAUUGGGAAGAAAAGAUGAAAAAAAAAAGGGCAACCAAGUCAAACCCACUUUCAAGCUGCCAAUAAUGAGUCAAUUUGUCUCAUUUAUUAUCCAAUAACUGUCUUUCAAUUUAAAAGUUGGAUCACACACUAUGUUUGAAAUUACAUUACAAGUUUAAAUAAUAAUAUUUAACUUUUUUUUUCUUUUCCAAAAACAUUAAUUUGAUGUAUGUAAGCCUUUUUCGAGUAUAUAAUUGUAACUAUACAACUAUGUGUAUAUAUACUGUGGGAGGGGGUCGUGGGUGUGGAGAUUAAUUAAUUCCUUGAGACAGGGAGAAGCUCAAUUAAUUUAACUAUGAUACGCUUUAUUAAUCUACCAAUUUAAGCAUCUACAUAUUGUAUUAACGGCUUGGUUCCUUGUUGAUGACUUUAAUUAUAAAGUUUUGCAAUUUUCCAAUAACAUUAAUUAUGUUUUAGACACAAACAUUAGAUAUUACCAUGUCAAUUCCACAAAUGAUUGGAACAAAAGGAAUUUUAUGUUAAUUAACAUGUAGACAUACGAUCAAUUUUCUGUUUUCUUGAAAGAUAUAAUUAGAUUAAAUAGAUUAAUUGAUCUGGGAAUGAUAUUCUAUUGGUUCACCUCUUGAUAAACAAUCUUUCUGUUUUACUUUCUUUAACUCUUUGAUGUAAUAAGUUAUUUAUCUUAAAACUUAUUCUCUCAUUUUCAUCAGUGUUUAAUAGCACGCAGAAAAGAUUCAAAACCCCAAAGAACACUUGAAAGAAAAACAAACAAAUUACUUGGGUUUUAGUGUAUUAAAAUAAUGAAAGUAAAGAUAUAUAUAUAUAUAGAUUAGUUUAAUGAAUAUAUAAUGUUGGAUUAAAGAAAGGUUUAA